rnacentral:lncRNA from 1 species
GGUGGCUUCUCUCCCUUAGGUGGUUUGCCAACUGGGGUUGGUGGCUUGUGUUCUGGGAGUGGCUUCUCCCCCUUGGGAGGUUUUUCCAAUGGGGUUGGUUUGUGUUCAGGAGGUGGCUUCUCCACUGGAGGCUUGUGUUCAGGAGGUGGCUUCUCCACCGGAGGCUUGUGUUCAGGAGGUGGCUUCUCCACCGGAGGCUUAUGCUCUGGUGGUGGCUUCUCCACCGGAGGCUUAUGCUCUGGUGGUGGCUUCUCGAAUGGGGGAUGCUUAGGGUAAUCAGCAAGUGAGGGGGCGGUGAGAACCACCAGGCCAAGCAAGACCACUAGCAAGUAUGUAGGAGACAUCUUUGGGUUUAGACUCAGAUGGUGCAAAACUAGGAGAAUUGUCUUUUAUAGCGGAUCGCACCCAAUAAUGAAAUGACACGUGUCUUUAUGACCCAUGUGUAAUGGGGUCGAUUUGGGUCCUACAGUGUUGAAAACUUCGACAUCCACUUUUGGCCUUUUGCUUUCUCUACAGCCGCCUUGCUUUUUCCCUCUUUCCUUUUGUUUUCCUCCUGCCCCAUUCUAUCAACUAAACACAAUUAUGUAGUUGUUUAAUUCUUAAAUGAGAUAUUAUCCGUCAAUCGUAUCAUAUUUUAUCAACAGAGAACGGAGUGCAAUGUGGCAAUCCAAAGAAAGAAGAUCCAUAAUGCAGCUGUAAUUUUAUCGUUUACUUUUAUCUCUUGGACCACUGCAUUUUUGUUAAGAGGUGCAAUAAUACACGUCUUUAUCUGCCAUUCAAUGUUUACAGUAAAGAGAGGGCACAAAACUCUUCACUGCUCUGCAUGUGUCCCAAAAAUGCAAUUGGACAAAUUAUGAUUUGCAUGCUAAAAAGAGGCAAAUGAGGUUAAUUCGCACCAUAAUUAUUUUGUUUUCUGGACCCCGGGGCCCUUUGGUUGGUUUGGGGGUCAGAAAAUGAACAUCAUAGGGGGUUUUUCCCUUAUGUGCAUUUGUAUCUGAUGGCUUUAACUCGCCUUGUUACUACAAAGAAAUUGUCACAUAUAGGAACUUAUUCCAGGCUGAGUAUCUCCGCAUAGACCCUAUAAAAGAAGACAAGUCAUAAUGAACAUCUAACCUUUGUUCAAUUUGAUUCAAUGCCCCAUUGUGUCCACCUCACAAAUCUGAAUUAUUAUAUCCAUUGAAUACAUAAAUUAAUGAAGAAAAUAUGAAACCCAAGAUACAUCUCUGCACAACCUCAACCCUGGUUGCUAUGUUUCCCUUCUAUUCACAUGAGGAUAUUGAUUACGGAAUAGGGAAACCUAGCAAGGGUUUACUCGGCUCUGGUUUGAUGCUAAUUGCCAAACUUGCAACAAGCCCUGAGUUUGAAGCUCACAGAAGAUGUUAUACAGGCAGGGAAAAACCUUCAGAGUUCGCUGCCAAAGAUAAUUAUUAAGGAGAUAUCACCAAGAGAAUUCCAAGGAGUCUGAAUCAAAGACAAAUUGGUCGUUCGUGGAGGUUCUUACUUUCUUUUGGGUAUAACUCACUGAGGGCACUGUCUUUUUUAUUUUCAUUUCACAUUUAGAGUUCUGUUCUGGAAACAUAUAAAAGGAGCAUCAGUUUGUUCUUGGGUAACCCAUAGUCGUGAGUGGGUCCAUUUGCAUGCUACUUAGUUGAAAAGUUGGACCAUUUGCUCCGACGCCUACCUCCUGGAUUCCAUGCUCGGAUAAAACAAGAAUAAAAAAAUAUUUAUAAUUUACAAAUGGGGGAAAGAAAAAAAUGUCAACAACAAACUAGGAAAAAAGAGUAGUAAAAUUCAUGUCACAUGCUAGUGAGAGAAGGGGUUGUUACACUCACUCGAAGUUCUUUUCAAAAUAUCGCAUGGUAUUUUAUUUUAUGUGUGAGCGCAGUUGUGAAUGGAACGUGCAAAAGUCCAAAUUGGUGACCUUUAAUAAAUAUUUAAAACAAAAAACGAAAAAAAGGAGGGAAAAGGGAUCAGAAAAGAUAAAACAAUGUGUACAAAAGCUCAAUUAGUUUGCAAAUUACUGUUUGGAUUUUGAUAGUAUUUUAUUUGAUGUAAAAGAGAAUUUAAGAUAUUUCCGAAACAAAAGCAUUAGUUUGCUCCAUGUCAAUUUCGGCAUUUCUCAUAUGUUUCACACAUACACAGAAGAGCAUCGUUUUUUAAAGCAUGCAUUUAUGUUGGAUUAAUUUGGAUUUUGUGGGAACUGGGGCAAGGAUCACAUGGAAGAGAGGUUGACUUUUUUCAGUACUUCAAUGGUUGAGACAGGUGAAGGCCUGAUUGAUACUGAAGCCUGAAAUUGCGACUCCGUCAUUUGUCAAAACAUAUGACAGCUUCCAUGCUCUCGUUUGGUUGCAUUGUUCUGUGGUCAUGCAUACAUGCCACUUAGUGAUCAGUCUGUAACUGUCAAUCAUUGGGCUUUGACUGAACAACAUCAGCCAUGUAUAAAUACUUGCAAAUCAAACGGUCUUCUUCCUCCCAUAAGGAAUUUCGGUUUAAUUAUGAAGCAUGCAUUUGGCUGACCAUCAUAAACCACUUCUUUAAAUUGAUGAAUGAUAGUUUUUCAUUCAUUCUUUCAUUCGUUCAUAUACAGAGUAUAUAUAGAGGGUAAUCAUCAUUCUAAGAAUGGGAAAGAAUGAUACAAGGAAAUAAUGAUAUAAAGAAAUAACAACUAAUAUUCUAAUAUCUCAACUUUCCUAAUAUCUAAACAUUCCUAAUAUCUCAACACUAAAUGAUAUAAAGAAAGAAUGAUAUAAGGAAAGCAUUCCUAAUAUCUCAACACUCCUCCUCAAGUUGGUGCAUAGAUGUCAAACAUGUCCAACUUGUCUAAAAAUUUUGAGAACAGUUGACUUGAGACAUCUUUGGUGAGGAUAUCGGUCAAUUGAUCUUCUGAUCGAAUCUUAGGCAAUUCCACAAUCUUAUCAUCCAACUUUUCCUUAAUGAAAAAUCUAUCCAUCUCGACAUGCUUUGUACGAUCAUGUUGUACUAGAUUAUGAGCAAUGUCACAUGCUGCUUUAUUGUCACAAAACAAUCGGAUUGGUUGCCUAGAUAGGUAACCUAAAUCCUAUAAGAGGAGUCUUAGCCAUAAUGCCUCACAAAGUCCUAAAGUCAUACCUCUAAAUUCCGCUUCUGCACUUGAACGAGCGACGACAUUUUGCUUCUUACUUUUCCAUGUCACAAGAUUACCACCUACAAAGGUAAAGUAACCAGAUGUAGAUCGCCUAUCAUCCACUGCACCGACCCAAACAGCAUUAUACUUCUAUACUCUGAUGAUCAACAUUUUUAGCGAACAAAAUUCCCUUCCUAGGAGCAUUCUUCAAAUACCUCAAAAUACGCAUGACUACAUUCAUAUGUUGCUCUCCAGGAUUAUGCAUGUAUUGACUCACUACACUCAAUGUAUAAGCAAGAUCUAGUCUUGUAUGAGCUAAGUACAUUAAUCUCCCCACAAGUCUCUGGUAUCUUCCCUUAUCGAUUGAUACUUGAUUAGGCUCAACACACAAUUUCAGACCUUCUUCUAUUGGUGUAUUAAUAGGUUGACAUCCCGACAUUCCAGUUUCCUGUAGAAGAUCUAAGGCAUACUUUCUUUGAGACAGAAAAAUUCCUUCACUUGAUCGAGAAACUUCAAUCCCAAGAAAGUAUUUCAGACGACCAAGAUCUUUCAUUUCAAAUUCUCUAGAUAGAUACUUUUGCAAAGCUUUUCUUUCUUCAGGAUCAUUUCCUGUAACUACAUGUCAUCCACAUAUAUCAUAAGUGUCGUAAUCUUACCAUGUUGCUUUUUCAAGAACAAAGUGUGAUUUGAAUUACUUUGAUGAUAGCCAAAAGCUCUCAUUGAUUUUGUGAACCUUCCAAACCAUGCUCUCGGGGAUUGCUUCAACCCAUACAAUGACUUCUUCAAUUCGCACACCUUCUGACAUUGCUUUUCUGACACCAUGCAUCCUGGUGGAAGAUCCAUAUAUACUUCUUCAGAUAAAUCGCCAUGCAGAAAGACAUUUUUUACAUCGAACUAUUGUAAUGGCCAAUCUAGGUUUGCAGCUAAAGACAAUAAUACUCGAACUGUGUUGAUCUUAGCUACAGGUGCAAAUGUCUCUGUGUAGUCAAUUCCAUAAGUUUGAAUGUACCCACUAGUCUUGCUUUAAAUCGUUCAAUACUACCAUCUGCCUUGUACUUCACAGUAUAGAUCCAACGACACCCAACUAGCUUCUUUCCUGGUGGACAUUCUACGAGUUCCCAUGUUUCAUUUUUCUGCAAUGAUUUCAUCUCUUCAUUCAUGGUUGCUUUCCACUUUGGAUCAGCUAAAGCUUCCUGCACACUAUUAGGAAUAGCUACAGUAGAUAAUUGAUUUACAAAUGACUUAUUUGAUUCAGACAAACCAUGGUGUGGACCCGCAUUUUUCACGUGCGCCUCUACUCGAUCGGCGAGACUCGCUUUCUAUUUGUGAAAAAUUAAUUUUAGAAAAGUUGGAGUCGCCACCUAUUUUAUUUUUAUUUUGAAGGGAAAAUAAAACAAGAAAGAAAAACCCUAAAAAGUGACUCCAUAGUUUUGGAAAAAGCAUGUCUUUGGGAAACCUGAGUCUAGGUCCGGGGAUCAUGUUACUUAUUGGGAAGGUACCUCUAGGAGGUAGCACCCCUCUAAGCCUUAUGAAGGUCUCUACUAACUAAAUUAAGGGAAGUGUGGCAAUAAAUCGAUUGAUCAUAGAUACCUAAGUAGACUAGGUGAUUUUAAAGUGUGGCAUGUCAAACACAAUCAAAUUGCAAUAAAGGAGAGUUAGGGCGCGUACCUGAACCGCUUCUCAAGCGCUAUCAUAAAACAUCAAUGGUUAAUUUAAAUAAUAUAUCAUCCAGCAUGUAUUUUAUUAGAAAUAAUCAAACAAUGAAACAUGUAUAUCAGAACACUCAAGCAUUAUUAGACAUAAGCAUUAUUUCACUAUUCACAGAAUUCAGAAAGUAGGUGAUAGAGGACAUACCUGGAUAGCAUAGAUAAUUUGUAAUGUGCUUCCUCAAGUUGUAAGGGGUUAGAUAACAAAUAAUAAAAUAUAGAAAUCCUAGCAUGCUCGUUAUCUAAUUAGCAUAGCAAAAGUGAUCACAGUAUACAGAAUCAUCAAUUAUCACAUACAUCUUGUAUAUAAUUCCUAAAAAAAAUAGAUAGACAUGAUUUCAACAAGUGUCAAAUGUGGCAACAAAAAUAAAUUUUGAAAAGAUUUUCUUAUGUAGGGGUUUCACCAAUUCCCCAAAUUAAUAUACACGAAUUUAGCUUAGAAUUAUCCCAUUUAUUUGGGACUACAAGCUUUGAUUCGUGUUUUUGUUCAAAACCAAAAAUUUUUGUUGAAAAUCAAGAAGGAUGCGAACCGAACAAGAUAUGGUUGCAUAUUAUUUUUAAAUAAAUAAAUAAAUAAAUAAAGGAGAUUUUGAUCCUGAGGACUUUAAUGAGUUUUUUUUUUUAAAAUAGAUUUUUAAAAUGAUUUUUUUGAGAAAAGUAUUUUAUUUUAAAAUAAAAGGGAUUAAUUUGGGAAAAAAAUAAAAUAUAAGAAAUAAAAUACCAAACAAAACAAAAAUGAAACCUCAAAGUAAAAUUUUUUUAGUAAUUAACAAAAAUGAUAAUGGUGAUGGUAGAGGGCAAUCUUCAUGAUUUUCCAAUGGCCUCAGAAAGAAAAUCAAAUUAAAUGAAGGAUCACUAACAGGCAAGACAUUCUAAAUUAGACAAACUAACAAAGUAUCAAUUCAUGAACUAACCGCUAGGAUUUUGAAAGCAUAUAAGCUAAGAUAAGGGUGAUCAGGAACUAAUAUUAAUGAUUUUGAAAUAAAAACUAAAAAAAAGGAUCAAUUCGGGUAAGGAACUAAAAUUAUAAAAGUACCUAAACUAAUUAUGACGAGUUUGACUAAAUUAAACUAAAAACAUGAACUUUCAAACAUAGAAUUAAUUUUACUAAUGAACCAAAGCAAACUAAAAAUAUGUACUUUCAAGCAUAGAAUUAAUUUUAUUGAUGAACUAAACUAUAACAAAUAUCUAAACUAAAUAUAAUGAAUCAAAUUAAAUUAAAGCAACUUAAAAACGCAAACUUUCAAACAUAGAAUCAAUUUUAUCAAUGAAUUAAAACUAUAAAUGUAUUUGAACUAAAUAGAUGAAUCAAACUAAAUCAGAGCAAAAUUAAAAAAAAAAAAGAACUUUCUAACAUGAAAUCAAUUUUAUCAACAAAUAAAUGAAUGAAUAACAAGUAAUUAAAAGAAUAGCUACUACAUGAAUAACUGAAUGAAUAAAAUUCAAAUGUUUUCAAUCUGAAGCAAUCAAUCAAAAUUAAAUAGGGAUCAAAUCAAAAUAAUCGAAAUCGGAAAAACAAUAUGCAAUCUUUCUAAAGGUUUAACCAGACAAUUGAAUUAAAAUUAUGAAUAGAAUAAAUUAAUAAACCAAAUCGAAACCUAAAUUGUACCUAAAAAGAUUAAUUAAUUAAACUAAGAAAUCAAAAUCAAUAACAAAACUAAACUAAGGAGUAAAUUAAGACAAGACUAAUUAAAUUAAACUCACAAACACGUUUUAACUAUCAUAUGGAUUAAAACAAAAUUAGCAUGGACUUAUGAAUUACGAACAAAAAUAAUCAAAACUAUUUUAAAAAACUCACCUCUAUUAUAAGAAAAAAUCUGCCUUUGAUGCGUUGAGGUGGCUCCCCUCUCUGUGUGGAUCUCUCUGCUCCCCAGAAAAAAAAUGUCUCUUCCUCCGUUCUCUUUUGUUUCAGCAAAAUAAUAUAUCCCCUGCUGUGGAUCUCUCUACUCCCAGAAAAUAAUAUAUUCUCUCCGUGUCCUAAAGUGGACCUAGGGUGCCUAAGUGGACCUAGGGUGCCUAAAUGGGCCUAGGGUGCCUAAAUGGGCCAAGUGUAUCUAAAUAGGCUUAGGGUGCCUAAGUGGGCCUAAGUCUAAGUGAGCCUAAGUCUAAAUCAAGACUACCAAGGAUCAUAAUAAGGGGUUAGGCAAUCCCUUAACCAAAGUCUCCAAGGUGGCUAAAAAAAAGUAAGUAGUAUGAGUAGCUAUGGGUCACCAAGGAACUACUGUGGAGCAUUGAAAACGAAUUUAAAGACAUGUGCCAAAGGGACAAAAUUGAGGGUCUACAGAUGGUUAGACACAUAGUUGCUCAUGGGAUAUUUGACUUUGGUAAACAAUUCAGAUUCAUAUGUGGGUUUAGGAAUACCUUUAUUAUGACGGUGUGGUAAUCGUUUCAUGAAUGGAUCAGGUUGCAAAUUAAGAACACCCUCAGCAAACAACGAUUGGUUUGGUAUUUCAGUGAAGACAUCUUCGAACCCAAAUUGUUGACCACUCAUAUCCAACUCACCCGCUUCCUGGUUCACUAGUUCAGAUUGUCCAAAUUCAUCAUUCUCAUAGAUAUGAUAAUCAUAAUCGAGAGUCUGAAUUUCCUUAUGGUACUCCCCCUGAAGUUCAGACUUAGAUGAAAAAUACAUCGAAUAUUCAUGAAACAGCNNNNNNNNNNNNNNNNNNNNNNNNNNNNNNNNNNNNNNNNNNNNNNNNNNNNNNNNNNNNNNNNNNNNNNNNNNNNNNNNNNNNNNNNNNNNNNNNNNNNNNNNNNNNNNNNNNNNNNNNNNNNNNNNNNNNNNNNNNNNNNNNNNNNNNNNNNNNNNNNNNNNNNNNNNNNNNNNNNNNNNNNNNNNNNNNNNNNNNNNNNNNNNNNNNNNNNNNNNNNNNNNNNNNNNNNNNNNNNNNNNNNNNNNNNNNNNNNNNNNNNNNNNNNNNNNNNNNNNNNNNNNNNNNNNNNNNNNNNNNNNNNNNNNNNNNNNNNNNNNNNNNNNNNNNNNNNNNNNNNNNNNNNNNNNNNNNNNNNNNNNNNNNNNNNNNNNNNNNNNNNNNNNNNNNNNNNNNNNNNNNNNNNNNNNNNNNNNNNNNNNNNNNNNNNNNNNNNNNNNNNNNNNNNNNNNNNNNNNNNNNNNNNNNNNNNNNNNNNNNNNNNNNNNNNNNNNNNNNNNNNNNNNNNNNNNNNNNNNNNNNNNNNNNNNNNNNNNNNNNNNNNNNNNNNNNNNNNNNNNNNNNNNNNNNNNNNNNNNNNNNNNNNNNNNNNNNNNNNNNNNNNNNNNNNNNNNNNNNNNNNNNNNNNNNNNNNNNNNNNNNNNNNNNNNNNNNNNNNNNNNNNNNNNNNNNNNNNNNNNNNNNNNNNNNNNNNNNNNNNNNNNNNNNNNNNNNNNNNNNNNNNNNNNNNNNNNNNNNNNNNNNNNNNNNNNNNNNNNNNNNNNNNNNNNNNNNNNNNNNNNNNNNNNNNNNNNNNNNNNNNNNNNNNNNNNNNNNNNNNNNNNNNNNNNNNNNNNNNNNNNNNNNNNNNNNNNNNNNNNNNNNNNNNNNNNNNNNNNNNNNNNNNNNNNNNNNNNNNNNNNNNNNNNNNNNNNNNNNNNNNNNNNNNNNNNNNNNNNNNNNNNNNNNNNNNNNNNNNNNNNNNNNNNNNNNNNNNNNNNNNNNNNNNNNNNNNNNNNNNNNNNNNNNNNNNNNNNNNNNNNNNNNNNNNNNNNNNNNNNNNNNNNNNNNNNNNNNNNNNNNNNNNNNNNNNNNNNNNNNNNNNNNNNNNNNNNNNNNNNNNNNNNNNNNNNNNNNNNNNNNNNNNNNNNNNNNNNNNNNNNNNNNNNNNNNNNNNNNNNNNNNNNNNNNNNNNNNNNNNNNNNNNNNNNNNNNNNNNNNNNNNNNNNNNNNNNNNNNNNNNNNNNNNNNNNNNNNNNNNNNNNNNNNNNNNNNNNNNNNNNNNNNNNNNNNNNNNNNNNNNNNNNNNNNNNNNNNNNNNNNNNNNNNNNNNNNNNNNNNNNNNNNNNNNNNNNNNNNNNNNNNNNNNNNNNNNNNNNNNNNNNNNNNNNNNNNNNNNNNNNNNNNNNNNNNNNNNNNNNNNNNNNNNNNNNNNNNNNNNNNNNNNNNNNNNNNNNNNNNNNNNNNNNNNNNNNNNNNNNNNNNNNNNNNNNNNNNNNNNNNNNNNNNNNNNNNNNNNNNNNNNNNNNNNNNNNNNNAACCAAAGGAAGCAUGUUCCAGACGUCGAUGCCACAACCAAAUUUCAGACUUUUUCUUCUCCUCCUUAGAUCCAUCUGCCAUCAAGGCUUGUUGCAACUUAUUUGAAUCCUUUGAUUGCAAGUCCAAGUAUAGAGUUUCCCCCGCUUAAUACGACAACCAAUCGUCUGUCUUGUUUGAAUGUCCUUAAUCACACAAAAUUCAGGCCAAAAAAUGACAAUACAAGAUAAGGCUGCAGUGAUUUGAGAAACUAACAAAAGAUUGUAAUCUAAAGAUGGAACAACUAAAACAGAAUCCAAAUUCAAAGUAUCAGUAAGAGUUAAGGAUCCUUCCCCAAUGACUGGGGUUGUGUUACCAUUGGCUGUGGAAACAAUUUUUUGUGAGGAAGGUCUAAGGGGUGAAACCUGUCUAGAAUCAAAAGUCAUAUGAUCUGUAGCACCAGAAUCAAUUAUCCAUGCACUAUUAAUAACAGGUGUAAAAGUAUUUAAAAACUUACCACAAUGAUCUGUAGCGGCUACUAAUGCAGAGACUUUCUCAACAACAUUAGUCUUUGUUUUUAUUUCGGUAACAGUUGCAAUCAAGGUUUUCUUGGAAUUCUUCUUCCGUUGAUCACGAUUAUUAUCAUUAAUAACAAAGUGUUGAUAGCCUAAACAUGAUCUAAAGGUCCAUGGUGCAAACCCUCGGUUCCUCAUUGUUUUCCUGGUCAUACCAAGAGUUGUUGCUUUGAAAUUGUGGGAUAUCCAGACUGGUGGGAUCAGUUUUAUUGCAGUGAGUGCAUUUGAAUGUUGACUUAUCAAUAUUAGGGCUUGUCUUCGGAUGGUUGAUUGCUGUUGGACUACCAUAGCGACAAAAUAUCCAGGAUUUCAAUUCCAGGGCUCUGAUACCAUCUUCAAAUUGAUGAAUGAUAGUUUUUCAUUCAUUCUUUCAUGUACAGAGUAUAUAUAGAGGGUAAUCACCAUUCUAAGAAUGGGAAAGAAUGAUACGAGGAAAUAAUGAUAUAAGGAAAUAAUAACUAAUAUCCUAAUAUCUCAACUUUCCUAAUAUCUCAAUAUUCCUAAUAUCUCAACUUUCCUAAUAUCUAAACAUUCAUAAUAUCUCAACACUAAAUGAUACAAGGAAAGAAUGAUAUAAGGAAAACAUUCCUAAUAUCUCAACACCACUUCAUGAUAUAUAUAGUUUCUUACCCUUAAUCAAUGGUUUCUAAGUGAAUUUAUAUAGAAAGAAAUCCAAACUGUAGACAGCAGUAUUGGUAACACUCAAUAUUCUGUAUAUAAUAGAAUAAAUAGCGUCACAGUGAUCGUCGCCUACAAGCAAGGUACAAAUACCACAAAGAGUGACCCACAUAGACAUUCCCCAACAAGAUGUAGUAGUGACUGACACAUAGCCACAAUUAACACGUAGAAAAGGAUAAGACCGGUGCACAGUAGCUCUUAUUUUACAUACUACUUAUGCCAACCAAAGUCACUCAGUUGGGAUGGGAGGGAGAUGGAGGUUUGUGCGGUGGCUUGUGGGGCGGAGUUGAUGGCUUCUUUCCAGGAGCUUCUGGCUUUUUCAUCGGAGCUGAAGGAGGCUCAAUCUUAUGAGGCGGCUUGUACGAGUCUUCUUUGCUCUCGAAAGGAGGGUGGCCAGGGUUGUGACCAUAAUGUGGUGGUUUCUCUCCCUUGGGAGGUUUACCAAUUGGGGUUGGUGGCUUGUGUUCUGGGAGUGGUUUCUCUCCCUUGGGAGGUUUAGUGGGUGACUUGUGUUCUGGAGGUGGCUUCUCCACCGAAGGCUUGUGCUCCGGUGGUGGCUUUUUGGUUGGAGGGGGCUUGGGGUAAUCAGCAAGAGAUGGGGUGGUGAGAACCACCAGUCCAAGGAACAACACUAGCAAGUAUGUGGGAGACAUUUUUGAGUUUGGGCUGAUCAGAUGAUGCAAAACUAAAGCAUUACGUGACCUUUUAUAGCAAGUAGCUCCCAAUACCUACUUGACACGUGUUACUGUGACCCAUAAAUAUUAUGGGGUCUAUUUGUGCCCUACCGGGUUGAAAACUUGGACAAUUGGGCAAGGACCCGCCUGACUAUGGAGGACUACUGAGGUGUGAUCACAGCUUUAGGAUUUUUCUUCCUCUGCAGCCGUCUUGCCGUUGGCAUGAUUUUCUUAAUCUCAAAUAAAGGCAUAGUUAUAGAGUUGUUUAAUCUCUAAAUGGGAUUUUAUAUAUCUUCAGAUAGCCAUUAAUACAUUUGAUGAAGAAAGAAAGACAAGUGCAUACAACAUGUAUACGACUAGCUUUCAUGGAGUUCAUUUAUGAUCAGUUUUCCUGUACAUGUAAACCAAGAUCAUAUAUGUUUUUGUUCCACAACAAUUUUGGAAUCUUGUUUAUCCGUUUUUAUCAUUAUAAUGUCACAUAGGCUGCCAACUUGGGCGCUAAAUUAAAGAUCCAGUUGGGCAAGUUCGUUUCAGAAUUUCAAUGGUGGAUUCAGGAAUUGUUUUAUAAGAUAUGCAAAAUAGUAGAGGGAUGAAUAGUGUUUCAUUAAGAAAAGAGCCCUGUAAAAAUAUUGUUUAAAGGUGCCAUAGAAACUAUAAUCAAUAAAUAACUUUUUUUCCCCAUGGGUGGUGUUUCUUGUGGGGAUCAGUGACUGGUUUGAGUCAACGCCGUGUCUCUUUAGUCCAGAAAUCAACUAUUUUAUGCAUUGAAUACAUCAACAAAGAAAAUAUGAAAGCCAAAUGACACCUCCCCCGCAAAAACUAAACCCUGGUUGCUAACUUUCUAUGUUUCAGUUCCAUUCACACAAGAAUAUUAGUUCAAGUUUGAGAAAAAUGGCGACUUACCUAGUGAUAACUCGGUCUUGGUUUGCGAUUUGACUUUAACGUCAUGGGUUGAAGCCUCCUACAAUCAUCGUGUAUGCUAGUUCAAAGCUCGUGGAAGAAGUUAUACAGGGAGGGAGAAACCUCCACAGCAAGCUCCAAAAGAGAAUUAUCACAUUGAAAGCUCCAGUUGAACACUGGGUGAAAGCCAUAACAAGAUUGGUUUUCUAUCGCUCUUUUAAGUAAUGGAAGAUUAUUAUCUCUGCUUGUCACUACAACCGUGCAUGCUGCUAGAUCUUUCUAGACACUUCAAACAGUGAAACCAAGUAUGAUUCUUUUUCUCUUGAGUGGGUCCACUUGCAUGCCAAUGAACGAGUUGAAAAGUUGGACAAUUGGCCACAGCGCGCACUUACCUUCUGGAACCGAAGGUCAGUGAAGUGGGGUUCCUUUUGGCCCCUUGUGUUUCUGUUCCAACCUACUCCAGGAACCGAAGUUCAGUGAAGUGGGGCUACUUUUGGCCUCUUGUGUUUCUGUUCCAACCAAACAAAAAUGGGAGGGAAAAAUAGCAUUAUGCUUGUGCUAAAGAUCAACGCAUGAUAGCUGAAUAAGGGAGAAAAAGGCAUUGCUAUCUCAAUUUCAUAAACUUGAUAAGUAGUGACAUUAAUAGUCUUCCUCAUAGAUGGAUACAUGGUUUUAUUUUAUUUAUUUAUUUUUAUUUUUUUGUUUUAUGUCAAUGCUAAUGAAUGAAGUGCAUUAGCUUGUUUUGUGACUAGAACUACAAAUGUCCAAAUUGGAGCUUCUCCAAUAUAUUUCUCAGUGAGUUAUUGAUUAGAACUCUUGGAUUGAGUUCCAAGAUUUGAAUCAGACCCCUCUAGCAGCUUCAGGGGUACGUAGCAACCUAUAGCAUAUUAAUGAAGACUUAGGAUUUAGACUUAGGAAUACAAAUUAAUAUGUACCUCAUGCUCUGACUAGCUUCCCUGCGUAUGCACAAAAUGGAGAUGACUCCCAAAAAAAUAGCAGAAUCGCCUUAGUAUGUUUUUGUGGUUAAGAUGAUUCUCCACUUUAUAUAUCCACAUUGGUUCAUUAUGCAAAUUAAUCAACUAAGCUAUUUUUAUUUUUUCUUAAAUGUGAAAUAGGAGCUCCAAAUUAACCUAACCAUUGGCCUGAUUGAAUUGAUUUCACUUGCAUAAUGUUAUAGUAGAAGUCCGUAAUUUGAAUUUUAUUUUUGCAAAAGGUAACGUAAAUGAAGCAUUGUAAUUAAAUUUAUUUGUAAUUACAAACUAAUUUUAUUUUAUUAAGAAUUAAUUUAAUUACUCAUUUAAAAUAAAAAUCAGUUAUACUUUUACCAAGAUGAUAAUAUUCAUAUUUUUCUAGUUAACAUAUAUAAAAUAGUACACUUUUUCAUAUAAAAAAAUAAUUUAUGAUUUAUUAUAAUGUUACUAUUCACAUUUUACUAAAUUGAUGGUACAUGAUAGUGAGAGAAGGGGGUGUCACACUCAGCUAAAGUUCUUUUCAAAAUAUUGCAUGGUGUUUAAUUUUAUGUGUCGGCGCGCGUGUGAAUGGAACCUGCAAAAGUCCAAAUUGGCGUUUCUCCAUUUUCCACAUAGGAUGGUGACGUUAAUAGACAAAGAUACAAUAUCUGUAGACAUUGCUUAAAAAUCGAUGUGAAGUAUUAGAAAUUACAGGGCACUGUACUGGGGGAGCGGCUGCCCCGCCAAAGGAGGAAGAAUGUAGCAAUUUCUUCUGUUAGCCAGGCCUUAGGAUUUAUGCAUGGGAUGCCUAAUAACAAACAGAGAAAAUAUACUUUUGGGGAAGGUAUCCAACAACAGACACCAUCAUUCAGAUGGUGGGAAGGUAUCCAACAGAUGCCAUCAUUCAGAUGGUAACAUAUAUAUACAUUUAUUAGUGAGUUUUUUUAAUACCUAUAAAAAAAAAUAUACACUUUGAUAUUGUGGCUGAAUCCAUUACAUACUCAACUAACCUUGCUCAUUAGGGAUUUGACUUAACAAGGGCAACGUUGCAGUACAAGCUCAAAACUUUAUGCAGGUGACAUUACAUUUGGUAAAGAAGAGGAAAAUAACGAAAGCCAUCCAUAAAAGCAAAAUUCCACAUGGGAUGAAAUUCACAAGCUUCAUUUACGAUAGAGUCGCAUCCAGGCAAUUAAUUCCACAUUAGACCGCCUGUUGACAUGUGUACCAAUCUUUUUUCAAAAAAUAUUUAUAAAUAAUUGAUACUCACAAAAAUAAUUUAAUAUUUAUAAAGGAUAAAAAAAUAUUUUCAAAUCUAUAACAAUUUAUAAAAUAUUAAUAAAAAAUUAUCUCUUAAACUUAGUAUAGUUUUAUCAGAUUAAACUUUUAUUUUGAACAAAUAAUUUUAAUCUAAGUUUUAAAUUCUAAAAUUAUUUCCUUAAAAUAAAAUUUUAAAAUUCAACACUUCAAUUGAAAUUGUCUUUUUAAAAAAUAUCUUCUUAUUUUAAUCCUUAUAAACUAUAGUUGAUUGAAAAUACUAUUGAAGUUCUCUCUUAAAAAAAAGUCUUAUUUUAAUCUUCAUAAAUUGCCCUUGAUUUGAAAAUAAAUUUUCAGUUAUCAUAUUUUAAAUAAUAUCUAUAUUUAAAAUACUCUAUUUAAAAAAAAAUGAACUAAUUUUAAUUAUAUUAUAUUUUAUUUUUUUAUAUAUUUUUAAUGAUAAACCAAACAUAGAAAAUCAUUUUUCUAAAUAUUUUAAAAUUUCUAAGCAACCAAACAUAAUCUUCAAAAUAAAAGGAAAAUAAGGAGGGACAUUUGAGAAAUGGCGAUUAAAAAAAAGUGUACAAAAGCUCAAUUAAUUUUCUUCUAGUCUUUUAUAUAAAAAAGUAAAGGAAUUGAAAAGUAUUGAUAUGUAAAUUAAUAUUUGGAUUUUAAUAGUAUUUUAUUUGUCUUUCUCUAUCUCAUGUAAAAGAGAAUUUAAGAUAUUUCCUAAAGCAAAGCAUUAGUUAUCUGCAAUCAGUGGUGAUCAUGCCCCAUGUCAAUUUCGGACCCAUAUCUUAAAACUGUAUAAUUUGCAUUCAAACAUUACUGAUUUCUCAGAUGUUUCAUACUCCACAGAAGAGCAUUGUUUGUGAAAGCAUGCAUUUAUGUUGGAUUUUGGAUGAUGUGGGAACUGGGGCAAGGAUCAUAUGGAAGAGUGGUCGAUUUUGUUCUGUACUUUAACAUUUGAAAUAGGAGAAGCUCGGGCAUUUGUGGGGCUUAAUUGAUUUUGAAGCCUGAAAUUGCGUUUCUGUCAUUUUGUAAAAAAUAUGGCAGAUUCCAUGCUCUCAUAUGUUUGGUCUGUGGCCAUGUAUAGAUGCCCCUUAGUGACCAGUUUGUAACUGUCAAUCAUAGUGUUUUGACUCUGGCUCAACAACAUCAGCCAUUGACGGAUUUUCAUACUUGCAAAUCAAAUAGUCUUCUUCCUCCCUUAGGAAUUUCGGUUUAAAUGUUAUUAAGCAUACAUUUGGCUGACAAUUAUUAACCACUUCAUGAUAUGGUUUCUUACCCUUAAUCAAUGGUUUCUAAGUGAAUAUAUGCAGAAGGAAAUCUGAACUGUAGACAGCAGUAUUGAUAACUCUCAAUAUUCUUUAUAUAAGAGAAUAAACAACGUCAUAGUGAUCGUCGCCUACAAGAAAGGUACAUUUCCCAACAAGAUGUAGUUGUGACUGGUACAUGGACGCAAUUAACUCGUACAAAAGAAUAAGACCAGUGCACGGCAGCUCUUAUUUUACAUGCUAAUUAUGCUAACCAAAGUCACUCAGUUGGGAUGGGAGGGAGAUGGAGGUUUGUGCGGUGGCUUGUGGGGCGGAGUUGGUGGCUUCUUUUCAGGAGCUUGUGGCUUUUUCGGAGCUGAAGGAGGCUCAAUCUUAUGAGGCGGCUUGUACGAGUCUUCUUUACUCUCGACAGGAGGGUGGCCAGGGUUGUGACCAUAAUGUGGUGGCUUCUCUCCCUUAGGUGGCUUGCCAACUGGGGUUGGUGGCUUGUGUUCAGGAAGUGGUUUCUCUCCCUUGGGAGGUUUACCAAUUGGGGUUGGUGGCUUGUGUUCUGGGAGUGGUUUCUCUCCCUUGGGAGGUUUAGUGGGUGACUUGUGUUCUGGAGGUGGCUUCUCCACCGGAGGCUUGUGCUCCGGUGGUGGCUUCUCCACCGGAGGCUUGUGCUCCGGUGGUGGCUUCUUGAUUGGAGGGGGCUUGGGGUAAUCAGCAAGAGAUGGGAUGGUGAGAACCACCACUCCAAGGAACAACACUAGCAAGUAUGUGGGAGACAUUUCUGAGUUUGAGCUGAUCAGAUGAUGCAAAACUAGAAGAAUUACGGGACCUUUUAUAGCAAGUAUCUCCCAAUACCCACAUGACACGUGUUACUAUGACCAUAAAUAUUAUAGGGUCCAUUUGUGCCCUACCGGGUUGAAAACUUGGACGCUUGGCCGAGGACACACCUGACUAUGGAGGACUAUUGACGUGUGAUCACAGCUUUUGGAUUUUUCUUCCUGUGCAGCUGUCUAGCGGUUGGCAUUAUUUUCUUAAUCUUAAAUAAAGGCAUAGUUAUAGAGUUGUUUAAUCUCUAAAUGGGAUUUUAUAUAUCUUCAGAUAGCCAUUAAUAUAUUUGAUGAAGAAAGACAAGUGCAUACAACAUGUAUACGGCUUGCUUCAAUCGAGUACAUUUAUGAUCAGUUUUCCUGUGCAAGUAAACCAGUUUUUUGUUCCACAACUAUUUUGGAAUCUUGUUUAUCAGUUUCUAUCAUUAUAAUGUCACAUAGGCUGCAAACUUGGGCACCCAAAGAUCUAGGUGGGCAAAUUUGUUUCAGACUUUCAAUGGUGGAUUCAGUAAUUGUUAAAAGGUGUUUCUUCAUUAAGGAAAGAGUCCGGUAAAAAUAUUGUUAAAAGGUGUCAUAGAAACUAUAAUAAAUAAAUAACUUCUUUUCCCCAUGGGUGGUGUUUCUUCUGGGGAUCAGUGACUGGUUAGGGUCACCCAAAAUGAGUCCAGAUUAAAAUUGGUUCGAGUCAAAGCAGUCUCUUUUGUCCAGAAAUCAACUAUUUUGCGCAUUGAAUGAAUCGAUAAAGAAAAAAUGAAAGCCAAAUCACACCUCCCCUGCAAAACCUAAACCCCGGUUGCUAACUUUCUAUGUUUCAGUCCUAUUCAUAUAGGAAUAUUGGUUCAAGUUUGAGAAAAAUGGCAACUUACCUAGGGUUUACUUGGUUUUGGUUUGCGACUAUUUACGCAACCAACCAUGAGUUUGACUUUAACGUCAUGGGUUGAAGCCUCCUACAAUCAUGUAUGAUAGUUCAAAGCUCGUGGAAGAAAUUAUACAGGAAGGAAGAAACCUCCAAAGCUAGCUCCAAAAGAGAAUUAUCACAUCGAUAGCUCCAGAGAUUCCCAAGGGAACUGAAUCAAAGACAAGUUCCUCACUUUUUCUUCUUUUGAGGCCAAAUAUGAACCAAGGAUCACACGACCUCAUUCAACUUCAUAAGUUUGAUUUCAUGCAGUUGAACACUGGGUGAAGGCCAUGACAAGAAUUGAUUAAAAAAUUCUACCACUCUUUUAAGUAAUGGAAGAUUAUUAUCUCUGAUUGGCACCACAACAGCACAUGCUGCUAGAUCUUUCUAGACACUCCAUGCAAUGAAAGCACAAUGGAUCUUGUAAUGAUAGAAACUAAGCCAUGCUACAGUACUAGAUGAGGGGGUAAAACUAGUAGACAUCUUUCUAGACACUCCAUGCAAUGAAAGCACAAUGGAUCUUGUAAUGAUAGAAACUAAGCCAUGCUACAGUACUAGAUGAGGUGGUAAAACUAGUAGACAUGGCUGGCAGUUGAUUACUACUCAAAAAGUACUCUUUUAUAGCUUGAAACUAACUGUUUUAAACACUUUUGAGUAGUAGUUAAUACCUUUUAACUUAAUUGGCACAUUAAGGAACCUAGCAAGGGUUACUAAUCAACAUUUGGCAAGUUUUGAUGUUUUUGGUAGCUAUUUGAUCAUUGAAACAAGCCAAGAAUGAGGGGGAAUUUUGUGAAGUCCAUGGCAAUGCAAGUUAAAGCUCAAAUACAUGAAGAAUCCAAGCUUUGGAGCACUUCAUAGCCCUUUGCCAAGCCAAUCAAAGAUGCAAGGAAGAAAACCAAAGGAAGAAAUCCAACAAUCAGCAUUUUGGCAUGGCUAUGUGAAAUUUCGCACACCAUGCGAAACCACAAGAGGCAGCCAAAGAAUUUCGCAUGGUAUGCGAAAUCUUCUUGUGCACUGACUCUGUUAGAUUUUUAUCUUCAGAUAUUUUGUGUAAUUUCCUAGUUUCUCCUUGUAACCAACUUAGAUAUUUUCUUUUAUAUCUUUUUUUAUAUUUUUUAGGUAACAUCAUAUAUAAGAGGAGAGACAUAAGGAGGAUAUGGAUGUUUUUCAUAGAACACUUGUAAAUUUUUGGUAGUAAGAAAUAUACAAAGCUUUUUGCUCUGCCUUACCUUCUCAAGGGAUGAGUGGCUAGGUUUUCUUGGAGUGAGGGAAGCUAGGUGAAGGACCUGAAUGCAAAGGUGGGAGUUUUCCUUACUUUAAAUGAAAGUAGUUGUUAAACAUUAAUGGUUUUUAUUUUAAGGUUUAGCUUUAAAUCCCUGAAAAACACCUUGAAUGGCCAAUACUUGGUAAGCUUUUUAGAUUCUAUGGAUGCUUAUUGCUAGAUCCAUGGAUGUCUAUUAGUUAUCAUUUACGAGCCAUUGGAAGGUGAUUCAAGGUGAGGGUCUUUAGUGUUUGAAGCCAUUAAUGGGAAGCAAUUACCAUUUUUUCAUGAAUCCUUUGGAUCAAAUCUUAAUUGCUAAAUAUAAAACCGGUUUCGAGAGAUAACCACCAUCCUUUAUGUUAUUAUCCCCAACGCGAGGAGAAGAUCCGAAAUCUUCCUUUUUAUCUAAGGAACCCGAUCCUAGUGACCUAAAGCUCCAAGAUACCUUUUCUUUGUAGUUAACUUCAUUUAUUGUUUUUGCUUAACUUAAAAUCAAUCUUUGCAACCACAAUUCCAUUUUCUUUAAAAGCUAAUUUUUAUAAGGAAAAACACCAUUUUAUUUCCUUCACUAAGUCAACUGUACGAUGAAAACCCAUCCCUGUGGACGAUCCUAGAGCCACUAUACUAUGUUAGCUAUGCUACCCUAGUGUGAGGUGAUUUAGGUUUUAUAAAUUUUUUUGAUAACACCCAUCUGAGCCAGAAUCAAAUGGCACGACUGAACCAGGGACGAAUCAAAUGACGCCGCUACCAAGGAUGGUGCCAAAGUACAUUGACAUGACUUUUGGUGAACACUUGUGAUCUUCACCACAAGUUUGGUGAUUUUUCUUUUACUAAUUUUUUUUAUUUUAGCUUAUCUUUUAUUUAGUUUUUAGUUAACCUUAAAUUUUUCCUAGAAUUGUAUUUCUUUUGUUUUCUUUGUUUUUGUUUCAGUGAUCUUUAGUUGUGCAUGCCCUAUUGGAUAAGAGAUAUUGAGGGAAUACUUGUGAAGAUUGAAACUCCUCGAGAAACUGAGUUAGAAGUGUGCUUGAACAUCAUGGAUGUUCCACCUGAAGACCAGAAUAGCCAACAUGGUUAAGAGGAUAAUUUCAACACAUACCGAUCCAUGAGGAACCGCAUACAUCCACCUUGUAUGAGUGCACCGUCAGGCAUAAUGCCUCCCACUGAGCAGCUAGUAAUCUGACCUCACAUUGUGCCACUCCUACCUACUUUCCAUGGGAUGGAGAGUGAGAAUCCCUACUCGCAUAUUAAGGAAUUCGAGGAGGUUUGUAAUACAUUCCAAGAAGGAGGAGCUUCAAUUGACUUGAUGAGGCUCAAGCUAUUUCCUUUCACUUUGAAGGAUAAGGCCAAGAUUUGGCUUAAUUCUUUAAGGCCAAGAAGUAUCCAAACUUGGAUUGAUUUGUAAGCCGAGUUUCUUAAGAAGUUCUUCCCUACCCAUAGGACCAAUGGUUUGAAAAGGCAAAAUUUGAACUUCUCAGUUAAAGAGAAUGAGAAAUUCUAUGAGUGUUGGGAGAGCUACAUGGAAGCUAUUAACGUUUGUCCUCACCAUGGCUUUGACACAUGGCUCUUAGUGAGCUAUUUUUACAAUGGUAUGUCUUCUUCAAUGAAGCAACUCCUAGAAACUAUGUGUGGAGGAGACUUCAUGAGUAAGAAUCCGGAGGAAGCCAUGGACUUUUUGAGUUAUGUGGCUGAAGUUUCAAGAGGAUGGGAUGAACCAAAUGCUAGAGAGGUGGGAAGAAUGAAGUCUCAACCUAAUGCUAAGGGUGAGAUGUAUGUUUUGAAUGAAGACAUUGACAUGAAAGCAAAGGUUGCAGCUAUGGCAAGGAGAUUGGAAGAGCUAGAAAUGAAGAACAUACAAAAAGUGCAAGCCAUUUCUGAGACAUCAAUGAAAGCUAUGCCUUGUUCCAUUUGUCAAUCUUAUAAGCACCUAGUGGAGGAGUGUCCUACAAUUCCAGCAGUGAGAGAGAUGUUUGGUGAUCAAGCAAAUGUUAUUGAUCAAUUCAAGCCUAAUAACAAUGCUUCAUAUGGCAACACCUACAAUUCAAAUUGGAGGAACCAUUCAAAUUUCUCUUGGAAACGAAAGCCACCUCAAUACACACAACCUACUCAAGCACCUUAGCAAUCCUCGAAUCUUGAACAAGCUAUUGUGAACCUUAGCAAGGUUGUGGGAGACUUUGUGGGAGAUCAGAAGUCCAUCAAUGCUCAACUGAAUCGGAGAAUUGACAGUGUGGAGAGUACAUUGAACAAAAGGAUGGAUGAGAUGUAAAAUGAUCUGUCUCAAAAGAUAGACAAUGUCCAAUACGUAAUCUCAAGGCUUACCAACCUCAACACAGUGUAAGAGAAAGGAAAGUUUCCUUCUCAACCUCAUCAAAAUCCUAAGGGUAUCCAUGAAGUAGAGGCUCAAGAGGGAGAAUCUUCAAAGGUGAGGGAAGUCAAAGUAGUUAUCACCUUGAAGAGUGGUAAAGAGGUUGAUCAACCCACAUCCAAGCCAAAGCAUAAUGAAGAGAGUGUAGCAGAAAAAGAAAAGAGAGGAAAAUAAAGGAAUUAGAAUAGAGAAAAAUACAAAGAAAGAUGACCAUGAGUCUAGUGUGGAUGAAGAGCCCGAGAGGAUGGUGAUCAAGGAAGAUAUGAUGAAGAAACACAUGCCUCCACCUUUCCCCUAAGCUUUGCAUGACAAAAAAAGAACCAAUAAUACAUCAGAAAAUUUUGAAGUAUUGAGGCAAGUGAAGGUCAAUAUCCCUUUGCUAGACAUGAUCAAACAAGUGUCGACAUAUGAAAAAUUCUUGAAGGACUUGUGCACUGUAAAGAGAGGGUUGAAUGUGAACAAGAAAGCUUUAUUGACCGAGCAAGUGAGUUCCAUCAUACAGUGCAAGUCCUAGUGAAGUACAAAGAUCCGGGUUGCCGUACCAUCUCAGUGAGUAUUGGAAGGACUUGUGUGGAGAAAGCUUUGUUGGACUUGGGAGCAAGUGUGAAUUUGCUAUCCUACUCUGUCUAUAAGCAGUUGGGAUUUGGAGAGUUGAAGCCAAUAUCCAUCACUCUAUCUCUAGCGGAUAGAUCAAUGAAGAUUCCAAGAGGGAUGAUCGAAGAUGUCCUGGUUCAAGUUAACAAAUUCUACUAUCCAGUAGAUUUUGUUGUUCUUGAUAUGGAUCCGGUUGUCAAAUGAACUAAUUAUGUUCCUAUCAUACUUGGAAGACCCUUCCUAGCUACAUCAAAUGCAAUCAUCAAUUGUAGGAAUGGAGUCAUGCAACUCACAUUUGUCAACAUGACAUUAGAGCUCAACAUCUUCCAUUUGUACAAGAAGCAUAUCCAUCAGGAGGAAAAAGAAGGUCUAGAGGAAGUGUGAAUGAUUGACACUUUAGUGGAAGAGCAUUGUGAUCGAGAAUGCAAAAAGAUUUAGUUGAGAAUUUUGGGGAUCUUGAUGAAAGGUUACUUGAACCCUCAGAUUUGCUUGCUACCCUACUCCAUUGGAAGAGAAGAGAAGAAAUUCUACCCUUAUUCAAUGAGGAGGAGACGCAAAGAGCUGCAAAGGAGAAACCCCCAAAACUUAUUCUUAAGCCACUACCCACAGAGUUGAAGUAUGUAUACUUGGAAGAAGACAAGAAGUGCCCUAUUGUUAUAUCUUCAACUCUUACCAUUCAUCAGGAGGAUUGUCUACUUGAAGUCCUUAGAAGAUGUAAGAAGACAAUAAGGUGGCUAAUUUCUUAUUUGAAAGGGAUCAGCCCUUUAGUCUGCACCCAUCAUAUUUACAUGGAGGAUGAAGCUAAGCUAAUUCAUCAACCUCAGAGAAGGUUGAACCCUCACAUGCAAGAGGUGGUUCGAGCUGAAGUUCUGAAGCUACUUCAGACCAGUAUUAUUUACCCCAUAUCAAAUAGCCCAUGGGUGAGUCCUACUCAAGUUGCGCCAAAGAAGUCUGGGAUCAUGGUGGUGCAAAAUGAUAAGGGAGAAGAUGUCUCUACACGCCUCACUACAGGUUGGAGGGUGUGUAUCAAUUACAGGAGGUUGAAUGCAGUGAUAAGAAAGGACCAUUUCUCAUUGCCCUUUAUUGAUCAGGUGCUUGAGAGGGUCUCUGGGCUUUUUUUUUUAUUGUUUCUUGGAUGGCUACUCCGGGUACUUUCAGAUAGAAAUUGAUGUUGAAAACCAAGAUAAGACCAUUUUCACAUGCCCAUUUGGAACCUAUGCAUAAAGGAGAAUGCCUUUCGGCUUAUGCAAUGCACCCGCAACUUUCCAAAGAUGCAUGUUAAGCAUUUUCAGUGAUAUGGUGGAGCGUAUUAUGGAAGUCUUUAUGGAUGAUAUCACCAUUUAUGGAAGUGCAUUUGAUGAAUGCUUGGUCAACUUAGAAGCUGUUCUGAACCGAUACAUUGAGAAAGACUUAGUGCUUAACUGGGAGAAGUGCCAUUUCAUGGUACACCAAGGGAUUGUCCUUGGGCACAUUAUCUCCAAGCAAGGCAUUGAAGUUGACAAAGCAAAGGUUGAACUCAUUGUUAAGUUGCCAUCCUCAACAAAUGUCAAAGGAGUAAGGCAAUUCUUUGGCCAUGUCGGGUUCUAUAGGAGGUUUAUCAAGGAUUUCUCUAAGCUUGCAAGGCCUCUUUGUGAAAUAUUGGUGAAUGAUGUUAAAUUCAUAUGGGAUGAUGGAUUUGAAAGGAGUUUUGAAGAAUUGAAGCUAUUUUUGACAACCGUACCAAUAGUGAGGGCUCCCAACUGGCAACUGCCCUUUGAAGUAAUGUGUGAUGUCAAUGAUUUUGCUAUAGGAUUUUUUCUUGGGCAAAGAGAAAAUGGAAAACCUUAUGUGAUCUACUAUGCGAGGAAGGCAUUGAAUGAGGCACAAAGAAACUACACAACCACCGAGAAAGAAUUGUUAGCUGUAGUUUUUGCCUUGGAUAAGUUUCGCGCUUACUUGGUGGGGUCCUUCAUCAUGGUUUUUACUGAUCACUUUGCUUUGAAGUAUCUGUUGACUAAGCAAGAUGCUAAAGCAAGGCUGAUUAGAUGGAUUCUCUUACUUCAAGAGUUCAAUCUCCAUAUCAAAGAUAAGAAAGGAGUGGAGAAUGUGGUAGCAGACCACAUUUCAAGGCUAGCUAUCGCACAUAAUUCCCAUGCUUUGCCCAUUAAUGACGAUUUUCUAGAGGGGUCUCUCAUGUUGGUGGAAGUUGUCCCUUGGUACGCUCACAUUGCUAACUACCUGGUCACGGGAAAAGUUCCAAGUGAGUGGAAAGCACAAGAUAAGAAGCACUUCUUUGCAAAAAUUCAUGCCUACUAUUGGGAAGAGCCAUUUCUAUUCAAGUAUUGUAUGGAUCAGAUAAUAAGGAAGUGCGUUCCUGAAGAAGAGCAACAGGGGAUCCUUAGUCAUUACCAUGAAAAUGCAUGUGGAGGCCACUUUGCUUAUCAAAAGACAGCCAUGAGGGUGUUGCAAUCGGGUUUCUGUUGGCCAUCACUUUUCAAAGAUGCCCACACCAUGUGCAAGAGUUGUGAUCGAUGCCAGAGGCUUGGGAAGUUGACACGCAGGAACAUGAUGCCUUUGAACCCCACUUUAAUAGUUGAUAUUUUUUAUGUUUGGGGCACUAACUUCAUGGGACCUUUCCCUAUGUCUUUUGGCUACUCUUACAUCUUGGUAGGAGUAGAUUAUGUUUCUAAGUGGGUUGAGGCAGUCCCAUGCAAACACAAUGACCAUAGAGUGGUUCUCAAGUUUCUUAAAGAGAAUAUCUUCUCAAGAUUUGGGGUGCCCAAAGCCAUAAUUAGUGAUGGGGGUACUCAUUUUUGCAACAAGCCUUUUGAAACUCUCCUAGCCAAGUAUGGGGUGAAGCAUAAGGUAGCUACACCUUACCACCCUCAAACUCAUGGACAAGUUGAGUUAGCAAACAGGGAGAUUAAAAACAUAUUGAUGAAGGUGGUGAACACAAACAGAAAAGAUUGGUCAGUCAAGCUUCUUAAUUCACUAUGGGCAUAUAGAACAACUUACAAGACCAUUCUCGGGAUGUCUCCUUAUCGCCUAGUUUAUGGCAAAGCAUGCCAUCUCCCUGUGGAAUUGGAAUACAAAGCUUGGUGGGCAAUCAAGAAGCUCAACAUGGAUUUGAGCAGAGCUGGGUUGAAGAGGUUCUUAGACCUUAAUGAGAUGGAGAAAUUGAGAAAUGAUGCCUACAUCAAUUCAAAAAUUGCAAAAGAAAAAUUGAAGAGGUGGCAUGAUCAGUUGAUUUCCCGCAAGGAUUUUCAAAAUGGACAAAGAGUCUUACUUUAUGACUCUAAACUCCACAUCUUUCCGGGCAAGCUGAAAUCAAGGUGGAUAGGUCAUUUUACCAUUCACCAAGUGCAUUCAAAUGGAGUAGUGGAACUACUCAACUCCAACAAUAUCGAGAACUUCAAAGUGAAUGGCCACCGUCUCAAGCCCUUUGUGGAGUCUUUUUCUCACAACAAGGAGAAAUUCAUCCUCCUUGAUCCACAUCAAGCUUAACAAGACCAAUUUUCUUGAUGGACUUAGUCUUUCUAAAGACUAUCGAGUCCAUAACUUUUUGUUUUAUUUUUUAUUUGAGAUUUUUUCGGUAUUGUUACUUGUUUUGUUUUUUAUUUUUCGUUUUAAUUUUAUUUGGUUUGAUUUAACUUAGGUUUUUGAUGAUCAAUUACAGGGGGGAUUUCAAAUAGAGGAAAAACCAAGAUAAUUCGCACACCCUACGAAAAUUUCGCAAGGCAUGCGAAAUUUAUGGCUUAUUUUGCAUGGGGUGAAAAUUUUCGUACAUCUUACGAACCAAUUUCGAACACUUUGCGAAAAUAAACCAACCCUGCGAAAUCAUUUCGAUUACUCUACGAAAUUUUCGUAGAGCAUGCGAAAAAUUUAGCACACCAAACACCAUUUCGCAUACUAUGCAAAAACCUAAGGGGUCUGCGAAACCAUUUCGCACCUCCAAAUCCAUUUCGCACAUUGUGCGAAAACCAAGAGGCGCUGUGCGAAAAUGAAAAGUCGCCCUGUCAUCCCUUUUUAAACCCCUCGAGCCCUAAAAUCUCCAUUUCGCAAGCACCCCUGUCCUUGCGAAUCCCUCAUUUUCCUCUACUACCUUGCAACCUCGUCCCUUUCCAUUUGAUAUUGUGCCCCGCGCACAUCUCAUUUCAGAGACUCGCACUCCGCGCCCCCUCAAAGCAUGGACUCGAGACCCACCUUCCAUUUCCGACGUGGCACGGACCCAAGGAGCCCUUUCUGCCCCUUCACUAAGACACACACCAAGGCAGAAAGCCUCCUUUGCUCAAGUGCCUAGUGAUUCUCCAUCUUAGGCCUCAGAGGCCUCGGAGGCCCCGUGGAUUCCACCUUCCGAGGGUAGAGCAGCCAUUGGUCCUUCCUCUUCUACUCCUUAGCGUAGAUACGAGACGAGGAGACCACCUACUACACAAGGGGCGACUACUUCGAGCCUUGAGAAUUCAGUACGAUGCCUUCCUGCCAAGAGGGUCAAGACUUCAGGUCCAAGUGAGUCAUCCAGAGCUUCAUAGCCUAAGCCUCCUGUAGAUUCCAAGGUUCCUACUGACAUAUCACCGGAGUCUAUUAUCAGAAGCCCGAUGCUCAUAGCACCGCCCAUUGAGGGCAACUCAGAUUAUAGAGCGAGAUCUUUCCACUUGGAGCUAUAUUUUGAUCAGGAGGCCAUACGACAGCAGCCUGAGCUCCGAGACUCUUAUGGCUUACUGCAGAGGUACCAUCUUGAGGAACUUAUGACUCCUCGUGAGUUUUUUUAUCCCAGAGUAGCACUAAACUUUUACCAGUCCAUGACUACUCGUGGCGUCCCGAGUCCUACCACGAUUCACUUCACCAUUGAUAGACGUCAUGGUAUCCUCAAGGCCAGACAUAUUACAGAGGCUCUACAAAUUCCUUUCGAGCUAGAGGAUCCAUCUGUUUUUCGCUAAUGGUCCCCAGUAUCUCAGAGGGACAUGGUCCGUAUUUUAUCUAGGGGAACAUCUACAGAUUCGAUCUUUCUACGGAAGGAGCUUCGACCUGGGAUGCUCCUCUUAGAUGUGGUGCUAUGCUCCAACCUCUUUCCCUUACAACAUUCGGUACAUAGGUGAUGAGCUAUUUUGGACGCUUUAUUCCGUAUAUCAGAGGGCUUCUACUUUGGCCCGCACCACUUGAUCAUGGUCUCCCUCAUCCACUUUGAGGAGAAGGUUCAUAGGAAGAAGCUUCAGAGGGUGGACACCAUUCCAUUACUAUUCCUGAGGUUACUUUGCCAGGUCUUGGAGUACAUGGGCUUUCCUACUGAGCCUCGGCUCGAGCUUUGCCGCCUUUGUCGAGAGUGAUCCACUCUCGACAAAUGGAAUUAGUUGGCGGGCUAUUCUGCACCUCCAGGAGCCCCUCCCAUGGUAGCACCUCCAAUGUCCCCACAGGCAAAGUAGGGCGAGCUCCCGGCAAAGACUGUACCACCAAUGCCCACACUUGAGGCUAUUUCUGCUGCUCUGCCUAUGACUCCUACUGUUCCACCAGUUGGUCCUUUUACAUCCGAGCCUUCCAUCACCAUCUCGGCUUCGGAGUUUCGCGCCCUUGUGCAUACCUUUCAGACACUCACCACCACACAUACUCCUCUCUUCUAGCAAAUGGUUGAGAUGUGUGCCCAUCAGGACCGGAAGACUACUAUACUCUGCCAAAUUCAGCAGCACCUAAGACUUUUGCCUCAACCUCAACCUAACCAUCCCAUAUCAUCAGAGCCUCUAGCUCCAACUGAGGAUACUAUUCCACCUGAGAACACUACCACAGUAGAGGUCCGGUUUCCACCACCUUAAGAGGCCACCACAGCUACAUCAGAGGAUGUGUCAUCUCCACUUGAGGCUCCCACUACUUGAUCAUAGGACAUAUCUUUAUCUUAUUGUAUUUACAUAUUAUAUUACUAGAGAUUUGUCCUUGUUUUGAUACUUUAUAUUCUGGGAUUGGAUGUAUUGCCUGAUGAUAUCUCAAUUGUACUUUCUCAUAUUAAUAUAUAGACAUCAAUUUUUUUUAGUAUACUUAGCAUUUUUCUAUUUCCUCUACUCAUUACUCUUUUGUUUUUUUUUACUCAUGUGGUUUCUCUUAUACAACUCAGACUCCAUUUCACUCAGGAGGUACCACUUCCUCCCUUUAUUUUCAAUUGCUCUUGAAAUAUUGAGUGCAAUGUUGAUCUUGGUUGGGGGGAGAGUUGAGGAAGGAAGUUUUGUUAAUAAUGCUAGGUUAAUUUGUUAAUUUAGUUACUUUCUGCUUAAUUUUAAAAGUUUUCACUCUACUUUCCAUGGUUAUUAAGGAAAAAUUCUCAAAAUGAAAUGGGAGAAAUCGAAUUCUUGCAUUUUUACUUGAAUCUUAGAAUUUGUAUCAUGCUUAUUAAAGUUGAUGAAUUAUUGAAACUCCUAUUGAAUUCAACCUUAUUUUUUCCACUUUAAUCUUACCACACACGGUGCACAUUAGGUUCCAGUUAUAAGAUAAAAAACUAUCUCACCCCCUAAACUUAGAAAAAUUUACACUUGGUACCUUUGACAUCGUUUUAAUAGUGUUGGGACACCUUAUAAAAGGCCAAUGAGCCUUUAAAAAAAAAAAAAAAAAAAAAAAGAGAAAGAACAAAGUAUUGCACUUGCCUUGAAACCUGAGCAAGAUCCGAGGGGUAUACAGUGAAAGUCUUUAAAACCUGGUGCCCUAAGCCUUGAUUGGUUGGGAGUCACCGACCUCAAUGCUCGUUAUAAGGGUGAAUAGGUGGAGUUUAACAUAUUGUAGGUGCUUGGGUAUUGAAUUUCAAUCUCAAAAGUCCGGGAAAAAAUCUAAGGAGUUAGUGGUCAAAAGAUCCUUAAAGCUUGAUGCCCUAAACCUUGAUUGGUUGAGAGUCAUUGAUGGAUCCCCGCUACAUGGACAUUUUAGAAAACAAUACCUUUAGCAUUGCACGCCUACAAUGAAAAAAAAAUGUGAAAUAAAAGAGGUGCGUUCUUAGCCUAUUGGAGGUUGGUCAGUUUGCUAAAGUUUGAGAAAUCUAGGUUGGGGGGAGAGAAUAGUCCGACAUACUAUAAUAAAAAACUAAUAACCUUAACACUUAGAUUUUUGUGGAAGAGUAAGGAUUGGACCUUUAGGGGUGGAAAUUCUUUUGAUGCUUAAAUUUGCAUAAUGCCUACUCUUUAUAAAUUAUGAUUAGGCAAGAGAUUUGAUGACUCUUGUUCAAAGUUGGGUUUUUCCUCUUUGAUGUUCCAUGAGAGAGUAUAAUCCUCAUCAUGCCACUUGAAAUCUUUUUGGAGUGAUUAACAUGAUUUUGUAAAUUAUUUUACUGUCUAUUUUUCUUUAUCUCUCUUUUAUUGCUAAUGGACUAGCAAUAUGUCAGUUGGGGGGAGUGAUUACUACUCAAAAAGUACUCUUUUAUAGCUUGAAACUAACUGUUUUAAACACUUUUGAGUAGGUGUUAAUACAUUUUAACUCAAUUGGCACAUUAAGGAACCUAACAAGGGUUACUAAUAAGUUUUUGGCAAGUUUUGGUGUUUUUGGUAGCUAUUUGAUCAUUGAAACAAGCCAAGAAUGAGGGAGAAUUUUGUGAAGUCCAUAGCAAUGCAAGUUAAAGCUCAAAUACAUGAAGAAUCCAAGCUUUGAAGCACUUCAUAGCCCUUUGCGAAGCCAAUCAGAGAUGCAAGGAAGAAAACCAGAGGAAAAAAUCCAACAACCAGCAUUUUCGCAUGGCUGUGCGAAAUUUUGCACACCAUGCGAAACCACAAGAAGUAGCCAAAGAAUUUUGCACACCAUGCGAAAUUUCGCAUGGUAUACGAAAUCUUCCUAUGCACCAACUCCGUUAUAUUUUUAUCUUCAGAUAUUUUGUGUAAUUUCCUAGUUUCUCCUUGUAACCAACCUAGAUAUUUUCUUUUAUAUCUUUUUUUUAUAUUUUUUAGGUAACAUCAUAUAUAGGGGGAGAGACAUAAGGAGGAUAUGGAUGUUUUUCAUAAAACACUUUUAAUUUUCUGGUAGUAAGAAAUAUACAAAGUUUUUUGCUCUGCCUUACCUUCUCAUUUUGUUUUCACCUAUCUUUCUAGCCAAACAACCUCUGAGAAUGAUUUCUCAGGGGAUGAGUAGUUAGGUUUUACGUUUCUUGGAGUGAGAGAAGCUAGGUGAAAGACCCAAAUGCUAAGGUGGGAGUUGUCCUUGCUUUAAAUGAAAGUAGUUGUUAAAUAUUAAUGGUUUUUAUUUUAAGGUUUAGCUUUAAAUCCCUUAAAAACACCUUGAAUGGCCAAUACUUGGUAAGCUUUUCGGAUUCUAUGGAUGCUUAUUGCUAGAUCCAUGGAUGUCAUUAGUUAUCAUUUAUGAGCCAUUGGAAGGUGGUUCAAGAUGAGAGUCUUUAGUGUUUGAAGCCAUUAAUGGGAAACAAUUACCAUUUUUUCAUGAAUCCUUUGGAUAAAAUCUUAAUUGCUAAAUAUAAAACUGGUUCGGGAGAUAACCAUCCUUUAUGUUAUUAUGCCCAAUGCAAGGAGAAGAUUUCGAAUCUUCUCAUUUGUCUAAGGAACCCGAUCCUAGUGACCUAAAGCUCCUAGAGACCUUUUCUUUGUAGUUAACUUCAUUUAUUGUUUUUGCUUAACUUAAAAUCAAUCUUUGCAACCACAAUUCCAUUUUCUUUAAAAGCUAAUUUUUAUAAGGAAAAGCACCAUUUUAUUUCCUUCACUAAGUCAACUGUAUGAUGAAAACCCAUCCCUGUGGACGAUCUUAGAGCCACUAUACUAUGUUAUCUAUGCUAUCCUAGUGUGAGGUGAUUUAGGUUUUAUAAAUUUUGUUGAUAACACCCGUCUGAGCCAGAAUCAAAUGGAACCACUGAACCAGGGACAAAUCAACAGCCUAUAUGGGAGGGACACAAGUUUAAUUGAUUUGCAUUUCAGCGUUAUAGAUAAGUAUGUUUUGGAAGAUUUGUUCUGGAAAUACUGCACCAAGUACGAUUCUUUUUCUCUUGAGUGAGUCCAUUUGCAUGCCAAUUAACGAGUUGAAAAGUAGGAGCACCUACCUCGUGCUCAUGGAACCGAAUGUCAGUGAAGUGGGGCUCCUUUUAGCCUCUUGUGUUUCUGUUCCAACCAAGGCGGCGUAGGGAAAAACAACAAUAUGUCUGUGCUAAAUAUCAACGCAUGAUAGAUGUUUUUUUUUUUUUUUUUGGUAUGUCAAGGCUAACGAAUGAAAUGCAUUAGCUUGUUUUGUGACUAUAACUGCAAAUGUCCAAAUUGGAGUAUCUCCAUUUCUCACUUCGGAUGGUUAACUUUAUAAACAAGAUAUAGGAAACAUGUGAACAUCUUGAGGAACAAUUCAAAUUAUUCAUUAGAAGUCCUGGGUUAAGUUCCAAGAUUUAAAUCAGACCCUUCUAGCAGCUUCAAGGGUACUUAGCAACCUAUAACAUAUUAAUGAAGAUUUAGGAUUUAGACUCCGGAAUACAAAUAAAUAUGUAUCUCAUGCUUUGACUAGCUUCCCUACAUAUGCAUAAAAUGGAGAUGACCCAAAAAAAAUAGCAGAAUCUAGCUUCCCUACAUAUGCACAAAAUGGAGAUGACCCAAAAAAUAGCAUAAUCGCCUUAGUUUCUGUGGUUAAGGUGAUUCUCCGCUUAAUAUCCACAUUGACUCAUUAUGCAAAAUCAACUGAGCUAAUUUUAUUUAUUUAUUUAAUGUCAAAUAGGAACUCCUAAUUAACUGAUUACUGUCGAAAAGUGCUAUUUUGUAGACCUAAUUAUAAGGGUUUUAAGCACCUUUGAGUAGUAAUCAUAUUCAUUUAACCUAAUUAAUUCAUUAAGCUCCUUAGUAAUUAGUUCUAACCAUUUUUAGUGGCAAGUUUACAUGUUUUUCAUCAGCUUAUGAACCAAUUCAAGCAUGCCAAUUGAUGGAGGAGCUACUUGGGCGAGUUAAGCAAGGAUUUUGGACGUUUACAGGCUUGAAUUUCAAGUGGAAACACGAGCACAAGCAAUGGGAACACCAUUUCGCAAGGGGAGGCAAUUCACCUUGCCAAAUGACCAAUUUCGCAAGGGGAUUUUCCUCAUGGUGCAAAAUUUGGUCAUUUCGCACCAUGAAGAAACCACCUUGCAAAAUUUCGCAAGGUGGAUUUAGGCACCUUGCGAAAUGCCAAAUUUCACAAGGUGGCUUUUCACCUUGCGAAAUUUGGACCUUUCAUCUUCCCCCCUUGCGAAAUGCCUUUGAAAUCCCCUGUUUUGAGACGCUGUUGAUGAUAUUCCACUGCCGGUUCUCCAAGAUAUUUUGCUUGACUUUUAGCUUUAUAAAUACCUAUUUUACCCUUGUAAUCAACCAAUGAAAAGGUUGCUUUUGUAAUAGCUCUUGUAAUUUAGCUUUUUAUUGUCUUUAAAUAGAGGUGAAGAGCCUCAGACACGAUCAUCUUGUAACCUGUAACUUUAUAAGUUAUAAGAGCACUUUUGUUCAUACGCUUCUUUUCUCUUUUCUUUCUCAUUUUCUUAGUAGCCAAACAUCCUUGGAGGAUGAAAUCCCCAAGGAUGAGAGGCUAAAACCUUUUAGUUUCUUGAAGUAAUGGAUGCCAUGUGAAGCUCCCGUGUCAGGAUGGAGAUUUCCAAGCCAUAAAUGUAAGUAGCUGAGCGUCAUAAAUGUUUUCAUUCAAAGUAAAGCUUUUAAUCCCUCUGACUUGCUUUGAAUGGCCAAUACUUGAUAACCUUUUGGUCUCAAUGGAUUCUUAUUGUUAGAUCCACUGACGUUCAUUAGUUAUCUCCUACGAGCCAUUGUAUUGCAAGUCGAGGAGAUGACCUAUACCAAUAAAAGAGCAUUUAUGAGGUUCAACUACCCUUUUUGUAAGUUUUCAAGGACUAAAACUCAGUUGUUAAACUCAUACCGGUUCGAGAAGUAAGCAUCACCUUAGUUGCUUCCCCAACUCGAGGUGAAAAGUCCCAAAAUCUCCAUUUUUACACAGUGAGUUAAGCAUGGCUAUCCAAAGCUUUAAGAAACUUCUUUUUCCAUCUUUUAACCUAUUUUCAUGUUAGUUUAGUUUACAACACCUUCAUCUUUUUAUGUUUUCAUCUUAACCUAAUUUUUAUUAAGAAAAGUUCACUCCAUCCUCCGAACUUCACCAGUUAAAGUAAAAACCCUUCCCAGUGUUCGAUCCUAGAGCCACUAUGCUAUAGUAGCUUUGCUACUUUAGUGUAAGGACCUUAGGUAUAAAUUUUGUUGAUACCCUUACAUGCCAAGCUACCAAGAGUCGGGUUAUCAUUAACCUAACCAUUGGCCUGUGUAAAUUGAUUUCACAUGCACAAUGUUGUAGUAGAAGUCCAUAUUUUGAAUUUUAUUUUUGUAAAGGUAAGGAAAAUGAAGCAUUGUGUAAUUAUAAAAAUAACUUCAUUGGAAUUCACAAGGUUCACCCAAAAUGGAGCUACAUCUGUAUUCUAUCCUACAGUAGACUAUAUAGAUUGUACAAUAGUAAAUUGCAAAUACAAUUAAUAAGUCUUGUGCUUCCUUACUAAUAAUCCUUUGACAUGAACAUUGCAGCACUAAGGUCCUCUUGGGAAGACACCUUGCACCCAUGAGAGCACUAAGAGGAAGCAAGGCAGAGUCAUGGGUGCAAUGUCAUGACUUGUUGUUGCACCAAGAGAGGCUUGGUGAUGCCAUGGUGUUGCAGUAGCAAGAAUGUUGCCUUGGCAGGGACACGAUCUAGGGAUAGAUGCCAAGAAAGGCUUAGCACUCACAUGAGUUGCACAAAGAUGAAUGUAAUAGAGCAUCAGAGAGACGUCUUGGCAAGUAAAUGAAUGGAUCCAAGAGACAACAACAUGAGGAGUUUCAAAUGGAUAAGGAAUGACUCAAAGACAUUUGAAAGCUACAAGUUGGAUUCUAAUUACGAUUGCAAUUUGAGUUUGAGUAGGAGUUUAGAUUUUGAUUGUAAUUGUAGUAUGAGUUGGACUAGGAUUGCUUAUCCUUAGUCAAUAUAGGAGCGGUUCGUGUCACCCUAUGAAAAGAGUUUGAGUAGGGACUAGGAUUGCUUACUCCUAGUCAAAUAUGGAGUAGGUGGUGCCACACCUAUAAAAAAAAGGGACAACAUGAGAGAGAGAGAGAGAGAGAAAGAGAGAGUGAAUUCACUAAAGAUAUUGUGGGAGUUUUGCUUUGUUACGUCUUGUAUUAUUACUUAGAAUAGGAAUAAAAUACAAGUUGGGGCUAGAGCCCCAUAAUUAAUCUCGUGUGCCUUUGUGGUUAUUCUUUAUUUGUCAUCUCGUGUGGAUUGGAUUAGGUUGACUUAGAGGGCUUCUAAGCACCACCUUUGUGGGUUAUUAUUUAUUUUCCAUCUCUUGUGGAUUAGAUUAGGUUGACUUAGAGGGCUUCUGAGCACCACCUUUGUGGGUUAUUAUUUAUUUUCCAUCUAUUGUGGAUUAGAUUAGGUUGACUUAGAGGGCUUUUAAGCACCACAUUUGUGGGUUAUUCUUUAUUUUCCAUAUCGUGUGGGUUGGAUUAGGUUGACAAGGAGAAAAAUUAUGUGGGAAAUUUGUGUUGGGACACUUACCAUAACCAAGUAAAAUCUACCAAGUCCUUUGUAAUAUCUUCAACAAAUAUUUUAGACUAGUUCUUUCAGUUAGUGUAAAGGAGGAAGAAGUGGUAUUGAUUCUAGAAAUAGGGUGUGUGUAUUUGAACUACAAUCCUUAUGAUCCUUAGGUCUCUAAACCUUCGUGAUGGGCUCCCUGACAUUUCAUAGGUUGUGCUACACAUGCGUUUGAAAUUUAGAGUGCGUUUGACAGUGAUUCCGGGAAGUGUUUUUGGCCUUUCUUACACUUGAAAAUUUUUAUUUUUCAAGUAUUAGAAAUGCUACAAACACUUUUGAAAAUUACUGUCAAACACACUCUUAGGAGCGCACAUAUAUAGUAGAAAACUAGAAAUUGUGGUUUUUUUAGGAUUUACUGUAAUGUCAUUAGGAGGGUAGUAAGUUGAAAUUGAGUAUGAACAAAUAUUUCUUUCUUUGGGAUGUUCUUCUAGUAGGUGCUGAUGAAACUGUUCUUUCUACUGCCAAUGUCACAUAUCAGCCAGAAAUUGAAAAUUUCAGUCAAGGUGUCCUCUGUUUUAGUGGUGAGGAAAGCUAGAAAUUUUAAGGUGAAGUUUUGUUAAAAACCUUAAGUAGCUGGGAUAUCAGGCCUGUUUUGCUUGAAAAAAAAAGUUGCAAGAUAACUCAUAUGCCAAACAGGUUCUGAUAUUGUGAAUCUAUCGGCAGACAUCAGUAAUCUCAUCUUCUGAGAUGGAUGUUGGGGGUGCAUGUGGUGGUGGAGGGGCAAGGUUUCAUUUGGUUUAUUUUGUUGAUGGAUAUUGUCUAGCCACCUGCGCCAAGUUUGAGGGGUGGUGGGUUGUGAUGACCCUACAAUUACUAUUAAUUUCUUCAUCUUUUACCGAUUAAAGUGUCCGAACAGUCGAAGUUACCCUUAUGCAUGUCAACUUGAUCACUUACCUCUUCAAUGGAGUUUAUGCUGGUUCAUUUAGGAACUGAUUUUUAUUGUUAUGUAUUAUAUGCUGAUGUUUAGGUCUCUCCAUCAUCACUAUAUACAAAAAUUCUAGGUUGAUACUAUAGGUUGAGAUUUAUUUUUUAAAUAAAAAAUAAUAAAAAUAAAAAUUAUGGUGAUGUUUAGUUGUUUUAUGGAAAAUUUUAACAAGUAAAAGUUAUUUUUGGGCAAGUUUUCAAACAAAAAGAAAAGUAAAAGUUGUUUUGACAAAAACAUAUAGAAAAAAAAAUCAUAGAAAAUAAAUAAUUUCCCCAUAUUCUAACUUUUUUGAAUUUUUCUCAAUGGGCAAAGGAAUAUCAAAUCAAGUUUGAGUAGGAUUUCUUAAUUUUUAAAAUAACUUACAAUUAAAAAAUUUUGGUGUUUUCAUUUUUGGACAAUUUUUUAUUAAGCAAAUGGACUCUGAGUCAUGCAAGAGAUAUGGUUCAUUAACCGGUCGAACAAUUUUUUUAAAUUAAUUUAAAAGUCAAAUACAUAAUCAAUUUCACAAAAUUUAUAAACAAAAAUAGGUUUAGAGAAGAUCUACACAUAAUUUUACUUUUCUAAUUUUAUUUUAUUUUAUUUUUUGUUGGAAAAUAGUCUUCAAAUCAUGUAAGAUUUAAUAGGUUAAAUUUGUUAACAAUAAAUUUUAAAUUAUAAAAUAUAAUCUGGAACUCAAAAAUCAAUUCAAGUAAUGCUAAAAAAAAAUCAAAUUUGGUAUAGAAUGACUUUGUAAAUUUUUUUACAAAACAAAUGAAUUUUAAAUCAAGUGAGAUUUAAUGCAUUAGAUUUUUAUCAAAUAUAGUAAUUUUAAAAAUAAAUUUGGAACUCAACAAUAGACACAAUAAAUACCAAAAAAUAAUGAACCAAAAUUGGUUUGGAAUAACUCCACAACCUUUUUUUUUUUUUUUUGGUGCACACGAAUUUUCUUACUAGGUAUAUUGCUUUCAAAUUGAGAAAGAUUUACCAUUUAGAUUUUUUUUUAAUGAGUUUAAUGGUAUUUUAAAAUAAUUCAAAAUUUAAAAAAUUGACUAAUUAAUAUUAUAAAUUGAUAAACCAAGACUAUUUCAAAAUGCAUUGGGGGCUAAGGGGGUUGAAAAUAGGGACAAUGGGAUGGGUUUGGGACAUGACACUCAUAUCUCAUUUCCAUUCCAAUUACACAGUUAUCUCCCAUCCUUAUCCCAAACUUGUGUUGGAGCAAGUUGAUUUGUUCCCAUCUUUGUUGACGAAAUGACUAAUAACCUCAUCCCCUCCUUAUCUUAGAUGUACAUUUUGUCAAAUUUGAUCAGGUAUGAUUGAUCCAAGCCCUAACCCUAAUUGGUAAUGAGUGAAUACUACACCUAAUUGCAUUCUUCUUUCAUUGCAAAAUAAUGAGAUUAUAAUAAUCUAGCAAAUAAGAAAAAAUAGUAUGGAAGUUCAAAUUAACACCAUAACUAUCAAUAAUUUUAAGCUUAUAGAUGACUUAAAUGAUUAAAAACUAAUGCAAAAUCCUAAAAAAAAUAAAAAUCAUAUAAAGAAUUCACAAGAGAACAGAAUGAACAAAAACCAAAUAUGAACAUGGGUCAACAUUAGUUAUGGAUUUGGAUUCCUUUCAAGGCCAAUCUUUGAACCAAGACUUCAUCAAAUCAACUACUUCAAAGGCUUUUGUGUUCUUCUUGGGUUGUGCUCUCAAACAAAGACUUCGAGGUGAUGUUCUAGAUGAUUGAAUUACACAUAUUUAGGGUGGAGAGAUUGGAGAAGCUUGAAGAUGCCAACGAUGGGUACAAUUGAGUGGUCAAUAAGAACAAUGUAGCCUAUGACUAGUUUGAUGUCAUGGUACAAGAGUUUUAGGCAUUGAGGUUAAAGCAAGAGCAACAUGGAAUUGAUUUCGGAGUCUUUCAGUUAGUGUAAAGGAGGAAGAAGUGGUGUUGAUUCUAGAAAUAGGGUUUUAAGUGGUGCGUGAUUACUACUCAAAAAGUGCUAUUUGAUAGCCUUUAAUUAAUCCUUUUUAACACUUUUGAGUAGUAGUUUAGGCCUUUUAACUCAAUUGGCAUGUUAAGGAUCCUUUAAAGCAAUUUUGAUCACUUUGUGCAAGUUUUGGUGUUUUUGUUAGUAUUUUGAUCACCAAAGCAAGUCAAGAAUGAGGAGAACUAUGAGGAAUCAUGGGCAAAGCUUAGAAUUCAAUUGCCAAGAGUGAAUCCGGAUUGCAAGGAGAAAAAGCAAAGAGAAUCUGUCAUGAAGCCUAUUCUUGAUGACAGUCGUAGCAGCCACUUUUGGAGCACUUUCUGAAGUCCAAAUGAUGCAAGCUAUAUACCAUUUCAAAGAUCAGGAAGUCAACAAUCCAAUGCUUCAAACGGUGCGCGAUUCGGAGUUGAAACGAAGAAGUUGCAGCCAUUACAAGCCAGUCACUCUAAAGUGUUGCGGAAUCAGCCUUUUGUUGCGAGAAUUUCGCAGCACUUUUGUACAGUAAGGUGUUUCUCCUUCUGACGAUGCACGAACCAUGCCGCGAGAGGGAAGCUAGGAACUUCAAGAUGGAAGCCAACUUUGCAGCCUGGUGAAGAUAGCUUGGUCUUGCGAAAUAAUUUCGCAGCCCUCUUGGGUGUCUGCGAAAUUUCGCAGGCACCACUUUUUUCCUGCGAAAUGGCUCCGGAAGCCUCCCGAAGCUUGCUACCGACAUUGGGAGAUAUUUUCCAUUAGAUUUUUGUUGUCUAAAUUCCAAAAUACUCCUUGUAAACCACCAAUUACAUGAUUCCUUAGUUUUUAAGUUAGUAAAAAGACCAAAUAUCUAUGUAAUAAUUAGUUUUAUAUUAGUUUGCUAUAAAUACCUCUCGGGAGCAUGUUCUCAGAGAGGAGUUCCUUCUGUAACCAUUUUGGUAAGCAAGUAAAGUCUUUUCUUUCUACUGCCUUACCUUCUCACUUUGUAUUUUCAUUUUAUUUCUAAGUUAUGAAUUCUCUGAGGAGCUUUCCCCAGAGAAUGAGUAACUAAACCUCCAAUUCCUUGGAGCUAAGGUUGCCGGGGAAGGUUCCAAGUGCAAGAAUGCAAAGCUCUGUGGUUUUAGCUAGUAAUGAAGAGGAAGUGAAAUCCUUUAGUGAUUUCAAUGUUUUUAGUUAACUUAAAACACCUUGGAGUCACCUGGGCCAACACUUGGUAAGGCAAGUGAUUUCCAACCGUGGAAAUGCACUAGUUUACCCCUUGCGAGCCUCUGGUAGGUGACUUCAAGGUAGGAUUUUCUGGAAUUACCAACACUUGGUAAGCUUUUGGACUCCUAGGAGACAUCCAUUAGUUAUCUCUUGCGAGUUUGUGAAGGGGAAUCCAAGGUUAAAGAUCACCUUGAAUGGUAAGUGCUCGUGAGAGGCAUGAACCAUUGCAAGUUGUAUCAGUGAGAGAAUUAAAGUGAAAUCUAAUUGAAGGAGUCUCUGUACAUCACCGGUUAGAGAAUUGACUAUAAGUUGAAUCUCUAAUGCGAGGAAAUGAACCAUCUGACCGGAGCUAUGUCUUUUGCAUGAGGAACCACCCCAGUGAACCUAAAUCUCCAAGGAAUGCUUUUCUUCCUAAAUUAUUCCAAACUUCUGUUAAGUUAGUUAGUUUAAGUCUAAACCUUUACCAAUCAAACUUUGUGUUUUAUUUCUUAAGCUAACCGUGAAAUGAAACAAAACCAAUUCACUUGGAAUUGGUAUCCUUGAUUGCUUGCAAAUCAUUCCCAGUGAACGAUCCUUAGAGCCACUAUACUAUAGUAGCUUUGUAUUUGCUACCCUAGUGUAUGGUGUUAUAGGUAUAAAUUUUGUUGAUCACUUCCUCAAUCAAGGAACACCAGCUGAACACAAAUCAGCUGAGACACCAAUUGGGCAUGAGUCAAAUGGCGCCGUUGCCGGGGAAUGAGUGUCAAGAUCAUUGUGAUACCAUUUUUGAGCACUUGUGAUUUUCAUCACAAGUUGGUAAAGUUUCUUUCACUUUACUAAUUUUCAUUCUCUCUUUGUUUAUUUACAAUCUAAGUUUAUCUUUUUAAAAUUUAGUCUAGUUUAAUUUUGCUAUUGUAGCCUUGUUUCUCUUGUUGUCCUCUGUUCUUGUUGUCCUCUGUUUUCAUUUUAGUUGCAGCUGAAUACUAGUUGUGUAUGCCAAAGUGGAUACGAGACAUUGGAGGUAGGCUUAUUAAGUGUGAUACACCUCAGAGAGGAGAAUUGGAAGUAAUCUUGAAUAUCAUGGAGGCUGCACCUGAAGAUCAGCAUAGUCACCAAGGUCGUCAAGACAAUCUCAAUGAAUUCAGAUCAAUGAGGGACCGUAUGCAUCCACCUCGUAUGAGUGCACCAUCAUGUAUAGUGCCCCCUACAGAGCAACUAGUGAUCAGACCAUAUCUUGUUCCACUUCUACCAACUUUCCAUGGGAUGGAAAGUGAGAAUCCGUAUGCACACAUCAAGGAAUUUGAAGAUGUUUGUAAUACAUUCCAAGAGGGAGGAGCUUCAAUUGAUUUGAUGAGGCUUAAGUUAUUUCCUUUUAAUUUAAAGGAUAAGGCCAAAAUUUGGCUUAAUUCUUUAAGGCCAAGGAGUAUCCGCUCUUGGACUGAUUUACAAGCUGAAUUCCUCAAGAAAUUUUUUCCUACUCAUAGAACAAAUGGCUUGAAAAGGCAAAUUUCAAACUUCUCAGCUAAAGAGAAUGAGAAAUUCUAUGAGUGUUGGGAAAGAUACAUGGAAGCUAUAAAUGCUUGUCCUCACCAUGGCUUUGAUACUUGGCUACUGGUGAGUUAUUUUUAUGAUGGUAUGUCCUCCUCAAUGAAGCAACUCCUCGAGAAAAUGUGUGGAGAAGAUUUCAUGAGCAAAAAUCCAGAGGAAGCUAUGGAUUUCUUGAGCUAUGUAGCUGAUGUUUCAAGGGGAUGGGAUGAACCAACUAAAGGAGAAGUGGGAAAGAUGAAGUCUCAGUUGAAUGCUUACAAUGCAAAGGCUGGGAUGUAUACUUUAAAAGAGGAUGAUGACAUGAAAGCAAAGUUGGCAGCUAUGACAAGAAGAUUGGAGGAGCUGGAGCUGAAAAGAAUGCAUGAAGUGCAAGCUGUUGCUGAAGCACCAGUGCAAGUGAAGUUGUGUCCCAAUUGUCAAUCGUUUGAACAUUUGGUAGAGGAAUGCCCUGCAAUUUCAGCUGAAAGGGAAAUGUAUAGAGAUCAAGCAAAUGUUGUUGGACAAUUCAGGCCCAAUAACAAUGCUCCUUAUGGAAAUACCUACAAUUCAAGUUGGAGGAAUCAUCCAAAUUUUUCAUGGAAGGCCAGAGCAACUCAAUACCAACAGCCGGAUCCACCAUCUCAACAAUCUUCAAGUAUUGAACAAAUAAUAGCUAAUCUCAGCAAGGUAGUGGGAGAUUUUGUGGGAAAGCAAGAAGCCACCAAUGCUCGAGUGGAUCAAAGAAUGGACAGAGUGGAUCAAAGAAUGGACAGAAUGGAGAGUAUGUUGAACAAAAGAAUGGAUGGAAUGCAAAAUGAUAUGAAUCAAAAAUUUGAUAACAUCCAAUAUUCAAUUUCAAGGCUUACAAAUUUGAAUACACUGCAAGAAAAGGGAAGAUUUCCUUCUCAACCUAACCAAAAUCCCAAAGGUGUCCAUGAAGUGGAAAGCCAUGAGGGAGAAUCAUCACAGGUGAAAGAUGUGAAAGCUUUGAUCACUCUAAGGAGUGGUAAGAAAAUUGAGCAGCCAACACCCAAGCCACAUGUUGAGAAAGAAGAAGAGAUGAAGAAAGGGAAGGAAAUGGAAGAUAAAGGCAGUGAGAUCAGUGAAGAAAAGAAGGACUCUGAUGCAACAAUGAAAGUAAUUCCAGAGAAGGAGCUUCUGAAGGAAGAAAUGCUGAAGAAAUCAACUUUUCCACCUUUUCCUCAAGCAUUACAGGGGAAAAAGGGGGUUAGAAAUGCAGCUGAAAUCCUAGAAGUAUUGAGGCAAGUGAAAGUUAAUAUUCCACUGCUGGAUAUGAUCAAACAAGUUCCAACGUAUGCAAAAUUCCUAAAGGACUUGUGUACUAUCAAAAGAGGGUUGACUGUAAACAAGAAAGCCUUCUUGACUGAGCAAGUAAGUGCAAUCUUACAGUGUAAGUCUCCUUUGAAGUACAAAGACCCUGGAAGUCCUACCAUUUCAGUCAUGAUUGGAGGAAAGGUAGUGGAGAAAGCCUUGCUAGACUUGGGAGCAAGUGUGAAUUUGCUUCCAUAUUCUGUCUACAAGCAACUGGGACUUGGAGAGUUGAAGCCAACAGCAAUCACUUUGUCUCUGGCAGAUAGAUCAGUGAAAAUUCCAAGAGGGGUAAUUGAGGAUGUAUUGGUUCAAGUAGAUAAUUUCUACUAUCCUGUAGAUUUUGUUGUUCUUGAUACAGAUCCUACUGUAAAGGAAGCUAAUUUAGUUCCUAUCAUCCUUGGAAGGCCAUUUCUUGCAACUUCAAAUGCAAUCAUCAACUGUAGAAAUGGGCUUAUGCAACUCACUUUUGGUAACAUGACACUGGAUCUAAAUAUUUUCUAUAUGUCUAAAAAGCAAAUCACUCCAGAAGAAGAAGAGGGUCCAGAAGAGCUAUGUAUUAUUGAUACUUUGGUGGAGGAGCACUGCAAUCAACAUAUGCAAGAUAAGUUGAAUGAAAGUUUUGUGGAUAUUGAGGAAGGUUUUUCUGAAUCUCCUAAUGGGCUUGCUACUCUACAAAGUUGGAGAAAGAUAGAAGGAAUUCUACCUUUGUUCAAUGAAGAAGAGGAGGCAGCUGUUGAAAAAGAAAUUCCAAAACUCAAUCUGAAGCCUUUACCUAUGGAGCUGAAAUAUACAUAUCUUGAAGAAAAUAAUCAAUGUCCUGUCGUAAUAUCUUCAUCUCAAACCAAGUCUCAAGUGAAGGAUGCAAGCUUCAAAUGGGAUCCGGGCAAACUGAAUCAGGAAGGGCAAAAAGUUUUGAUGUAUGACACAAGACUCCAUAUCUUUCCUGGGAAGCUCAAGUCAAGGUGGAUUGGUCCAUUUGUUAUUCACCGAGUAUAUUCCAAUGGAGUGGUGGACUUAUUGAAUUCCAAUGGCAAGGACAGCUUUAGAGUCAAUGGAUAUCGUCUUAAGCCGUUCAUGGAGUCAUUCAAAUCAGAAAAGGAGGCAAUCAACCUCCUUGAACCUCAAAAAGCCUAAGUGAAAUGGGUUUGCUGGACGUGGUUUUACCACAGUCCAAAAAUUUUUGUAAAUUUUGUAAAUUUUCAAGUUGUUUCCAUGCUUUUAAUCUUAGUUUUUGAUUUUAAAUCAUGUUUUUAGGUGUGUUUUAAUCGUUUUAUAUGAUCCCAGGCGGAAGAAAUUUCAAGGGGAUUGAAAAGAAAAAAAUCGGGUCGAAAUUGGAGCCGAAACAGAGCAAAAACAGGGGAAAAACAGAGCUCUGCGAAAUUUCGCAGGGUGAAGGAAACUUCUGCGAAAUUGGCAUUUUGCUGCCAAACCAUUCCGCAGCACUGUAGAAGCCUCUGCGAGUGUAUUUCGCAAUUGCGAAAGUGGAUUUGGCACACGAGUGCCACUUCGCAGCACAGUGACAUCAAUUUCGCAGCUGCGAAACUCACUGCGAAGUUGCUGCGAAAAUGGCAAGUUGCUGCGAAAUUGGCGUUUUGUUGCGAAACGUAAUCUGACCCCUGGGCUUCCGUUUUUCCUAUUUAUACCUGUCAAAAGUGCUGCGAAAAAGGUUUCAAAAAUUAGAGCACCAUUCUCGCAGCCCUUUCAUCUUCUUCGCCAAGCCACGCCGUCCGUUUCUCCGGUCGUCUUCUCCGUUUAGCAGCGCCGGCCAAAGAUCGAUAGCCCAAAAAUGGCACGAACGCGAGGGGCAAAGUCUUCAUCCCCUUCGAACCGCAAAAGGAGUCUGCGAAAGGAGCCAAGUUCAGGCUCUGUUCCAGAACCUGCUCCAAAGCCUUCGCCGUCGAGACCACAACCUUCUCCAGUGAAGCCGGCGCCACCAAAGCCGCCGGCAAGGCGAUAUUUAACCAGGUCAGGUGGUCAGCCAUUGAAGAAGAAAGCCAGAGUUGAGAGCUCUGAACCAAUCGAUUUGACUGAGCAAUCCCCUGAGAAAUCACCAAAUCCUUCACCGGUACAAAUUCCAGUGCCAUCACCGGUUCCCUCGCCAAUUCCCUCACCAGAAGCAACUCCAAUUCCAUCGCCGGUACCAUCUCCGGCACCCCAAGAAAAAGCUCAGGAGCCUCAAGCGCCAAUUCCAGAGCCCCAAAUUGCAGCUGAAGCACCUCUGGAAGAAGUGAUCCGAAGGCCAAUGCUGCCUCAGCCCCCAAUCGAAGGAAACCUGGAUUGCCGAACUCGGGCAUUCCAUUCUGAGCUUUGCUUCGAUUUAACAGCAUUCAGAGUGAGGCCAGAGCUUGCCCAAUCCUUCCAACUGCUGAGGAGAUAUCAUAUGGAGCAUCUGCUAGCUCCAAGGGAUUUUUUCUAUCCCCGGGUAGUCACGGAUUUCUACCAAACCAUGACAACCAAAGAAGUAAGAAAUCCAACUCUGAUUCAUUUCAUAAUUGAUGGAAGGCAUGGUAUUUUGGGAGCAAGACAUAUUGCUGAAGCCCUGCAAAUUCCUUUUGAGCCAACUCAAUUCGACAAUUUUAAAGCUUGGACAAAUCCUACUGAGUUAGAGAUGGUUAGCACACUAACCAGAGGAGCUGCAAAUCGAUCGCAUUUGUUGAGGGGGGAGCUACCUCCAGUUAUGUUUUUGAUUGAUGCCUUUUUGAGGCAUAAUAUCUAUCCCCUGCAGCAUUGGACCCAAAGAAGGGGAAUUCUCCUAGAAGCCUUGUACAAAAUGUCUGAAGGAUUCUUCUUUGGGCCUCAUCAUCUGAUCAUGGCAGCCCUUCUAUACUUUGAGGAGAAGGUUCACAAGAAGAAGCUUCAAAGAGCAGAUUGCAUUCCACUCCUCUUCCCAAGGCUGCUAUGCCAAGUUUUGGAGCAUCUCGGAUACCCCUCUGAGCCUCAGCAGGAAAGAAAGAGAAUAUGCCGUGAGCCUUUUACCCUUGAUAAAUGGAAUAAUAUGACGGCCUACAAAAUUGAUCAGCCUGGGCAGCCUCAGCCAGCAGCAAGGAGAGUCUCCCCAAGACAUAUACCUGAAGGUAUAACACUUGCUACUCCUGCCAUCCCUCGAGCUCCACCAGCUGCACCUGCUCCAUCACAGCCAUCCACAUCAGCUGAGCCGAGGAUGGCCAUCCCUAUAUCCGAAUAUCGAGAGCUGUGCCGUGCAUUGGAGACUCUUACAGCUUCUCAGAGCAAUCUUGCUCAGGAGUUGGCAGCCAUUAAAGCAUGCCAGGAGCAGAUGUUAGCCUCUCAGACUCAACAAGCUGCCAUCCUAAGGCAGCUUCAAGUCCAUUUCGAUCUGCCACAAGCUGUAGAGCCCUCUAUUCCUACUCCACCAGAGCCACACUCUCAGCCUUCAGAGUCUCAUCCUCCAGAACCCGAAGCACCAGCUGAUCCACCUACUGAGGAGGCAGAUCCUUCUGCCUAGCACCAUCACCCCCCUCAUCAGACAUUAUAUAUAUAUUUGCUGUUUAUGUUUUUAUGCAUGUUUGUUUUGUUUUAGUUGAAAAGAAAUCCCAGUAUUUUGGUACUAUAUAUGGGAUUCCUUGUGUUACUUGUCUUUAGUAUUGUAAUCACAUGAACUCAAAGUAAUACAAGUUGACUAUUUCUUGUUAAAAGUUAGCAUUAAAGUUUCCUUAUUUCCUUUUCUCACAUAUUCUAUUCUUUUUGAAACAUGUGGUUUUCCCCAAUCAAUAUUCGAAUUUGAUAUCAGCAUGGAGGUACCACUUCCUCCCUUUUAUUACAGUCACUCAAAUCACAUUGAGGACAAUGCUCAGUUCGGUUGGGGGGUAUGAGGAAGGAAGUAUUCUAAACCUUUUUGGUAUUGCAAUUAUAUUGGUUAAUUAGUUGUAGAUUUUACUUUUUACUAGUGUUACUCUAUUCUCCAUGAAUUUUGAGGAAAAAUUUUCAAAUUAAACCAAGAGAAAUUGAACUGUUGUUUUUCACUUGACUUAGAGUAUGGAUUAUGCUUACUAAAGUGGUUCAAUUGUUGAAACUUCUACUGAAAUUGAAUUGAGUUCUUCCACUUUAAGCUAUCCACACACUGUGCACAUUAGUUUCCGAUUAUAAGAUGAAAAGCUAUUUCCCUCUUGACUUAGUAUAUUUUUGGGACUUGGUAUAUUUGACCUCAUUUGAUAAAAAUUGAAACACCCUGCAAAAGGCCAAUGAGCCUUUGAAAUAAAGAAAGUUGUUUGCUUGCCUUGAAACCCGAGCAAGGUCUGAGGGGUAUAUGGUGAAAAUCUUUAAAGCCUGGUGCCCUAAGCCUUAAUUGGUUGGGAGUCACCGACCUCAAUGCUCGUUACAAGGGUGAAUAGGUAGAGUUAGCAUAUGGUAGAUGCUUGGGUAUUAGAAAUUCAUUCUUAAAAGUCCGGGGAAAAAUCCGAGGAGUUAGUGGUUGAAAGAUCCUUAAAACUUGGUGCCCUAAACCUUAAUUGGUUGGGAGUCAUCGAUGGACCCCCAUUACAUGGACAAGUCAGAAAGAGUACCCCAUAAAGCUACCUUAAAAAAAAAAAAAAAAAAAAAAAAAAAAAAAAAGAUGAAAGUGUGUUCUUUUCUUAUUGAUUUUGGUCAGUUUGCUAAAGUGUUGAAAAGAGAUAGGUUGGGGGGUGAGAUUAGUAGCAUAUUAUUCUCGGAACCUAAGGAACCAAUACACAUAGAUUUUUGUGGAAGAUUGAAGUUUAGUUCUUAGAAAAUGAAAUGAUUUUAAAACUUCAGUUUGCAUAAUGCACUCCCUUGAUUGACAGUGUUUAGCAUAGGUGUUAUGACUCUUGUUGAGAUUUGGGUUUGUAUUUCUUUAAUGAUUCAUGUGAGAAAUAGAUCAUCAUGCCACUUGAGAAUUAUUUUCCUUUUAGCAUGAUGUUGUAAAUUUUAGAUUAGUUUGCUAUUUAUUUUUUAUUUUCUCUCCUAUAUUGCUAAGGGACUAGCAAUAUGUCGGUUGGGGGGAGUGAUUACUACUCAAAAAGUGCUAUUUGAUAGCCUUUAAUUAAUCCUUUUUAACACUUUUGAGUAGUAGUUUAGGCCUUUUAACUCAAUUGGCAUGUUAAGGAUCCUUUAAAGCAAUUUUGAUCACUUUGUGCAAGUUUUGGUGUUUUUGUUAGUAUUUUGAUCACCAAAGCAAGUCAAGAAUGAGGAGAACUAUGAGGAAUCAUGGGCAAAGCUUAGAAUUCAAUUGCCAAGAGUGAAUCCGGAUUGCAAGGAGAAAAAGCAAAGAGAAUCUGUCAUGAAGCCUAUUCUUGAUGACAGUCGUAGCAGCCACUUUUGGAGCACUUUCUGAAGUCCAAAUGAUGCAAGCUAUAUACCAUUUCAAAGCUCAGGAAGUCAACAAUCCAAUGCUUCAAACGGUGCGCGAUUCGGAGUUGAAACGAAGAAGUUGCAGCCAUUACAAGCCAGUCACUCUAAAGUGUUGCGGAAUCAGCCUUUUGUUGCGAGAAUUUCGCAGCACUUUUGUACAGUAAGGUGUUUCUCCUUCUGACGAUGCACGAACCAUGCCGCGAGAGGGAAGCUAGGAACUUCAAGAUGGAAGCCAACUUUGCAGCCUGGUGAAGAUAGCUUGGUCUUGCGAAAUAAUUUCGCAGCCCUCUUGGGUGUCUGCGAAAUUUCGCAGGCACCACUUUUUUCCUGCGAAAUGGCUCCGGAAGCCUCCCGAAGCUUGCUACCGACAUUGGGAGAUAUUUUCCAUUAGAUUUUUGUUGUCUAAAUUCCAAAAUACUCCUUGUAAACCACCAAUUACAUGAUUCCUUAGUUUUUAAGUUAGUAAAAAGACCAAAUAUCUAUGUAAUAAUUAGUUUUAUAUUAGUUUGCUAUAAAUACCUCUCGGGAGCAUGUUCUCAGAGAGGAGUUCCUUCUGUAACCAUUUUGGUAAGCAAGUAAAGUCUUUUCUUUCUACUGCCUUACCUUCUCACUUUGUAUUUUCAUUUUAUUUCUAAGUUAUGAAUUCUCUGAGGAGCUUUCCCCAGAGAAUGAGUAACUAAACCUCCAAUUCCUUGGAGCUAAGGUUGCCGGGGAAGGUUCCAAGUGCAAGAAUGCAAAGCUCUGUGGUUUUAGCUAGUAAUGAAGAGGAAGUGAAAUCCUUUAGUGAUUUCAAUGUUUUUAGUUAACUUAAAACACCUUGGAGUCACCUGGGCCAACACUUGGUAAGGCAAGUGAUUUCCAACCGUGGAAAUGCACUAGUUUACCCCUUGCGAGCCUCUGGUAGGUGACUUCAAGGUAGGAUUUUCUGGAAUUACCAACACUUGGUAAGCUUUUGGACUCCUAGGAGACAUCCAUUAGUUAUCUCUUGCGAGUUUGUGAAGGGGAAUCCAAGGUUAAAGAUCACCUUGAAUGGUAAGUGCUCGUGAGAGGCAUGAACCAUUGCAAGUUGUAUCAGUGAGAGAAUUAAAGUGAAAUCUAAUUGAAGGAGUCUCUGUACAUCACCGGUUAGAGAAUUGACUAUAAGUUGAAUCUCUAAUGCGAGGAAAUGAACCAUCUGACCGGAGCUAUGUCUUUUGCAUGAGGAACCACCCCAGUGAACCUAAAUCUCCAAGGAAUGCUUUUCUUCCUAAAUUAUUCCAAACUUCUGUUAAGUUAGUUAGUUUAAGUCUAAACCUUUACCAAUCAAACUUUGUGUUUUAUUCCUUAAGCUAACCGUGAAAUGAAACAAAACCAAUUCACUUGGAAUUGGUAUCCUUGAUUGCUUGCAAAUCAUUCCCAGUGAACGAUCCUUAGAGCCACUAUACUAUAGUAGCUUUGUAUUUGCUACCCUAGUGUAUGGUGUUAUAGGUAUAAAUUUUGUUGAUCACUUCCUCAAUCAAGGAACACCAGCUGAACACAAAUCAGCUGAGACACCAAUUGGGCAUGAGUCAGUGCGUUAGAGGAUCAAGAAGAAGAAAAAGAAGGAACUGUUGGAAUUAGUAUGAGUGUGAAGAGAAAAGUAUAUAAAUAAGGGGAAGUAAAAGCAAAGUUCAAAAAGCUAUAUUUUUUUAUUGUUGGUGUAUGGUUGCAUGAUUAUCCCUAUAAAUAAUAGGAGUUUUUUGGUAUUCUACUAGUAGUUGAAGCAUAAUUUCAUAAAUUAAUAUUUAGAGCGGGGUGGGGUGAGUUGUGACAAAAUUCAUACCCGUCCCAAACCUUGGUUCAGAUUUUUAAAAUAUUCUCAAACUUAUCAUAUACCCAACUUUUAUAUUUCAUACUUGUCCUAAUAGAGGCACGUUAGGCCGGGUUACUUGAGUAACCUACAUAAUUGUCAUCCCUAGUUGAAAUACACUUUUUGGCAGUGGCCACCAACUGAGCUAGAAGCUUGAUUGAUUGACCUACAAGAUUAGUUCUCAUCAUUUUAAAAAAAGUUCUGGCUUUGGUUGUGAGUGCAAUUGAAUCUAAACUGGCAUUUGCUUAAUGCAUCUACUUCAAUCCUAAACUUCUUACUUCUUAAGCCUCAAUUGUUGUUAGGAUUUUGGAAAACCCAUUUCCUUAAAUUGUAAAUUUAAGAUAAAAUAAAAUAAAAGUGAGACAUUUCUUGAUUGAAUAUUGUUAAAGGUCCCUUGGCAUUAAGACUUGGUUGAAGCCUUGGAAGAUUAGUGGAACUCUCAACAUGUGUUUGAAUCUUGAGGAGAGUGGAUGUAAGCCAAAAUUUUGUCAAACCAUUAUACAAAUUGAGUUUGAAUCCUCAUUUCUUGAUUUCUUAUUUAUUUGCUUUUUCUUAUUAUUACUUGAAUUGUCAUUUGCAUUCAUUAAUGUUAAAAUUGGUUAUAAUUAACCAACACUAAUUCUCUUUCCCCUUCCCUUUCUUGGGUGUAAACCUAGGUUGGAUUAACUAGAUAAAUCUAUUAAGAUGGUAAAAGAAUAAUUAUUCUUAACAUACAUAAGAUCAUCUUCAAUCAAAUGACUCAUUGGCUAAUAUGUUGAAUUUGCUUAUUACUUGCAACUCAAAAUUGUGUUCUAGUUGUGUCAAGUCCCCAGUGUAUGGACAUUAAAUUUGUAGUACGUGAUGAGUAAUUAGAUGGUCCAACUCCAAGAAAGUGAUUGAAAAGUAGUUCAAGAAAGGUGCAAAAGGGAAUUGUUUUGGUAUUUUCGUUUUUAUUCUUGAAGGUGGCAGAGCUAAAAUUUGAGAAAUCAAGCAAAACAUACUGAAAUUACAUUGAAAGAAAGAAGAUGGGAGUUAAUGUCUUGCAGUACAUGAUAAGGACUUCAUGCAUGUAGUGUGACCCAUGUCUUGGACUGAUGCCAACUCACGGUUACACUUAUACCCUUGGUUCUCUCUUUACUACCUUGGCUAACCUAGAUCAGGCUAUGAGAUAGGCUCCUCACCACACCAUUACUUGCCCAUUAAUUAGAGACAUUUUCAAGCAAUGAGGUAACAUGGUGACACCAAGAGGGUCUAUUCCUCGCCCGGAACAAGUCUAGACUUGGUCUCAAAAAAAUGGAGAAAAAUGAGGUGUCGUUAUGUAGAAAUACAACAACCAUGCCUUCCUCAUUACUUAGAUUCAGAAUGUGAAGGUGAAAUUGAGAAACAGAAACUCUUGAAACCAAAAUGAAAAUUGAUACUUUUACGAAGAAUUACAACAACAUUAGAGGAAGACUACAUUCUUCCUCUUUAUUCCUACAUUUCUACACUACUUCUACUCCACUCCAUAUUUCUACAUACAUCUUUAAUCAGUCUUCCCUCCUUUAUAUAGAGCCAUCUUCACACAAAUUUCGCAAGGUAGAAAAGAGGAAUGAAACUUGGAGCAAGGUUCGACUACUGGUUGUAGCUUGUCAAGGCUGGAAGUGAACUUUUCUUGGCUUUCUGGGCAUGGGUAGUAACUUGUGGGUUCCUGUUUGGCAUAAAAAUGGCUAGAACAUGUGGCACUAUCUUGUUGGAUGAUGUGUCAAGCAUGUGGCAGCCAUCUAGUGGCGAUUAUGUCAAUUUUGGGAUGGAGAGUUGGCAUCCAAUUGCAAAGAAAUAUGACGUCUACCAACAUGCAAUGUAAACCUAUGUAGAUCAUAUGAAGAUAGAGAGGAAAAAUAUAGAAAUGGAUAUAUACCUAGAACUAGCUUUUUAUUAAAUGAAACGGAGAGACAACAAUGAAGGAAAAUAAAAUUUUUUGGCUUAUAUCAAAGAGUUCACAUUGUGUUACCCUAGGUUUUCUUAAAACUUACUUUUAUGAUAACAAAAAAGAAAAAACCAUUAUUGUUUAAUCCUUUGUUUUAAACGCAUGUAAGGUGUAAUUAAGUUAGUUCAAUGCAUUAAUUUAAGAAACUUGACCUAUCAAAAGUACAAAAUUAGAUGAAAUCCAUUUCAAUGGUUAAAAUGAUCAAAAUCAAACUUUUUCUAAGUAUUUUUUAAAAGCAUCAAUAGUGAAAGACAAUUUUAUAUUUAGUCGGAGUUUGGACAAAACUGAAAAACACACAAAAUCCAAGCGACCAUCUCUAGCUUGGAUGGUCGCUUGAUCCCACCUAGAGAUGUGCAUGAGUAAAAGGAUUUGAAAAUGGAAAUUGACUAUGUAGUCGAUCAAUUAACUUUGCAACAUCAUAUGCAAUCCUAAUUGCUAGUCAUCUAAUCAAUUAGGUAGUCAAUCAACAGGCCAAAAAUAUGUUUAUAAUGACUAUUUUGUACAAAAACCACCUGUAUAGUUAAAUAUAAUGCAUUUCAUUUAUAAAUCUUCUAAUUCUUGAAUAACGAUCCUAUCAUCCUUUGAAAGUUUUUAUUACACUUUUUUUACUUUUGUUCUAAAACUUACACAUCACCCUUAAUUGUACCAUGAGAACCUAGCUAUUUUUUAUUUUUUUUUUUGUAAUUCAUCAAAGUUAGCUUUUGUAUUCAUUGUUGUAUUAUUUUUAGUAUAACUUAGAAAGCUAGUGUUUUCAAGUGAGUAAAAUUAACUUGUAAAUAUUGUAAAGAUUCAUCGACAUGUAUCUUAAACUAAGUGUACAAGUUAAAACAUUUGCUAGUAGAUUUUCUCAAAAUUUAGAAUAGAGCUUGAGACUAUUGAAAUAGGUGGGGUUGCACCAAACCACAUCACAUCGUUGUUUGCACCUUUUUUCACUCUCUUUUACUUAGUUGCUCUAUAUUUGUUGUCUAGUAAUAUCCUAUAGGCUUGAUGGGUUAGGGAGCAUCCCUUUGUGAAAAAAUUUUAUUCAAUCCUUAGUUGUAUCACGCAUAUAUAAAAUGCCUCAUUGUUUUAAUGGUAUUCAGUCGUGGCAUCACAGAUAUGGGCAUCUAAAUUUUAAAAGUUUGAAACUUUUAUCUAAAGAAAAUAUGGUGCUUUGCCUUUUUGUAAAGCAUGUUGAUGAAAUCCAUGAGAAUUGUGUACUUGGGAAGCAACACCGAGAUGACUUUUUUUUUUUUUUUAUAAUAUUGUUUGUCCAAAUUCCCUACAAAUUAGGCCACCAGAUGUUCAUAAUUCUCCCUUCUUGAAUUUGAAAACUCGGACAAUUGGACAAUGCGACACCUAAGUCCGGUUUCUAAAUGCUAAAGUGAAAGGGUAGGUAUGGACCAUUGAAAUGUGAUCACAACUUUUCUCUGUAGCCAUGUUGUCUCUUUUUUCUUUUGCAUGAUUUUCUUACCUUAACAGAAUCAUAGACUUGUUUAGUCUCUAAAUGGGAUUAAUUUCAUCCAGCUUUAAGCUACUAUAUUAUAUCUAGGUGGAGGACUUUUAAGAGUGCAACCGACAUAGAGCACAUGGAAGUGGGUAUAUGGGACAUGAAAUUUCUUCUUAUAAAGAUUGCAUGAUUUUUAUAUUAGAGUUGUUGAGGCGCUAUGUAUUUAGCUUGUUUUGCAGUUAAAUUAAUUGGAUAAGUAGACAUUGGCGUUUCUAAAUCUACUGUGAAGUGCUUCAUGUACGUGUGAAGUAUUAGAAAUUUCUUUCUUGGCAACUUGUUUUUCUUUGCGGUCUACUGAUAGGUUUGACUAAAAUUAUAUUCCCUGUCAUGCUAAUUAAUUUUCACGUGCAUGCUCAAAAGAAAAGUAUGACCUUAGUGCACCAAAAUCACUUUGAUUAAUUUGUGAUAGGUUUUUGUGCAUCAUGACAUUAGCCUUAUUCAUUUAGAUAAUGUUUAGUUUUUAGAAAGUAUUAAGAAAAGGAAAAUAAAUAUUAAGAAAAAUAUUCUUAUAUUUGAUUGUAUUAUGAAAAAUAUCAUAAAAAAAUCAAAUAUAAUUUAAAUUAAUUAAUAAUUUAUACAUUUUCAAAUUAUUUAAUCUUUAUAUUGAAGAUAUAAUAUAAAUGAAAUGAGUUUUAAGUAUUAUAUAAAAGUGAUUUAUUGAUCUUACAUAUAUAUAUUUCUUUUUUUUUUCCUUCUAUUUUUUCUCUUUAUUUUAUUUUCCUUAUGUUUUCCUCAACAUUUUCCGGAACCAAACAUAGCCUUAGGAAAUCCACAAUUACCUUCAACUGAGUAGAUUCUGUUGUUUUAGCAAUGUUAGGCUGCUAACUUGUGUUGGUACGAACCUAUUAAGCCUAAAGAUGUAAUUAGUUAGGAUAUUCUUUUCCCUCUAGUCUUGUAGCUCCACGUGUACAGUUGGUUAGGACCUCAUUGUAUAUAAUGCUUGCCCUGUUAUUGUAGAAGACAACAAAGAUAAAUAAUAUUAACAUUUUUCCUCUCAUCUCUCUCUGUUUCCCUCUGUUUUCAUCUCCUCUCUCAUCUUGGUAUCAGAGCCUCCAUGGCUUCUUUCAAAGAAACCUCCGAAUCACCUUCUGCUAGCAUUGUUAAUGUGCAAAACCCAUUAUCUCAAUCAAACAACCUUCCUUCACCAGUAGCCACACCCUCUUUUUCUUUCUCGUCUAUGAAUCAACCUCUCACAGUGAAGCUGGAUAAUGGGAACUACCUCAUAUGGAAGAAUUAGCUUCUAAAUGUCAUCAUUGCUAACGGACUCGAUGAUUUCAUUGACGGAUCUCGACCCUGCCCUCCUCGAUUUCUCGAUCUGCAACAACAAACCCUCAAUCCAGAGUACUCAGCUUGGCAGAGAUACAAUCGACUUCUGAUGAGUUGGCUGUACGCAUCCUUGUCCAAAGAUAUAAUGGCUCAGAUUGUUGGGUAUUCAACAGCUAUGGAGAUUUGGAAUGCCCUUAAUCAGAUUUACUCUGCCUCUUCUAUGGCGCGGUUUACUGAGCUUCGCACCAAGCUUCAAACGCUCAAGAAAGAUGGACUCUCAGUUGGUGAAUAUAUUCAAAGGCUCAAAUCCAUUUGCAAUAGUCUUGCAGCAAUAGGAGAACCAGUUUCUGAGAAAGACCAUCUUAUCUAUUUGUUCAAUGGAUUAGAUUGUGAGUAUUAUUCUUUUGUUACCUCCAUUCAAAAUCGAUCUGACCAACCAACUAUUGACAAAAUCCAUAGCCUAUUGCUUAGCUAUGACUUCCGGCUUGAACAACAAAACUCUGUUUCUCUCCAUUCUGCCCAAGUCCAUAUGGCUCAUCUGAACAAGAAACCUUAUAAAUCAACUCCUCAACCUACAUUCAAUCAUAUUCACAUUCAACCUAGAUACUCUUCUCCACCUUUUAAGCCAACCACUAGUCAAUAUCAACCCAACAUUUUGGGCAAACCACAACCACAACCAUGACAGCCUCAACCUCAAUGGAAACCACAUUUUUCAAUCUAAAAUCAAAAGCCUCAGCGCCAAAUUUGUGGUAAAUUUGGACACACUGCUCUUAUUUGCUUCCAUCACACAAAUUUGAACUAUUCACCCCAACCUUCUCCUAAAUCUUUCAAUACUGUUCUCACCACAAAUUCCCAGCUCCCUAAUCCUCCAAAAUUUUCUUACCCUACAAUGGCUCAUCCUGCUGCUACGCAUAACACGGUUCCCGAUACAAAUUGGUACAUGGACUCAGGUGCUACACAUCACUUUACUCUGGACAUCAACGUGCUUGACACUGUGACACCAUUUAGUGGUUCAGAACAGGUGACAGUUGGGAAUGGUAAGCAACUCUGUAUCUCACAUCUUGGUACUGCAAAACUACCAUCUUCGUAUUCUCCUCCUGUUCUACAUCAGGUAUAUCACACUCCAAAAAUUUCAAAUAAUCUUAUUAGUGUUAAAAAAUUGUGUUCUGAUAAUAAAGUUUUUGUUGAAUUUUAUGCCACUCAUUUUCUUGUCAAGGAUCAGGUUUCGAAGAGAGUUCUCCUUUAGGGUCAACUUGAUAAUGGCUUAUACAAAGUUCAGUCGUCAUGCUCUCCUUCUGCUGUUUCCUUUCCUCCUCAAGUUUUCAUAGCCAACAUCAAGUAUCCAAAUCUGUGGCACAAGAGACUAGGCCACCCAGCUUUAUCUGUUGUUAAUCAAAUCUUGGAUUCUUGUAACAUUGCUCGAACACAGAAAAUUUGUUUUAAUUUUUUAAAUUCUUGUCAAUUAGCAAAGAGCCACAGGCUUCCUUUUUCUCUGUCUCCAUCCAUUGCAGAAAAACCUUUUGAGUUAAUUCAUACAGACCUAUGGGGUCUUUCGCUCGUUCGCUCUAUUUCUGGUGCUCUUUAUUUUUUACUUUUCAUUGAUGAUCAUACUCGUUUUACUUGGUUUUAUUUGCUCAAAACAAAAGAUGAAGCAUAUCCUACUUUUCUCAAGUUUCAAGCUCUCAUUGAAAAUCAAUUUAAUACCAAGAUUAAGGCUGUCCAAUCUGAUUGGGGAGGUGAGUUUCGAUCUCUCUCCAUACCGUUUUCAAAUAUGGGCAUUGUCUAUUGUUUAUCGUGUCCAUACACCUCACAACAGAAUGGGCGAGUUGAGCGAAAAAAUCGCCAUGCGAUUGUCCUUUCUUGCUUGCUCUAUGCCCUUAUCUUAUUGGCCUUAUGCCUUUCAAACUGCCACUUACCUUAUUAAUCGUCUCUCUACCCCUGUGCUGCAUCAUCAAUCCUCUUACUUCGCACUCUAUCACAAACUCCCAACUUAUACUCAUCUUAAGGUCUUUGGUUCCUCUUGUUUUCCGUAUUUGCACCCUUAUAAUACCCAUAAACUCCAAUACAGGUCACUAGAGUGUGCUUUUCUUGGUUACAGUUCACACCACAAAGGUUAUCUAUGUCUUGACAUUCAUUCUAGCAGGGUGUAUAUUUCUCGCCAUGUGAUUUUUAAUGAAGAUUCUUUUCCAUUCAAGAAUUUGAAAUCUUCUCUCUCUCAGUCUAUUUCUUCUUCCUCUUCUUUAUAAGUUCCUCUGUUCAUUCUCUUGCCUCCCCUUUCCCCAUCUCCUCUUAUUUCUUCAUCUAUACCUCAUUCUUUUCCCUCUUCUUCUUCUACCUCUAGUACUUGUUCCCCUCUCGUUGCUCCUACCUCUCUUCCUUCCUCUUCACACUCUGUGUCUCCAUCUAUUCCACCUCCUUCUCCACCUUCUCCGAGUGUGGACCUGCUUGCACCUUGUGUGAAUACAAAUUUACAUACUUCUUCUCGCACUCACAAUAUUCAUCCUAUGGUGACUAGAUCUAAGGUUUGUAUCUAUAAACCUAAGUUGUUGUUGAGUGUCUCCAUAGGUUCUCUCACUAAGCCUACUUCCUUUCUUCAAGCUAUUAAAGAUCCUUCAUGGAAGCAAUCCAUGGAAUUCGAGUUUGCUACCCUUCAACACAACAAGACCUGGCAUUUGGUUCCUUCACCUUCCUCAGGCGAAGUAAUCGGUUGUAAAUGGGUCUAUAAGCUAAAGCUUCAGCCUGAUGGCUAAAUUGAGAGAUACAGCCUGCUUAGUAGCUAAGGGUAUCAUCAAAUUGAAGUAUGGACUACUUCGAAACAUUCAGCCUGAUNNNNNNNNNNNNNNNNNNNNNNNNNNNNNNNNNNNNNNNNNNNNNNNNNNNNNNNNNNNNNNNNNNNNNNNNNNNNNNNNNNNNNNNNNNNNNNNNNNNNAGCUUCAGCCUGAUGGCUAAAUUGAGAGAUACAAGGCCUGCUUAGUAGCUAAGGGUUAUCAUCAAAUUGAAGGUAUUGACUACUUCGAAACAUUCAGCCUGAUUGUCAAGCUUUCUACUAUCUGUAUUGUGCUCAGUCUUACUUUUUCCCAGAAUUGGUGUAUUAGACAGCUGGAUGUUCAUAAUGCCUUCUUACAUGGUGACUUAGCUAAAGACGUUUUCAUGGAACAACUGCCUGGAUUUGUUGAUCCUCUCUAUCCUACUCAUGUCUGCAAGUUGGAUAAGUCUCUCUACUGUCUUAAAUAGUCACCUCGGGCUUGGUAUACUAAGCUGAGUACUUCUCGCUACACUUGGGAUUUGUUACUUCUAAGAAUGACUCUUCCUUAUUUAUUUGUCAUUCGUCUCAUGGGUUACUUCUUGUUCUUGUCUAUGUGGAUGAUAUAAUCGUCAUUGGGAGCCACUCUCCUCAGGUUACUCACCUUAUCCAACAGUUGCAUCAUUAGCUUUCUUUAAAGGAUCUUGGUCCUUUACAUUAUUUUCUGGGCUUGGAGGUUCAUCACACCCCUACUGGUAUUCACCUCAGCCAAGCAAAGUAUAUCACUGAUCUCCUUACCCGGGCGGCUAUGUUGGAUGCCAAGCCAUGUCCCACUCCUAUGUCCUCCAACACAUAUCUCUCUUUUCAUGAUGGAGUGGCUCUUGAAAAUGGUUCAGAUUAUCGAAGUUUUGUUGGUGCCCUUUAGUAUUGUACCAUGACACGCCCAGAUAUAGCUUUUGCAAUAAAUAAAGUGUGUCAAUUCAUGCACCAUCCCUCUAAUGUUCACUGGCAGGCUAUAAAACGUAUUCUCCGGUACUUAAAGGGCACAUCUCAUUUUGGUCUCUUCCUACAGCCUUCCUAUGACUUCAACAUCACUUGCUAUACAAAUGCCGACUGGGCUUCCUGUCCUGAUGACAAGUGUAGCACCAGUGGCUACUGCCUCUUUCUUGCCUCUAAUCUGGUUUCUUGGUCAUCUUCCAAACAAAAAGUGGUCUCCCGCUCCAGCGCCGAAUCAGAGUACCGAGGGGUAGCAAAUGGGGCUGCUGAAAUUGCUUGGACUGAAUCUCUUCUUUGUGAACUUUCCAUUACUCCCCCUCCCCUCAUUCUCUGUGACAAUAUCAGUGCCACGUACUUAGCUGCCAAUCCUAUUUUGCAUGCCCGCACCAAACAUGUGGAAAUCGACUAUCACUUUGUCACGGAACGUGUUCUUCAAUGCUCUCUUUUUGUCCAGUUUACACCUUCUGAUGAUCAACUUGCUGAUUGCAUGACCAAGCCUCUCUCCACCCAACGUUUCAUCACUCUACGCUCCAAGCUCACUGUUCUCACUAGACCAAUGAGCUUGAGGGGGGAUGUUAAGCCUAAAGAUGUAAUUAGUUAGGAUAUUCUUUUCCCUCUAGUCUUGUAGCUCCACGUGUACAGUUGGUUAGGACCUCAUUGUAUAUAAUGCCUGCCCUGUUAUUGUAGAAGACAACAGAGAUAAAUAAUAUUAACAUUUUUCCUCUCAUCUCUCUCUCUGUUUCCCUCUGUUUUCAUCUCCUCUCUCAUCUGAACCAAAUGAUCCAUGUUAACCUUGGCUUGGUUUGAUUUGGCUCUAUCUUAGAGAGCUCAAGGAUCACGUCAACUCUGGUUUCUACUAUUCAGGUCCAUUCCCAUAUGAACUGGUUCAAAUUUGAGAAAAUGGUAACAGACCUUUAGUGAUGUUGGUUUGGAGCCAGUUGCCAAACCCGCCCUGAGCUUUACCACUAAUGUCAAGGGAGAAAGCCAUUUGAACAAAAACAAUAGCUUCAAGGGACUGAAUCGUGGAUGAAAUCUGAUCCACAUUUCUUCUCAUUUUGGAAACAAAUGAGAACUUAACUAAGAAGAUUCUACGGCCUCAUAGUGCUUUUCCUGAUCUAAGGUUGGUUCGUUUCCCAAACUGUGAGAUGCACGUGCCAGACUUCAGAACUCUCACGCUCAGGAGUGUAUCCACGUGGUGGACAUAAGAUGGUGGCUUAAGAUCUGGUGUCGGUGGCUUUACUUUACUAGGAGAGUAGUGUGUCUUCAUCUCAUUCACUGCCGGAGGGUGGCGUAAGCAGUGACGCUAAGGUGGGGCACAGUCAAUAUCAUUUGCAUUUGACCAUUAUAGUUUUCUCCCGGCUUUAAAGUAACCUUAUCGUGAUAAAGGAUUACUAGCACUAGUUCAGAUGAUAGUCAUGUUAAAUUCGGACCAUGUUUGUGUCACAUUAUCAGCAACCAUGUGUUUAUGGUUCAUGCUUUCUGCAACUAAAAUUGAUAUAUAACCAGGUGAACUUCAAUCUAAAUUCUGAAAGUACUCAUGUGAUAGAUGGUGCCCGUCUGCAGAGUCCAUCAAUUGAAAAAUGGAGUGAGUGUAUCUAUAAGAGGGAAGGCUUGGAAAAUGUUCAGUUUUCUGGGAAUUCAACAAGGAUCUAAAAUAGAUUGUUUUCUUUGCUGAUUUCAAUGGUUGAAAUUUGAGAAGAUUGUGUCCACAUAACACAACUAUUACUGGUCCUUCUGUUGCAAUUUAUCCUCUAAAGCUCUAGCAUGUCUUCCAAUUCCCACUUCCCUGUUACUCCAGGAAAGCUAUUUCUGUCAUUGUGAAGAAGAAAAGAGAAUGUACAUAUCGAUGCUUUUAAGUGACUGGAGCAUUUAUAUCAGGUGGUCUGCAGCCAUAUAUGCCACUUUGUGAAGAUUGGAACAGUCAAUCACUAGGCUAUAUAUUAGUGUGGCCCAGCCACUUUAAUCAAGGACAAGUCUUCAUACUUAAAGUCAAAUUCUGCCUUUAGUCUCAUUAUAAAUUUCUGUUUAAAUAUUAAGCAAACAUUUGUUUAAUGCGAUUAAGACAGUACUAACUCAAUACCUGUUCUAUUUUUGGAUGCAAAUGCUUGAUGGUUUCAUCAUUGGAUGGGAUAAAGGUGCAUUCAUGAUUAGGAAUACUAGUAGUUAUAUUUUAAUUCUCUUUUUUCUCAAUGAGACUUGUUGGCACAAUUUUGCUGUUGAGAAACCUACCUCUCCAUGGAAAAUAAGUUGUGAUUGAUAGUACUGGAUAUAUUCAAGAAAUCUAAAUAUAGAUAGCACAAAAUAUUAUCGACAUAAAUAGCAUUAACAGCGUACGUAUGUCUCAGUGCUCAUCAGCUAUAAGCAUGGGGCAAACACUUACUAUGAGCAACUUACGUCAAAAUUCCAGAAUAGGACAUAGAAGUGACAGAUAUAGAACAUUGCAUAUGAGUCACAAGAAAGGAAAUUACGGGUGCAUAGCAGCUCUUAUUUUACAUACUACUACUCAUACUGAUCAAAGUCACUCAGUUGGGAUGGGUGGGAGUAGGAGGUUUGUGGGGUGGCUUGUGCGGAGGAGUUGGCAGCUUCUUUCCAGGACCUGGUUGCUUCUCUGCUGGAGUUGAAGGAGGCUUAAUCUUCCGAGGUGGCUUGUAUGAGUCUUCAGCAUUCUCAGCUGGAGGGUGACCAGGGUUGUGACCAUAAUGUGGUGGCUUCUCUCCCUUAGGUGGUUUGCCAACUGGGGUUGGUGGCUUGUAUGAGUCUUCAGCAUUCUCAGCAGGAGGGUGACCAGGGUUGUGACCAUAAUGUGGUGGCUUCUCUCCCUUAGGUGGUUUGCCAACUGGGGUUGGUGGCUUGUGUUCUGGGAGUGGCUUCUCCCCCUUGGGAGGUUUUUCCAAUGGGGUUGGUUUGUGUUCAGGAGGUGGCUUCUCCACUGGAGGCUUGUGUUCAGGAGGUGGCUUCUCCACCGGAGGCUUGUGUUCAGGUGGUGGCUUCUCCACCGGAGGCUUAUGCUCUGGUGGUGGCUUCUCGAAUGGGGGAUGCUUAGGAUAAUCAGCAAGUGAGGGGGCGGUGAGAACCACCAGGCCAAGCAACACCACUAGCAAAUAUGUAGGAGACAUCUUUGGGUUUGGGCUCAGAUGGUGCAAAACUAGGAGAAUUGGCUAGCCUUUUAUAGCGGAUCGUACCCAAUAAUGAAAUGACACGUGUCAUUAUGACCCAUGUGUAAUGGGGUCGAUUUGGGUCCUACAGUGUUGAAAACUUCGACAUCCACUUUUGGCCUUUUGCUUUCUCUACAGCCGCCUUGCUUUUUCCCUCUUUCCUUUUGUUUUCCUCCUGCCCCAUUCUAUCAACUAAACACAAUUAUGUAGUUGUUUAAUUCUUAAAUGAGAUAUUAUCCGUCAAUCGUAUUAUAUUUUAUCAAGAGAGAACGGAGUGCAAUGUGGCUGUAAUUUUAUCGUUUAGUUUUAUCUCUUGGACCACUGCAUUUUUGUUAAGAGGUGCAAUAAUACACGUCUUUAUCUGCCAUUCAAUAUUUACAGUAAAGAGAGGGCACAAAACUCUUCACUUCGCACCAUAAUUAUUUUGUUUUCUGGACACCCCGGGGCCCUUUGGUUGGUUUGGGGGUCAGAAAGUGAACAUCAUAGGGGGUUUUUCCCUUAUGUGCAUUUGUAUCUGAUGGCUUUAACUCGCCUUGUUACUACAAAGAAACUGUCACAGAUAGGAACUUAUUCCAGGCUGAGUAUCUCCUCAUAGACCCUAUAAAAGAAGACAAGUCAUAAUGAACAUCUAACCUUUGUUCAAUUUGAUUCAAUGCCCCCAUUGUGUCCAUCUCACAAAUCUGAAUUAUUAUAUCCAUUGAAUACAUAAAUUAAUGAAGAAAAUAUGAAACCCAAGAUACAUCUCUGCACAACCUCAACCCUGGUUGCUAUGUUUCCCUUCUAUUCACAUGAUUUGAUGCUAAUUGCCAAACUUGCAACAAGCCCUGAGUUUGACACCUAGUAUCGAUGGGCGAAUUUAAAGUCUCCUCCAAACAUAUAUUCCACAGCUUGAAGCUCACAGAAGAUGUUACAGGCAGGGAAAAACCUUCAGAGUUCGCUACCAAAGAUAAUUAUUAAGGAGAUAUCACAAAGAGAAUUCCAAGGGGUCUGAAUCAAAGACAAAUUGGUCGUUCGUGGGGGUUCUUACUUUCUUUUGGGUAUAACUCACUGAGGGCACUGUCUUUGUUAUUUGCAUUUCACAUUUAGAGUUCUGUUCUGGAAACAUAUAAAAGGAGCAUCAUUUUGUUCUUGGGUAACCCAUAGUCGUGAGUGGGUCCAUUUGCAUGCUACUUAGUUGAAAAGUUGGACCAUUUGCUCCGACGCCUACCUCCCGGAUUCCAUGCUCGGAUAAAACAAGAAUAAAAAAAAUAUUUAUAAUUUACAAAUGGGGGAAAGAAAAAAAUGUCAACAACAAACCAGGAAAAAAGAGUAGUAAAAUUCAUGUCACAUGCUAGUGAGAGAAGGGGUUGUUACACUCACUCGAAGUUCUUUCCAAAAUAUCGCAUGGUAUUUUAUUUUAUGUGUCAGCGCAGUUGUGAAUGGAACGUGCAAAAGUCCAAAUUGGCGUUUUUCCUUUUCCCGUGUAGGAUGGCGACCUUUAAUAAAUAUUUAAAACAAAAAACGAAAAAAAGGAGGGAAAAGGGAUCAGAAAAGAUAAAACAAUGUGUACAAGAGCUCAAUUAGUUUGCAAAUUACUGUUUGGAUUUUGAUAGUAUUUUAUUUGUCCAUCUAUAUUUGAUGGAAAAGAGAAUUUAAGAUAUUUCUGAAACAAAAGCAUUAGUGUAAAACUAAAUUAAGGUAUAAUUAAGUUAGUUCAAUGCAUUAAUUUAAGAAACUUGAUCUAUCCAAAGUACAAAAUUAGAUGAAAUCCAUUUCAAUGGUUAAAAUGAUCAAAAUCAAACUUUUUCUAAGUAUUUUUUAAAAGCAUCAAUAUUAAAAGACAAUUUUAUAUUUAGUCGGAGUUUGGACAAAACCAAAAAGCACACAAAAUCCAAGCGACCAUCUCUAGCUUGGAUAGUCACUUGAUCCCACCUAGAGAUGUGCAUGAGUAAAAGGAUUUGAAAAUGGAAAUUGACUAAAUAUUUAGUUGAUCAAUUAAAUUUGCAAUGUCAUAUGCAAUCCUAAUAGCUAGUCAUCUAAUCAAUUAGGUAGUCAAUCAAGUGUUUGUAAUGACUAUUUUGUACAAAAAACCACAUGUAUAGUUAAAUAUAAUGCAUUUCAUUUAUAAAUCUUCUAAUUCUUGAAUAACGAUCCUAUCAUCCUUUGAAAAUUUUUAUUACACCUUUUUUACUUUUGUUCUAAAACUUACAUAUCACCCUUAAUUGUACCAUGAGAACCUAGCUAUUUUUUUUUUUUUUGUAAUUCAUCAAAGUUAGCUUUUGUAUUCAUUGUUGUAUUAUUUUUAGUAUAACUUAGAAAGCUAGUGUUUUCAAGUGAGUAAAAUUAACUUGUAAAUAUUGUAAAGAUUCAUUGAUAUGUAUCUUAAACUAAGUGUACAAAUUAAAACAUUUGCUAGUAGAUUUUCUCAAAAUUUAGAAUAGAGCUUGAGGCUAUUGAAAUAGGUGGGGUUACACCAAACCACAUCACAUCGUUGUUUGCACCUUUUUUCACUCUCUUUUACUUAGUUUCUCUAUAUUUGUUGUCUAGUAAUAUCCUAUAGGCUUGAUGGGUUAGGGAGCAUCCCUUUGUGAAAAAAUUUCAUUCAAUUCUUAGUUGUAUUACGCAUAUAUAAAAUGCCUCAUUGUUUUAAUGGUAUUCAGUCGUGGCAUCACAGAUAUGGGCAUCUAAAUUUUAAAAGUUUGAAACUUUUGUAAAGCAUGUUGAUAAAAUCCAUGAGAGUUGUGUACUUGGGAAGCAACAUCGAGGUGACUUUAUUUUUUUUUCCUUUUAUAAUGCCACACCUAAGUCCGGUUUCUAAAUGCUAAAGUGAAAGGGUAGGUAUGGACCAUUGAAAUGUGAUCACAACUUUUGGCCUUUUCCUUUCUCUGCAGCCAUGUUGUCUCUUUUUUCUUUUGCAUGAUUUUCUUACCAAAACAGAAUCAUAGACUUGUUUAGUCUCUAAGCUACUAUAUUAUAUCUCGGUGGACUUUUAAGAGUGCAACCGACAUAGAGCACAUGCAAGUGGGCAUAUGGGACAUGAAAUUUCUUCUUACAAAGAUUGCAUGAUUUUUAUAUUAGAGUUGUUCACGUGCAAUGUAUUUAGCUUGUUUUGCAGUUAAAUUAAUUGGAUAAGUAAACAUUGGCAUUUCUAAAUCGACUGUGAAGUGCUUCAUGUACGUGUAAAGUAUUAGAAAUUUCUUUCUUGGCAACUUGUUUUUUCCUUGCCAUCUACUGGUAGGUUUGACUAAAAUUAUAUUCCCUGUCAUGCUAAUUAAUUUUCAUGUGCAUGCUCAAAAGAAGAGUAUGACCUUAGUGCACCAAAAUCACUUUGAUUAAUUUGUGAUAGGUUUUUUUGCAUCAUUUAGAUAAUGUUUAGUUCUAAGAAAAAUUUAUAUAAAAAUGGUUUAUUUAUCUUACAUAUAUAUAUAUAUAUAUAUAUUUUUUUUUUUUUCAUUUUUUUUUCUUCUAUUUUAUUUAUUUAUUUUAUUUUCCUUAUGUUUUCCUCACAUUUUCCGGAACUAAACAUAGUCUUACGAAAUCAACAAUUGCCUUCAACUGAGUAGAUUCUGUUGUUUUAGCAAUGUUAGGCUGCUAACUUGUGGUGGUACGAACCAAAUGACCCAUGUUAAUCUUGGCUUGGUUUGAUUUGGCUCUAUCUCAGAGAGCUAAAGGAUCACGUCAACUCUGGUUUCUACUAUUCAGGUCCAUUCCCAGAUGAACUGGUUCAAAUUUGAGAAAAUGGUAACAGACCUUUAGUGAUGUUGGUUUGGAGCCAGUUGCCAAACCCGCCCUGAGCUUUACCACUAAUGUCAAGGGAGAAAGCCAUUUGAACAAAAACAAUAGCUUCAAGAGACUGAAUCGUGGAUGAAAUCUGAUCCACAUUUCUUCUCAUUUUGGGAAAAAAUGAGAACUUAACUACAAAGAUUCUACUGCCUCAUUCAUAGUGCUUUUCCUGAUCCAAGGUUGGUUCGUUUCCCAAAUUGUGAGGUGCACGUGCCACUCUCACGCUCAGGAGUGUAUCCACGUGGUGGACAUCAGAUGGUGGCUUAAUAUCUGGUGUCGGUGGCUUUACUUUACUAGGAGAGUAGUGUGUCUUCAUCUCAUUCACUGCCGGAGGGUGGCGUAAGCAGUGACGCUAAGGUGGGGCACAGUCAAUAUCAUUUGCAUUUGACCAUUAUAGUUUUCUCCCGGCUUGAAAGUAACCUUAUCGUGAUAAAGGAUUACUAGCACUAGUUCAGAUGACCGUCAUGUUAAUUCGGACCAUGUUUGUGUCACAUUAUCAGCAACCAUGUGUUUAUGGUUCAUGCUAUCUGCAACUAAACUUGAUAUAUAACCAGGUGAACUUCAAUCAAAAUUCUGGAAGUACUCUUGUGAUAGAUGGUGCCUGUCUGCAGAGUCCAUCAAUUGAAAAAUGGAGUGAGUGUAUCUAUAAGAGGGAAGGCUUGGCAAAUGUUCAGUUUUCUGGGAAUUCAACAAGGAUCUAAAAUAGAUUGUUUUCUUUGCCGACUUCAAUGGUUGAAAUUUGAGAAGAUUGUGUCCACAUAUCACAACUAUUACUGGUCCUUCUGUUGCAAUUUAUCCUGUAAGGCUCUAACAUGUCUUCCAAUUCCCACUUCCCUGUUACUCCAGGAAAGCUAUUUCUGUCAUUGUGAAGAAGAAAAGAGAAUGUACAUAUCGAUGCUUUUAAGUGACUGGAGCAUUCAUAUCAGGUGGUCUGCAGCCAUAUAUGCCACUUUGUGAAGGUUGGAACAGUCAAUCACUAGGCUAUAUAUUGGUGUGGCCCAGCCACUUCAAUCAAGGACAAGUCUUCAUACUUAAAGUCAAAUUCUGCCUUUAGUCUCAUUAUAAAUUGCUGUUUAAAUAUUAAGCAAACUUUUGUUUAAUGCGAUUAAGACAGUACUAACUCAAUACUUGUUCUAUUUUUGGAUGCAAAUGCUUGAUGGUUUCAUCAUUGGAUGGGAUAAAGGUGCAUUCAUGAUUAUGAAUACUUGUAGUUAUAUUUUCAUUCUCUUUUUUCUCAAUGAGACUUGUUGGCACAAUGUUGCUGUUCAGAAACCUACCUCUCCAUGGAAAAUAAGUUGCGAUUGAUAGUACUGGAUAUGUUCAAGAAAGCUAAAUAUAGAUAGCACAAAAUAUUAUCGAUAUAAAUAGCAUUAACAGCGUACGUAUGUCUCAAUGCUCAUCAGCUAUAAGCAUGGGACAAACACUUACUAUGAGCAACUUACGUCAAAAUUCCAGAAUAGGACAUAGAAGUGACAGAUCUAUAUAUAUAGAACACUGCAUAUGAGUCACAAGAAAGGAAAUUACGGGUGCAUAGCAGCUCUUAUUUUACAUACUACUACUCAUACUGAUCAAAGUCACUCAGUUGGGAUGGGUGGGAGUAGGAGGUUUGUGGGGUGGCUUGUGCGGAGGAGUUGGCAGCUUCUUUCCAGGACCUGGUUGCUUCUCUGCUGGAGUUGAAGGAGGCUUAAUCUUCCGAGGUGGCUUGUAUGAGUCUUCAGCAUUCUCAGCUGGAGGGUGACCAGGGUUGUGACCAUAAUGUGGUGGCUUCUCUCCCUUAGGUGGUUUGCCAACUGGGGUUGGUGGCUUGUAUGAGUCUUCAGCAUUCUCAGCAGGAGGGUGACCAGGGUUGUGACCAUAAUGUGGUGGCUUCUCUCCCUUAGGUGGUUUGCCAACUGGGGUUGGUGGCUUGUGUUCUGGGAGUGGCUUCUCCCCCUUGGGAGGUUUUUCCAAUGGGGUUGGUUUGUGUUCAGGAGGUGGCUUCUCCACUGGAGGCUUGUGUUCAGGAGGUGGCUUCUCCACCGGUGGCUUGUGUUCAGGAGGUGGCUUCUCCACCGGAGGCUUAUGCUCUGGUGGUGGCUUCUCCACCGGAGGCUUAUGCUCUGGUGGUGGCUUCUUGAAUGGGGGAUGCUGAGGGUAAUCAGCAAGUGAGGGGGCGGUGAGAACCACCAGGCCAAGCAACACCACUAGCAAAUAUGUAGGAGACAUCUUUGGGUUUGGGCUCAGAUGGUGCAAAACUAGGAGAAUUGGCUAGCCUUUUAUAGCGGAUCGUACUCAAUAAUGAAAUGACACGUGUCAUUAUGACCCAUGUGUAAUGGGGUCGAUUUGGGUCCUACAGUGUUGAAAACUUCGACAUCCAGUUUUGGCCUUUUGCUUUCUCUACAGCCGCCUUGCUUUUUCCCUCUUUCCUUUUGUUUUCCUCCUGCCCCAUUCUAUCAACUAAACACAAUUAUGUAGUUGUUUAAUUCUUAAAUGAGAUAUUAUCGGUCAAUCGUAUUAUAUUUUAUCAAGAGAGAACGGAGUGCAAUGCAGCUGUAAUUUUAUCGUUUACUUUUAUCUCUUGGACCACUGCAUUUUUGUUAAGAGGUGCAAUAAUACACGUCUUUAUCUGCCAUUCAAUGUUUACAGUAAAGAGAGGGCACAAAACUCUUCACUGCUCUGCAUGUGUCCCAAAAAUGCGAUUGGACAAAUUAUGAUUUGCAUGCUAAAAAGAGGCAAAUGAGGUUAAUUCGCACCAUAAUUAUUUGGUUUUCUGGACACCAUAAAAAGAUGUUAUACAGGCAGGGAAAAACCUUCAGAGUUAGCUACCAAAGAUAAUUAUCAAGCAGAUAUCACCAAGAGAAUUCCAUAGAGUCUGAAUCAAAGACAGAUUGCUCGCUCGUGGGGGUUCUUACUUUCUUUUGGGUAUAACUCACUGAGGUCACUGUCUUUUUUAUUUGCAUUUCACAGUUAGAGUUCUGCUCUGGAAGGUUUGUUCUGGAAACAUAUAAAAGGAGCAUCAUUUUGUUCUUGGGUAACCCAUAGUCGUGAGUGGGUCCAUUUGCAUGCUACUUAGUUGAAAAGUUGGACAAUUUGCUCCGACGCCUACCUCCUGGAUUCCAUGCUCGGUAAAACAAGAAUAAAAAAAAAUAUAUAAUUUACAAAUGGGGGAAAGAAAAAAUGUCGGAAAAAAUAGUAAAAUUCAUGUCACAUGCUAGUGAGAGAAGGGGUUGUUACACUCACUCGAAGUUCUUUUCAAAAUAUCGAAUGGUAUUUUACUUUAUGUGUCAGCGCAGUUGUGAAUGGAACGUGCAAAAGUCCAAAUUGGCGUUUUUAUUUUUCCCAUGUAGGAUGGUGACCUUUAAUAAAUAUUUAAAACAAAAGACGAAAAAAAAAAGGAGGGAAAAGGGAUCACAAAAGAUAAAAUAAUGUUUACAAAAGCUCAAUUAGUUUGCAAAUUACUGUUUGGAUUUUGAUAGUAUUUUAUUUGUCGUUCUAUAUUUGAUGUAAAAGAGAAUUUAAGAUAUUUCCGAAGCAAAAGCAUUAGUUUGCUCUGUGAUGUCCCACAUCGAAUAGGGGAGAAAGUUUCUGGCGCUAUAUAUGUAGAGGCUCCUCUUAACCAAGUAGAUGCGUUUUAAAACCAUGAGGGCCCCCUUAGGUCCAAAGCGGACAAUAUCUACAUGAUUGGGUGUAAGUCAUUACAAAUGGUAUCAGAGCCGAUCCCCGACCCCGGUGUGGGGGUUUGUUUGGCCCUGUAAGGGGUGUUUGUCUGUUUGACCCCACAAUCCCAUGGGACACAACGAGGACGUUGUGUCUGCAUGGGGGGGCGUUUGUGAUGUCCCACAUCGGAUAGGGGAGAAAGUUCCUAGUGCUAUAUAUGUAGAUGUUUCUCUUAACCAAGUAGAUGCAUUUUAAAAUUGUGAGGGCCUCUUUGGGCCCAAAGCGGACAAUAUCUACAUGGUUGAGUGUAAGUCAUUACAUGCUCCAUGUCAAUUUCAGCAUUUCUCAUAUGUUUCACACAUACACAGAAGAGCAUCGUUUUUUAAAGCAUGCAUUUAUGUUGGAUUAAUUUGGAUUUUGUGGGAACUGGGGCAAGGAUCACAUGGAAGAGAGGUUGACUUUUUUCAGUACUUCAAUGGUUGAAAUAUGUGAAGGCUUGAUUGAUACUAAAGCUUGAAAUUGCGACUCUGUCAUUUGUAAAAAAAUAUGACAGCUUCCAUGCUCUCGUUUGGUUGCAUUGUCCGGUCGAGAGGUGCAAAAAGCAUUCUCUCUCUUCUAAUAGUCUUUUCGUUUAAAUCAAGGGAUUUGCCUUCCCGGUCGAGGUCCAAUAGAGGGUAACGGUCACCUACUAAACAUUAAAUGCUCCAACAACUAGUGAACUGAUCGACCCCAGCUCGACUAGUUGAGGUUACUUUUUGGUUUUCUUGUCUCCCGAGGUUAGAAACCUAUAAAUAGAGAGCUUCACUUCAUUUAUGAGUAAGAGAACACCUAAAUUUAUUUGUUUACCUACUUGUUUUUGCCAUAAAAGCUCUCAUUUCUUUUCUUGGUGUAUUAAAUCUCCAUUUGCAUAUCCUUUAGUGCACCUUUGUGAUUCAUUCUAGCCUUGAGUUGUAUUUAAGCCUUUGUUGAGCUAGGUUGAGAGUUUCAUACUUGUUUAUUGAGUGUUAAAGCCUUCAAGUGAGUUAAAACUUGAAGAGAUUGUGUAAGAGCCCAUUGGAGUCGGAAUCCAAGUGUAAAGGUGAUUAAAAGCUUGGUUGAAGCUUCAAGUUAGUGGAACUCUCACUCGGUUAUGAGCUUGAGAAGAGUGGACAUAGACAAGGCAGUGUCGAACCACUAUAAAAUCUGAGUUUGAUUUCUCUAACCUUAUCUCUUUAUAUUUGCUUCUCUUGUGCUUAAAUUUUUUGUGUUUAAAAAGAAUUUUUAAAAACUCAAUUCACCCCCUUCUUGGGAGUUUUUCUCUUUUAAGAUCAGCUUUUAUUUUCUCAAUUGGUAUCAGAACUAUGCCUCUUGUUUAAGACUUAAUCGUCUAAGAGGAAAUGGCUAAUCCAUCAAGUUCAUCUCACAUUGAAAGUUUUGCAACCAAUAGACUUCUUUUUUUUUUUUUGCGGGAACUGAUUAUCCCUAUUGGAAAACUAAAAUGACUUGGUUUUUACAAUCAAUUGAUUUAGAUGUAUGAGAUGCCAUUGAAGAUGACCUAACUUUUCCUUCAAAACUAGUUGAUGGAGUCAUGGUUCCAAAACCUAAGCAAGAAUGGGAUGAGCGUGAUUGAAGAAAUUUUCAAUUAAAUGCUAAAGUCGUUUAUACUUUGCAAUGCUCUAUGGACAGAAAUGAAUAUAAUAGAAUAUGUCAAUGCAAAUCGGUUAAAGAAAUUUGGAGAUUGCUUGAAAUAACUCAUAAAGGAACAAAUCAAGUUAAAGAGUCAAAAAUCAAUUUACUUGUUCAUAGAUAUGAAUUGUUUUUUAUGAAAGAUAAUGAAACUAUUGUUAAGAUGAUCACUAGGUUCACCAACAUUGUUAAUGGUCUUAAAGCCUUGGGAAAGACCUACAAGGAAUCCGAAAACGUGAUGAAGAUCUUGAGGUCACUUCCAUCAAAGUGGCAUACCAAGGUCACCGCAAUUUAAGAAGCAAAAGACUUGAUCAAGCUACCUUUGGAGGAGUUCAUAGGGUCAUUGAUGACAUAUGAAAUCAAUUUGGCAAAGAAGUAACAAAAAGGUGAAGACAAAAAGAAGAAGAACAUAACUCUCAAAGCUACAACUAAGGAAGAAGAAGUUGAAGAAGAAAAACAAAUUGAAGAAGAUGAAGAUUUAGCCCUCAUCACAAGAAAGUUCAACAAAUUCAUGAGGGGUGAAAGGUUUAGAAGAAGAAGGUUCACUUCUAGAAGAGACUUUUCUAAAAAGGAAUCUUCAUCUAAUGGUGACAAAAAGAGAUGGGAAGAGAAAAGAGACUUGGUGUGUUUCAAGUGCAAGAAACCGGGACACAUUAAAUAUGAUUGUCCUCUCUACAAAAGUGAAGUCAAGAGGAAAAAGAAUAAGGCAAUGAUGGCCACUUAGAGUGAAAGUGAAGAUGAAUCAUCCGAAGAAGAAAAUGAGAAAGAAGUGGCAAACAUGUGUUUCAUGGCAAUAGAUGAACUUGAUGAGGUAAAAUCUAACCUUAGUGAUUAAGAUAUACAUGAUGCAUUUGAAGAAUUGUAUGAGGAUUUUUAAAAACUUAGUUUGAAAAAUAUUUCUCUUAAAAAGAAAGUUCAACAACUUGACAAAGAACUUAGAGAAGUAAAAGAAAAAUUUUCAAAUGUUAAAGUUUCUAAAACUCAUCUUGAAAAAGAAAAUGAGAUUCUAAGAAAGAAAAAUGAAUAGUUGAACUCCUCUCUUUCAAUCUUUUCUUCUAGACAAAAAUCUUUUGAAAUGAUUCUAACUAGCUAAAAAUGUGUUUUUGACAAACAAGGGUUAAGAUUUAAAUCUUCAAAAAAUCAAAAGUAUUUUAAAAACUAUUUUGUAAAGGAAUCCACAAGUGCAAGUCCUUCCACUACUUGCAACUUUUGUGGAAGAGAAUGGCACAUUAGUAGUACGCCCUUUAAGAAAUGGUUCUCAAAAGAAUUUAAAUGCAAAAACUAAAAAAGAUUUGGAUUGAGAAAUCCAAGGUCACUAACCCUCAAGGACCCAAAAAGAUAUAGGUACCUAAAUCAACUUGAGUUUUAUGUUGUAAGGUUCAAAGAAUGAUAAGUGGUUCUUAGAUAAUGGUUGCUCAAGACACAUGACCGGAGAUGAAUCCAAGUUUGCUUUUCUUAAAAAGAAAAAUGGAGGAUAUGUUACCUUUGGAGACAAUGCAAAAGAAAGGAUGAUUGGUCAAGGCAACAUUGGUAAUGGCACAUCCUCUCUCAUUGAAAGUGUUUUAUUAGUAGAUGGUUUCAAACAUAACCUUUUAAGCAUUAGUCAAUUUUGCGACAAAGGUUUUUAAGUGAUUUUUUAAGCAUCUCAUUGCAUCAUCAAGGAUAUUCAAAAUGAUAAAACCAUUUUCAUGGGCCAUAGAUGUGAUAAUGUUUAUGCUAUAAAUAUUUCAAAAUAUGAUGGCCAUGAUAGAUGUUUUUCAAGCAUGCAUGAUCAAAGUUGGUUGUGCCAUAGGAGAUUGAGACAUGCUAACAUAGACCUCAUUUCCCAACUCAACAAAGAUGAACUUGUUAGAGGCCUUCCCAAAAUAAUUUUUUAAAAAGAUAAAGUUUGUGAAGCUUGUCAAGUGGGAAAGUAAAUCAAAAACUCUUUUAAAAACAAAAACUUCAUUUCCACAUCUAGGCCACUUGAGUUGUUGCAUAUGGAUUUAUUUGGUCCCUCUAGGACACCAAGUCUUAGAGGAAAUUCUUAUGCAUAUGCUAUUGUGGACGACUUCUCUAGAUACACAUGAGUCUUGUUUUUUAGUCAAAAGAAUAAAGUUUUUUAUGAGUUUUCAAAGUUUUGCAAUAAGAUUCAAAAUGAAAAAGGUUUUUCAAUUACUUAUAUAAGAAGUGAUCAUGGGAGAGAAUUCGAAAAUAUUGAUUUUGAAGAGUAUUGCAAUGAGCAUGGAAUUGACCACAAUUUUUUGGCUCUUAGAACUCCUCAACAAAAUGGGGUAGUUGAAAGGAAAAAUAGAACUCUUCAAAAAAUGACAAGAACCAUACUAAAUGAAAACAACUUACCAAAAUAUUUUUAGGCCAAAACGGUUAACACUUCUUGUUAUGUUUUAAAUAGAGUAUUAUUGAGGCUCAUACUUAAGAAAACUCCCUAUGAGCUUUGGAAAAACAAAAAACCCAACAUUAGUUAUUCCAAAGUCUUUGGAUGCAAUAUUUUAUAAUAAACACCAAAGACAAUCUUGGAAAAUUUGAUGCAAAAUUGGAUGUUGGAAUUUUCCUUGGUUACUCAACUUCAAGUAAAGCUUUUCGAGUUUUAACAAAAGAACCAUGGUUGUAGAGGAGUCCAUCCAUGUUAUUUUUUAUGAAUCUCCAAGAAAGAGAGAGGAUUGAUGAUGAUUUAGGUUUGAAGACCUCUAUAGGAAGAUUGCAAAUCGAAGAUAGAAGACAACAAGAAGAAAAUGGAGAGAAUCCAAAGAAAGAAGGAUCACCAUUGGCACUACCCCCUCAUCAACAAGCGCAAGGUGAAUCAAGUCAAGAGCUUCCUAAAGAAUGGAAGUUUGUCAUCAAUCACCCACAAGAUCAAAUUAUAGGCAAUCCAUCUAGUGGGGUAAGAACUAGAUCCUCUCUUAGAAAUAUUUGCAAUAAUCUAGCUUUUAUCUCUCAAAUUGAGCCUAAAAAUAUAAAUGAUGUUUUAGAUGAUGAAAAUUGGAUAAUUGCAAUGCAAGAAGAGUUAAAUCCAUUUGAAAGAAGUGGAGUAUGGGAAUUAGUACCAAGACCUUCAAAUCAAAGUGUUAUUGGAACUAGAUGGAUCUUUAGAAAUAAAAUGGAUGAAAAUAGCAUAAUUGUUAGAAAUAAAGCAAGAUUGGUAGCCCAAGGUUUUAAUCAAGAAGAAAUGAUAGAUUAUGAAGAAACCUUUGCCCCCGUAGCUAGGUUGGAAGCCAUUAGGAUGCUACUUGCCUUUGCAUGUUUUAAAGACUUUGUUUUAUAUCAAAUGGAUGUGAAAAGUGCUUUUUUAAAUGGUUUUAUAAAUGAAGAAGUAUAUGUUGAACAACCACCCGGUUUUCAAAGUUUCAACUUUCCUAACCAUGUUUUUAAACUUAAAAAGACACUUUAUGGUUUGAAACAAGCACCUAGAUCAUGGUAUGAAAAAUUGAGUAAAUUUCUUUUGAAAAAAAUGUUUUAAAAUGGGAAAAAUUGACACAACUCUUUUUAUAAAAACCAAAGAAAAUGAUAUGCUCUUAGUUCAAAUAUAUAUUGAUGAUAUCAUUUUUGGUGCUACUAAUGUCUCUCUUUAUGAAGAAUUUUCUAAGUGCAUGCAUAGUGAGUUUGAAAUGAGCAUGAUAGGAGAACUCAACUUCUUCCUUGGACUUCAAAUCAAGCAACUAAAGGAAUGAACCUUCAUCAAUCAAGCAAAGUAUAUAAGAGAUCUUCUCAAAAGGUUCAACAUGGAAGAAGCCAAAACAAUGAAGACUCUAAUGAGCUCAUCCAUUAAGCUUGAUAAGGAUGAGAAAGGUAAAUCCAUUGACUCUAUUAUGUAUAGAGGCAUGAUAGGUUCUUUGCUCUAUUUGACCACUAGUAGACCUUACAUUAUGUAUAGUGUGUGUUUGUGUACUAGAUUUCAAUCUUGUCUUAAAAAAUCUCACUUAAGUGUCGUGAAAAGAAUCCUCAAAUAUUUGAAAGGGACAAUGGACAUAGGCUUAUGGUAUCCUAAGAGUGAUAACUUUGAAUUAAUUGGUUUUUUGGAUGCUGAUUUUGUCAGUUGUAGGGUUGAAAAAUAAAACACUAGUGGCACUUUUCAUUUCUUAAGACACUUACUUGUCUCAUGGCAUAAUAAGAAGCAAAAUUUGGUAGCUUUGUCAACAGCAGAAGCUAAAUACAUAGCAACUGGUUUAUGUUGUGCACAAAUCCUUUGGAUGAAAUAAACACUUAGUGAUUUUGAUUUAUCUUUUGAGCAUAUUCCUAUUAAAUGUGAUAAUAGUAGUGCCAUAAGUAUAUCAAAAAAUCUCGUGCAACACUCUAGGACUAAGCAUAUAGAGAUUAGACAUAAUUUUCUUAGAUAUCAUACACAAAAGGAUGAUAUAACACUUGAAUUUGUAAGCAUAAAAGACCAACUUGCCGAUAUCUUUACAAAACCUCUAAGAACAUUUUGUUGAUAUUAGAGGACAAUUAGGAGUGAUUUCUUUAUGAUCUAAUGUGAUGAAUUCUUGAUGAAUAUACUUUUUGAUUGCAUGAAUUUCAUGUCAUAUAUGCAUCAUAUAGAAAUAUACUUAGAUAAUGGUCAAAUUUCGACCAAAAAUCAAAAUUCCCAUGGCAUUAGGCAUAAAAAUUUUGGAAUUUCAACUGAAAAUGGUAGGAGGAGGAUCACAAAAUGAGAAAGUAUGCAAAAAUUGAAAAAUCAAAACGUUGACCAAGCGGUCAAUCGGACUAGACCGAUCGACUAGUUUGUCGAGAUUUAGGAUUUUUAAGAGACUCCAACGCUUCAAUUUUUGCACCGUUCUCCUCUAUUUCUUCACGGUUUCUCUGAUUUUGUCUUUUAGAGACUAAUUUGAGUGCGUUUUGGAUCAAUUGAAGCAUUUUGGAUUGGAUUUUAGGAAGAUUGAAAGUUAAGGUUUCGGAUUUGGGUCGCCUUCUCUUCCUCUCGCGUGUCACAAUCAGCUUUAGCAUUGUUCUCUUUCCAUUUUCACACACCUAGGGUUUCAGUUGUGAGCAUCUCUCUCUCUUUACCAACCACUACUCCCUUGCUUCUUCCAUAUGGCUCCUAGGCGAGAGUCCGCUACUUCUAGGGCACAAGGCAAGCACCCAACUGAGUCGUCUCAGUCAAAGGCACGUCGAAAAGUGAGAUUUGACAUUGCCUUGUUCAGUUCCAUGGAGGACUACCAACUAUACAAGCAACACUUUGCUUAGAGACGAGUAGUUCCCAAGAGAAAUAUUAAUUUUCCUCAACUUCAGCAUUUCGAAUUUAAGGGUCUAUUUACUAGGAUGGUUGGUUGUCUAUUGUCACAAUUUCGGAGCCGGUUUUCCUGACCUUAGUGCGAGUUUUUUACUCGAGGGCGACUUAUGGCAUGGGUGGCAUGAUCAUUUCUACUGUUGGAGGAGUUGAGAUCUGUCUGGACCCAGAGAGCAUCUGCCAUAUUUUCGAUAUUGCUCUGGUUGGACUCAAAGUAUACAAGUCCAAAAUGUGGCCCAUUGUGCCAGGAUUUGAGCUUAGAGAGGUCAUUCAGAGGAUUUGUGAACUUCCAGACGCCCAGGAGAUGGGCAAACCAUUGCCACACAGUUUGACGGUCAUCAACAGGGUGCUACACCAUAUAUUGUGCUCUAUCUUUCUACCACGAAGUGGACAUUGAGAUGAGGUCUCUUAUUAUGAGGCAUUCCUUAUUGACUCCAUUCUAACGGAGAGACGAAUUCAUCUACUAUGUCAUCAUUCACUAAGCCUCCUCACAGUGACAUACCACCUCAUCAGGCACCUCUUGCUCCUGACCAUGCUCCAUUGAUGGAUUUAUUUACUCAUAUUAGCUCUCUAGGCACUCGCAUGAAGGAGUUUGUUGUAGUUAGUGAUACAUGGUUCUACUCCAUAGAGGAUCGCAUGGAUCAGUAUCAGACUGGCUUCACGUCACAGUUUGAGUAUCUCCAAUAGAGGAUUGAGCAUAUUGAGGAUCACUUGAGCAUGAGAAGAUGAUGGCUUUUCUAUGCUCUGUGUUUCCACCUCCACCUCGUCAACCUUGAUUUCUUAGAGACCCAUUGUUUUCAUUUUGUAAUGUUGCCAAAAGGGGGAGAUAUUUAGGAUCUAGGACUCUAUAGGAGACUUACAUGCAUAUCAUUUUCAUAUCAUUGUUUGGAUCGUACAUAUUGGAUAGUGAUACUUUUUACUUAUAUAUGAUAUGCCUAUAUGUUUCAUGUCUUACAUUGUUUCUUAUUGCAAAUUAUCUCUAACAUGUCUUGAUUAUCUUUUUUUUAACUUCAUAAAUUUUGAUUGUUAACCCAUGAUUGGUUUGAGGGGAAGAUUCUUCUUCUCCUAGAUAACCAAGGUUUGUCAUCAUAAAAAAAUUGGAGAUUGUUAGCCCAAGGGUUCUCCUAAUCAUGUUUUGAUGAUAACAAACCAUGCUUAAGUUACUAAUUGGUUUGAAUUAUAAAGAAUUUCAAGUGUUAAUUUGAAAAUUCAUCAAAGAACCUAAUGGAUGCAAGAUCAAGAUUUUUGGAAGACCUUUAAUCAUAAGAAACAUAUGUAAGAUGAAUGCAUGGGUGCACUUAAGAUUUGCAUAUCAUUUCAUGCAUAUUUGGAAAACACGGUUUAUGCUUUAAAGUUACAUUUCCAUCAAAAUUUGAGAUCCAUCAAAUGAACCUUAGGAAAAAUGUUUUAAAAUUGGCAUAUAAUUUUACCUAAAGACCUUGCCUAAGUGUUAGAAGCAAAAGGACAAAAAAAAUAUAGGUUUUCUGGUCAAAAAUGGUGAACCAGUCAAGGCAUUGUCUAAAUCAGCUCAAUCGGCCAAGGUACCGGUCGAUCGGUUUCCCUUUCCCUGUCGAGAUCUAGUCAAGAGGUACAAAAAUCACAAUCUCUGUCUCUUUCUCUCUUUGUCUAUCUUCCAGUAGUCUUUCCUUCCCGGUCGAGGGAUUUGCCUUCCCGAUUGAGGUCCGAUUGAGAGUAAUAGUCACUUGCCAAAUAUUAAAUGCUCCAACAGUUAGUGAACUGGUCGACCCCCACCUUGCCCAGUUGAGGUUACUUUUUGGUUUUCUUGGCUCCCGAUGUUAGAAACCUAUAAAUAGAGAGUUCCACUUCAUUUAUGAGCAAGAGAACACUUGCAUUUAUUUGUUUACCUACUUGUUCUUGCCUUAAAAGCUCUCAUUUCUUUUCUUGGUGCAUUAAAUCUCCAUUUUGAUAUCCUUUAGUGCACCUUUGUGAUUCAUCUUAGCCUUGAGUUGUAUUUGAGCCCUUUUUUUAGCUAGGUUGAGAGUUUCAUACUUGUUAAUUGAGUGUUAAAGCCUUCAAGUGAGUUGAAACUUGUAGAGAUUAUGUGAGAGUCGAUUGGAGCCGAAAUCCAAGUGUAAAGGUGAUUAGAAGCUUGGUUGAAGCUUCAAGUUAGUGGAAUCCUCACUCAAUUAGGAGCUUGAGGAGAGUGGACGUAGCCAAGGAAGUGUCGAACCACUAUAAAAUUUGAGUUUGAUUUCUCUAACAUUGUCUCUUUAUAUUUGUUUAUCUUGUGCUUAAAUUUAUUGUGUUUAAAAAGAAUUUUUAAAUACCCAAUUCACCCCCCUCUUGGGUGUUUUUCUCUUUUAAAAUUAGCCUUUAUUUUCUCACAAACUAUUGUAGUAUAGUGGUUUUUAGGUGUCAUCCAUUAGGAUGAAUUGUUCUCGGUAAUUAAGGCGUGAAUGAGAGGAGAAUUAAUGAUUGUGAUUAAGUAAAAUUGAUUUGAAAAUUCAUGGUGAAAAAUCAAUUUAACAAUGGUUUCUAAUUGAGAAAAACAAUGAAAUGUGAAAUAAAAUAAAAUUAAUAGGAAAUGAAAUUCUCGAAGUUAGAAUUUUCUAAAAAACAAAUUCCAUGGUGAAUGGAUGUUGAGAUCUAAUUUUCAUCAAGUUAGAUUGAAAACCGAAAUUUUCAUAUAAACUGAUUUUUUAUUUAGUUUUAGGUCUAGAUUUAAUUUCCCUUAAAAUUAGGUUAUUUAAUCCAAGAAAUCAAUUCAAAUCAUAUAUUCAAUUCAUCUUAAAUUAUCUUCCAAUUAUUCACACAAUGCAACUAUUCAAUCUCAUCAAAUCUAGCUUUUAAGAAUUUAAUGAAUCUACCUAGUUUGCAUUGUAAUAGUCAUCCAUGACAAUUUGAAGAGAAAAAUAAUUCAAUUAAUCAAUCACUUGGAUCAAAUUACCUUUGCAAUUAAAGUUCAUUUCUCUAAUUCACCACAGAUUUUGUCUCUAGAUCCUCCUUUCUCAAAGAAAAAUGAGAUUUAGCCACACAUGAUUGGAGAUUUGGUCUCAUAAGGCAUGUUUAGCUAGUGAUAAAAUGAGAGAAAAUAAAGAAAAAUAGAGAAUUCGAUUAAGAAAGAAAAUCUAAAAAAUUCUACAAUUAGAAAUGUCCAAAAAGCUUUUUCAUGAGAAAAUCAAGUUUCUAUUUAUAGGCCAAGGUCAAGUGGACACUUGACAUCAUCUAAGAGGUCUUCCGGAAGCUUCUUCAUCAAGAAAUCUGGAGUUUAAUAAUAAAAUGGUCAUUUCACAAGAGCUCAAACAAUUUCGCAUGAUUAUGUGAAAUAAAAAAUGCAACAACAGCAAUUUACAUCUUCUUGGAGCAUUUCGCAUGACUGUGUGAAAUUUUCACAUGAUCAUGUGGAAUCGACUUGACAACUCUCAUUUAGCCUACAACAUAAUUCCACCUUUUGGUCCAUUUUUCAUAGUCAUGCGAAAUGGAAAUAUUUGAUUUUUAAGUUUUCUUUUGUCAUUUCUUUCAUUUCCUUCUCUUGAUUCCACUUCAACUACCUCCGAAUCCUGGUCCAAACCAAUUGCAUUACUUCUUUCAUUAUGCAUUUGGAUCAUCAUCAACAUUAUUUGUUCUCUUCAAUUUGAUUCAUCUCUUUUGUCACCAAUUUAUCAAAAUCAUACCUUGAAAUGACUCCAAAACUUCAUAAAACUUGUUAGUAACUCUUGCAAGGGCAACAACAUAUUAAUUAAGUGUUUUAGGCAUAGUUACUACUCAAAAGAUGCGAAACUCAUGAUAAUUAUUAUAUAAAAUAUGCUCUUUUUGAGUAGUAAUCAACUUUCUUGCAUAAGCAGACCUUUUAGGGUGGAGUACUAAAGACCAAUAUGCUUGUCCUUGUUGUAAUAAAGAAACUUGCUCUUAUUGAUUGCACCAUGGGAGAAAAUUUUGCUACAUGAGUUAUCAUCAAUUUCUUCCCACCAAUCAUAGAUUUAGACGUGACAAGAGGCCUCUUAAUGGCAAGGAGGAACUGACACUCACACUUAUACAAUUAUCGGGCAUUGAUGUGUUGCAACAAUUAGAAUAACUUACACCAAUUAUGUUGGGGAAGUCACAAAAGGCAAACAUGAAAACUAAAAGGAAAAAAGAAAAAUGUUACAUAUCACCACAACUGGAAAGAAAAAAGUAUUUACUUUCAUUUGCCAUAUUGGAAAGCACUUAUUUUACAUCAUAAUAAUUUAGACAUAAUGCAUAUUGAGAAAAAUGUGUGACAAUAUAAUUGAGACAUUGUUCAGUAUUGACGAAGAAACAAGGACAACCUAAAUAGUCAUCUCGAUUUACAAGCUCUAACUAUUAGAAAUGAGAUUCACCCAAUAGAAAGCAGGACCAAAUUUAUUUUGCUUGCAACAUGCUACUCACUCACCCCAAAUGAGAUUAAGGAAUUUUGCAAGUUUUUGAAAUCAAUAAAGGUCCCCAAUGGCUAUUCUUUCAAUAUCUCUCGUUAUGUGCAACUCAAUGAAAGGAAGAUAUAUGAGCUCAAAUUGUAUGAUUGUCAUGUCCUAAUGCAACAACUUCUCUCACUUGUAGUUCGUGGAGUUCUACAUAAGAAUGUUUGUGGAGUUAUCAUAGAAUUGCGUAAUUUUUUCAAGCAAUUGUGCUCAAAGGUGUUAGAAACAAAUCACUUACACCAACUUGAGAACAAUAUUAUUGUCAUACUAUGUAAAAUGGAGCAAAUAUUUCUUCCAUCAUUCUUUGAUAUUAUGGUGCAUUUACUUGUGCAUCUAGUAAGGCAAAGGUUGCAAGACUUGUGCAAUAUUGUUGGAUGUACCUAAUUGAACGAUAUUGUUAUAAUUUCAUAUGAAUCAUUUAAUUUUAUUUUAUAUUAUGUUCAGUUCAUUAACAUGUACAUUGGUCUACAUAUGGAUGAUGAUAGGUACCUAAGCACUUUAAAGUCAUAUGUGCGUAAUAGAACUUUUCUAGAAGGUUCUAUUGUAGAAAGGUACCUUGCAAAAGAAUGUACAACAUUUUAUUCUAGGUACUUGAAUGAUGUGGAAAUAAAGUAUAAUCACAAUGAUAGAAACUUUGUUGGUUUCAACACUAGAGGAGAUGAAAGGGGUUAUCUUUAAACAUAUUGGACAUGCAUUGGGAAAGCCCAUAUUUCAUUAACUUAGUUCAAAAGAGUGGUCACAAGCACAUUUAUAUGUGUUGACAAAUUGCGAAGAUGUCAUACCAUUCAUUGAGUAAAAAAUUUAUUUGAAUUUUAAUUAAAGCUCUAGUUUAUAUCCUUAAUCAAUGUUUUUUAAAUUCACAAGGAGCACAAGCAAACCAUCAAGGCUAGACCACAUAUACGUGUUUGAGACGUAGAUUUAAUUCAUAACAAGGAAUUUAUCAAGUGGUUUGAAAGACAUGUAAGUAUAUUCCUUAUUAUAAGGGAUUUAUUUCACAUUAUGUUUAUAUUGAAUCCAAACCUAUUAUUGAAUUGUAGGUUGAACAAUUACAUAAUGAAGGUCAUAUAUCUGAACACCUUCUCACAUUAUCAUGUGUUCCAAAUUCAUUAGUUACAUGCUUCAAAUGAUAUAUUGUCAAUGGAUUUAGAUCCCACAUUAAAGAACGUGAUAAAAAAGUUUUUAAAAAAAGACUCAGAAUAAUGGAAUUGUUGUAGUUGCAAAAACGUCAAGCUUUACAAGUGCAUGUGAUAUGAGUCCAAUUAUUAGUGAUGCUCUCUACUAUGGUGUUCUAACUAAAGUUGUUGAGUUACAUUAUCUUGGUGAAAAUAAGGUUGUUUUAUUCGAGUUUGAUUGGUGGGAUGUUACAAAUAUUGGAAAAUUGAUAAAAGAUGAUGAGUACAAUUACACAUUUGUUAACUUUGCAUGAAUUCUAACCACGAACGAACGAUUUGUACUUGCAUCUCCAGCAAAGUAAGUGUUCUAUGUGAAGAAUGCGAAUGAAUCAGAUUGGCAUACUAUCAUGGAGAUGCAACCUCAAGACCUCUAUAAGAUGAACGGGAUAGGAUCCAAUGGUGAUUUUGAACCAUUUCAACAAAGUGAACUACAUGAUCACUAAUAUAUCUCAGAUUUAGUUGAUGAAGAUAUAAUCAAGUGGAACAAAAGUGAUGUUUUAGGACUAAUCAUCCUAAAAAAUAUUGUAGUUUCUUAAAAAAAAAAUGAAAAUGAAGAAGAUAAUUGAACCUUUGUCAUACUUUAAAAAGCAACUAUGCAUUGUUCAUUUUGUAUGUUUUGGUUUUCUUCAUUUAAUUUCCUGAUUUUUGUGAUUCAAUGUCAUAUUAUUGAUCUUGAAAUAUUUUUCUAAUUUUUCAUUCUACGAUGGUUUCAACAAGGAUGACAUCAAGUCAAAAAAGGAAAUGUGGUCCCACACACAAUAUUGCAUUACAGGGAUUAAGGUCAGGGAAGAAGGUAAAAGUUGCAUUUAAUGAGUACAAUCAAUUGGUUAAACAGAAAAAUGGAAAACACUUAUCGAGCUACAUAGGGACACUUGUAUCUAACCAACACAAUGUACCUCUCCAAGCUAGUGAUUGGAAAAAUGUUCCAAAUGAUGCAAAAGAGAAAGUAUGGCCUUUGUUUUGGUAUGUUGUAUUUCUCACUAUAUGAUGUCAUUUCACUGUUAUUCUAUUUUGUGACUAACGUUUGAAUCAUAUGUAAGAAAAAUUUGAAGUAGAUAAAGACUGAAAAGAUUACAUGUUGGGUAUAGCCUCAAAUAAAUAUAGAAGCUAUAAAAAUAUGAUGAAUGCAAAAUACUAUGACCCUUGGCAUAAGGAUGCAUGAGGAGAGGUUAAUACAUAAAUCACCAUUUGUCUCUGAUGUUGAUUGGAAGUGGCUUGUCUCUGAUGCAUAAACCAAAUCCCCCACUGAAUGUUUGAUAUUUGAUAGCAGGAAAAACACACCCGCAGCUAUACACCUCCAUCAUUCAGAUAAUUAUAGUGGGGGAGAUGAUUCAUGGUUGCCCUUAUACCCUUUAUUUGCACCAUCUAUUGAGAUUCUUUAUCAUGGCCAGGUUUUACUGCAGCAAUAAGAUAUGGUGGCAACAAUUUUAUCUAUAGGUGCGGUUCCAGACCGCCUCCAUAGGUGCGGUUCCUGACUGCCUCCAUAGGUGCCUCUUCUUGUAAUGUUUGUUCUGGGAAUUACACUUGAAAGCCUUAUCGUGAUAAGGGAUUACAAACACUAGUUCAGAGGACAGCCAUGUUAAACUUCCACUAUGUUUGUGUCACAUUAUCAGCAGCCUAGUGUUUAUUGGUCAUGCUAUCUGCAACUAAUAUAACCCGGUGAACUUCAAUCUAAAUUCUGAAAGUACUCAUGUGACAGAUGGUGCCUUUCAGCAGAUAUCAUCAAUUUAAAAGUAGUGUGUGUGCCUAUAGGUGGGAAGGCCUUGGCAAAUGUUCAGUAUUCCGGUAAUUCAAGAAGGAUAUAUCUAAAAUAGAUUUUCUUCUUGCCCAUUUCAAUAGUUAAAAUUUGAGAAGAUUGUGUCCACAUCACACAAAUAUUAUUGGUCCUUCUGUUGCAAUUUACCUCUGAACAUGUCUUCCAAUUCCCACGGUCCUGUUACUCCAGGAAAACUAUUUCGGUCAUAUUGAAAAAAAAAAUAUUAAAGAAGGUACACAUGCUUUUAAGUGGACUGGGGCAUUCAUAUCAGGUGGUCUGUAUCCACAUAUGCCACUUCGUGAAAGGUGGAACAGCCUAAUCACUAGGCUAUUUAGUGUGGCCCAGCCACGUUAAUCAAGCACAAGUCUUCAUACUUAAAGUCAAAUGGUGUCUUUAGUCUCAUUACACAUCGCUAUUUGAAGAUUAACUCAUCACUAGUGUAAUGCGAUUAAGACAGUCCUAACUCAAUAUUUGUUCUAGUUUUGGAUGCAAAUGCUUGCUGGUUUCAUCAUUGGAUGGGAUAAAGGUGCAAUCAGGACUAUGAAUACGUGCAGUAAUACUUCAUUCUCUUUUUUCUCAAUGAGACUUCUUGGCACAAUUUUGCUGCUCAGCAACCUACCUUUCCAUGGAAAAUCAGUUGUGACUGAUAGUAAUGGAUAUAUUCUAGAAAGCUAAACAUAGAUAGCAUUCAAUAUUAUCGAUAUAACAUUAACAGCGUAUGUCUCAAUGCUCAUCAGCUACAAGCAAUGGACAAACACUUUGAGUAACUCACAGCAGUCAAAAUUCCUAAACAGGACAGACGUGACAGAUCUAUAUAUAGAACACUGCAUAUGAGUCACAGGAAAAGAUAAUACGGGUACAUAGAAGCUCUUAUUUUACAUAUUACUCAUACUGAUCAAAGUCGCUCAGUUGGGAUGGAUGGGAGAAGGAGGUUUGAGGGGUGGCUUGUGCGGGGAAGUUGGCAGCUUCUUUCCGGGAGCUGGUUGCUUCUUUGCUGGAGUUGAAGGAGGCUUAAUCUUCCGAGGUGGCUUGUAUGAGUCUUCAGCAUUCUCAGCAGGAGGGUGACCAGGGUUGUGACCAUAAUGUGGUGGCUUCUCUCCCUUAGGUGGUUUGCCAACUGGGGUUGGUGGCUUGUUUUCUGGGAGUGGCUUCUCUCCCUUGGGUGGUUUGCCAACUGGGGUUGGUGGCUUGUGUUCUGGGAGUGGCUUCUCCCCCUUGGGAGGUUUUUCGAAUGGGGUGGGUUUGUGUCCUGGUGGUGGCUUCUCUCCCUUGGGAGGUUUACCAAUUGGGGUCGGUGGCUUGUGUUCUGGGAGGGGCUUCUCUCCCUGGGGAGGUUUAGUGGGUGGCUUGUGUUCUGGAGGUGGCUUCUCCACCGGAGGCUUAUGCUCUGGUGGUGGCUUCUCGAAGGGGGGAUGCUCAGGGUAAUCACCAAGUGAGGGGGUGGUGAGAACCACCAUGCCAAGCAACAACACUAGCAAGUAUGUAGUAGACAUCUUUGGGUUUGGACUCAGACAGUGCAAAACUACGAGAAAUCGCUAGCCCUUUAUAGCGGCUCGGACCUAAUACUGACAUAAUAUAAAAUAAAUAUUAUAUUUUAUCAAGAGAGAACAGAGUGUAAUUUUAUCAUUAAUACCGAUCGAGGCCAAAGAAAGAAGACCCAUAAUCCAUUUCCCACAAGCAUACACAAUGCAGCUGUAAUUUUAUCAUUUACUUUUAUCCCUUGGACCACUGCAUUUUUGUUGAGAGACACAAUAACACAUUUUUAUCUGUCAUUCAACAUUUACAGUAAAGAGAGGGCACAAAACGCAAUUAGAUAAAUUAUGUUUUGCCUGCUAAAAAGAGGCAAAUAACUUUAUUUGCAACAUAAUUAUUUUGGUUUCUAGUGACCCCGGGGCCUUUCGGUUGGUUUGGGAUCGGAAAAUGAACAUCAUAGGGGGGGUUGUGCCCUUAUGGGCAUAUAUAUCUGAUAGCUUCAACUGGCCUUGUUCCUAGAAAGAAAUUGCCAAAGAUAUAAACUUAUUCCAGGCUGAAAGUAGAUGAGAGUCAUAAUGAACAUCAACCUUUGUUCAGUUUGAUUCAAUGCCCCCAUAGUGUUCAUUUCACAGAUCUGAAUGAUUAUAUCCGUUGAAUACAUAAAUUAAUGAAGACAAAUAUGAAACCCAAGAUACAUCUCUGCAUAACAACCCCAACCCUGGUUGCUAUGUUUCCCUUCUUCUAUUCACAUGAGGAUACUGGUUAUAAUUGUCAAACUUGCAACAAGCCCUUUGACACCUAACGUCAAUGGACGAAUUAAAAGUCUCCUUCAAACGUCUAUUUCACAGCAUGAAGCUUAUAAAGGAUGCUGACAACCUUCAGAGUUAGCGACAAAAGAUAAUUAUCAAGGAGAGAUAGUUCCAUGAGAAUUCCAAGGAGUCUGAAUCAAAGACAAAUUGCUCACUCAAGGGUUCUUAUUUUCUUUUAGGUACAAAUCUCUUGAGUGUUGUUAAAGAAACACGUCACUGUCAUUUUGAUUUGCAUUUAACAUUUCACUUUUGUUCUGGAAGGUUUGUUCCGGAAACAUAUCAAAUGAGCAUCAUUUUCUUCUUCGGUGACACAUGGUCGCGAGUACGUGGGUCCAUUUUCAUGCCACUUAGUUGAAAAGUUGGAAAGAAAAAACAUGCCAACAAGAAGAUAGUGAGAGAAGGGGCACUUCAAGCCUUUAACAUGAACAAACAGUAAAUAAAAGAUGUUUCUCCACUCAUAAAAGUGUGUUAGAUAGCAAUAUAACGAAUCACAUCCAAAAUCUUUACUAGGCUCAAACAUAAAGAAGACUCAUUUUUAAGAAAAGAUAAAAAUGGCAUUGUCUGAUAGUAUCCAAUACACGAGAUGGCACUUAAUUUGUACAAGAUCUGUCAAUGCUGACGCACAUUUUCUGAUUAAAAAAAAACUGAUCAGUCAAAAGCAAUGAAGAGAAGUGAUGACAAUGAAUGAUGCUUCCAAUAUUUUCACCCCUUAUAGUGUUCUUCAUGAUUCAGAUAUAUAAUUGGAAAUAGAACAACCCUAUGCCAUACAUUCGUCUAAGUAUGGUGUCUAAUUUUUUGUGUCAGCGGUUGCGAAUGGAGCGUGCAAAAGUCCAAAUUGGCGUCUCUCCAUUUCCACAUAGGAAGGUGACCUUUAUUGACAAAUACCCAAUAUUUGUAGACAUUCCUUAAAUAUCAUAACUUCUUGUUGAUUUGAAAAUCAUUUUUCAACUACCAUGUUUUAAUAAAUAUUUUUUAAAAUGUAUUUUUAUCAAAGUCCACCAUGAUGGAUAAUAUUCACCAUGCAAUAAUUAAUAAAGUACAAACUAAGCGAAAUGAAAAGCAUUUUCUUUGCUUUGAGUUGAUUUUGGUUGCAUUGAGUUGAUUUUGGUUUCAUGGUUUUUUCAACUCUUAUUUUGAUUGGAAGAUGUCAAGAAAAGAAAACAUAAAGAAAAAUUAAAAGGGAAAAAAGAAGAAAAAUAAAAAAAAAUAGAUUUAAAAGUUAAUAAAUUAUUUUUUAUAUUUAUUUUAAUUCAUUUCACUUAUUUUUCUUUUACUAUAUAAAAUUUAAAUAAUUUAAAUUUUAUAAUUAAUUUAAUUACAUUUCAUUUUCUUCUAUAUUUAAAUAUUGGAAAAAUAUUUUACUUAAUAUUUUUUUCUUUAAUUUCUUUGGCAUUUUGGGAACCAAACUUAGCCUUUAAAAUAAAAAACAAAAAAAAAAUGAAAAUAAGGAGGGAAAAGUGAGAAAAGAUAAAAACAAUAUGUAAAGGAUUUGAAAAGUAUUAGUUUGUAAUUACUAUUUGGAUUUCAAUAGUAUUUUAUUUGUCUUUCUAUAUUUCAUGUAAGAGAGAAUUUAAGAUAUUCCCCAAGGCAAAGCAUUAGUUACCUGCAAUCAGUGGUGAUAAGGCUCCAAGCCAAUUUUGGGCCCCAUAUCUUAAGACAGUACAAUUUCCAUUUCAACAUUUCUGAUUUCUCAGAUGUUUCACAUACCACAGAAGAACAUUGUUUGUGAAAAUAUGCAUUUAUGUUGGAUUUUGUAUGCUGUGGGGACUGGGGCAAGGAUCAUAUGGAAGAGUGGUUGACUUUUUCUGUACUUUAACGGUUGAAAUAGGAUAAGCACGGGCAUUUGUGAGGCUUAAUUGAUUUUGAAGCCUGAAAUUGCGUUUCUGUCAUUUUGUCAAAAAAAUGGCAGAUUCCAUACUCAUAUGUUUGGCCUGUGGCCAUGUACAGAUGCCAUUUAGUGACCAGUUUGUAACUGUCAAUCGUUGCGUUUUGACUCUGCCUCAACAACAUCUGCCAUUGACGGGUUUUCAUACUUGCAAAUCAAAUAGUCUUUCGUCCCAUCAGGAAUUUCGGUUUAAAUAUUAUUAAGCAUACGUUUGGCUGACAAUCAUUAUCCAGUUCAUGAUUUGGUUUCUUACCCUUAAUCAAUGGUUUCUAAGUGAAUAUAUGUAGAAGGAAAUCCGAAGUGUAGACAGUAGUAUCGAUAACUCUCAAUAUUCUCUAUAUAAUAGAAUAAACAGCGUCAUAGUGAUCGUCGCCUACAAGCAAGGUACAAAUACCAAAACGAGUGACUCACAUAGACAUCUCCCAACAAGAUGUAGUAGUGACUGACACAUGGACACAAUUAACUCGUAGAAAAGGAUAAGACCAUUGCACAGCAGCUCUUAUUUUACAUACUACUUAUGCUAACCAAAGUCAAUUAGUUGGGAUGGGUGGGAGAUGGAGGUUUGUGCGGUGGCUUGUGGGGCGGAGUUGAUGGCUUCUUUCCAGGAGCUUCUGGCUUUUUCAUCGGAGCUGAAGGAGGCUCAAUCUUAUGAGGCGGCUUGUAUGAGUCUUCUUUACUCUCGACAGGAGGGUGGCCAGGGUUGUGAUCAUAAUGUGGUGGCUUCUCUCCCUUAGGUGGCUUGCCAACUGGGGUUGGUGGCUUGUGUUCAGGAAGUGGUUUCUCUCCCAUGGGAGGUUUAGCAAUUGGGGUUGGUGGCUUGUGUUCUGGGAGUGGCUUCUCUCCCUUGGGAGGUUUAGUAGGUGACUUGUGUUCUGGAGGUGGCUUCUCCACCGGAGGCUUGUGCUCCGGUGGUGGCUUCUUGGUUGGAGGGGGCUUGGGGUAAUCAGCAAGAGAUGGGGUGGUGAGAACCACCAGUCCAAGGAACAACACUAGCAAGUAUGUGGGAGACAUUUUUGAGUUUGGGCUGAUCAGAUGAUGCAAAACUAAAGCAUUACGUGACCUUUUAUAGCAUGUAGCUCCCAAUACCCACUAAGUAUUGUGGGGUCCAUUUGUGCCCUACGGGGUUGAAAACUUAGACAAUUGGGCAAGGACCCACCUGACUAUGGAGGACUAGUGAGGUGUGAUCAUAGCUUUAGGAUUUUUCUUCCUCUGCAGCCGUCGUGCCGUUGGCAUGAUUUUCUUAAUCUUAAAUAAAGGCAUAGUUAUAGAGUUGUUUAAUCUCUAAAUGGGAUUUUAUAUAUAUCUUCAGAUAGCCAUUAAUAUAUUUGAUGAAGAAAGAAAGACAAGUGCAUACAACAUGUAUACGACUAGCUUUCAUGGAGUUCAUUUAUGAUCAGUUUUCCUGUACAUGUAAACCAGGAUCAUAUAUAUGUUUCUGUUCCACAACUAUUUUGGAAUCUUGUUUAUCAGUUUUUAUCAUUAUAAUGUCACAUAGGCUGCCAACUUGGGCGCUAAAAGAACCAGUUGGGCUAGUUCGUUUCAGAAUUUCAAUGUGGAUUCAGGAAUUGUUUUGUAAGAUAUGCGAAAUAGUAGAGGGAUGAAUAGUGUUUCAUUAAUAAAAGUGUCCUGUAAAUUAGAAGGUGUCAUAGAAACUAUAAUCAAUAAAUAACUUUUUUUCCCCACGGGUGGUGUUUCUUGUGGGGAUCAGUGACUGGUUUAGGUUCACCCAAAAUGAGUUCAGACUAAAAUUGGUUUGAGUCAAUGCCGUGUCUCUUUUUUCCAGAAAUCAACUAUUUUAUGCAUUGAAUAAAUCAUACAAAGAAAAUAUGAACGCCCGCAAAACCUAAACCCUGGUUGCUAACUUUCUAUGUUUCAGUUCUAUUCACGCAAGAAUAUUAGUUUAAGUUUGGGAAAAAUGGCAACUUACCUAGUGAUUACUUGGUUUUGGUUUGCGACUAUUUACGCAACCAACCAUGAGUUUGACUUUAACGUCAUGGGUUGAAGCCUCCUACAGGAAGGGAGAAAGCUCCACAGCUAGCUCCAAAAGAGAAUUAUCACAUUGAUAGCUCCAGAGAUUCCCAAGGGGACUGAAUCAAAGACAAGUUCCUCACUUUUUCUUCUUUUGAGGCCAAAUAUGAACCAAGGAUCACACAACCUCAUUCAACUUCAUAAGUUUGAUUUCAUGCAGUUGAACACUGGGUGAAGGCCAUGACAAGAAUUGAUUCAAAAAUUCUAUCACUCUUUUAAGUAAUGGAAGAUUAUUAUCUCUGAUUGGCAUCACAACAGCACAUGCUCCUAGAUCUUUCUAGACACUCCAUGCAAUGAAAGCACAAUGGAUCUUGUAACGAUAGAAACUAAGCCAUGCUACAGUACUAGAUGAUGAGGUAAAACUAGUAGACACGGGUGGCAGCCUAUAUGGGAGGGACACAAGUCUAAUUGAUUUGCAUUUCAGCAUUAUAGAUAGGUAUGUUUUGGAAGAUUUGUUCUGGAAAUACCGCACCAAGUAGGAUUCUUUUUCUCUUUAGUGGGUCCACUUGCAUGCCAAUUAACGAGUUGAAAAGUAUGAGCACCUACCUCGUGCUCGUGGAACCGAAGGUCAGUGAAGUGGGGCUCCUUUUGGCCUCGUGUAAACUUGAUUCAGAAGUGAAGUUAAUAGUCUUCCAUUCAGAUGGAUACAUGGGAAUUUUUCUCUUUUAUUUAUUUAUUUAUUUUUUUUUUGUGUGUGUAUGUCAAAGGAUAAUGAAUGAAGCGCGUUAGCUUGUUUUCUGACUGGAACCGCAGAUGUCCAAAUUGGAGUUCCUUCAUUUCUUACUUAGGAUUGUUACAUGUAUAAACAAGGUAUAAGAAAUAUGCCAACGUGUCUUGAGGAGUUAUUGAUUAGAAAUAACAAGUCACCCGACUGUAGAGUUCCAAGAUUUGAAUCUUCAGACCCUAUAGCAGCCUCUGGGGUACGUGGCAUCCUAUAGCAUAUUAAUGAAGGCUUUUUCGAUUUAGACUUCACAAUACCAAUUAAUAUGUAUGCACAAAAUGGAGAUGACCCCAAAAAAAACAGAAUCGCCAUAGUUUAUGAGGUUAAGGUGAUUCUCCACUUAAUAUCUACAUUAGCUAAUUAUGUAAAUCAAAUGAACUUCUAUUUUUCCUUUUUUUUUUUGGUUUAUGUCAAAUAGUAGCCCAUAAUUAACCCAACCAUUAGCCUGUUUGAAUUGAUUUCACAUGCACAAUGUUGUAGUAGUUCAUAUUUUGAAUUUUAUUUUUACAAAGGUAGUUAAGGAAAAUGAAGUAUAAUAAUUAUAAAAGCAGACUAUAUACACUACAAUAAUUGUUAGAAUGGUAUCUCAAAUUCUAAUUUAAAAUAUUAUUUUUUGUAAAAGAAAUAUUAUAUAGAAUAUUUCCUAAUUUUAUAAAUGAUUAUAAUUAGAUCUUUAUAAAAUAAGGAAAGUUGGUAAGAAUAUCUUUAUAAAUAUUUUAGGUCAUGAGAGAAAGAAAUGGGAUAAAAAUGUGAUGAAGAGGUGAAAUAAGAGAGUUGAUUAGGAUAUAGAUGUGAAGAAGAAAGGGAUUCAAUAUAUAUAUAUCUUUCAAUUACCACAUUAAAACCCUGUGAACCUUUUAUAUGGUUUACUUUAUUUUUAUAUUCCUCCUUUAAUAUAUUUACAUUAAUGCUUCCAUUGGCACAACAAUAACGAAUUACAAAUACAAGCAACAAGUCCCAUGUUUUAUUACCAAAAGCAGGUAAAAUCCACCUAAUAUAUUACAAUAUAUUCAUCCAAUAUUUUAGACCAAUUCUUCACCAUAAAUAUCAUAAUGUGGCUUUUGUUCUUUCUUAAAUUUAAAUUGAAUUGUCUUAUAUCAAUUUGUUUGUGAUUUUUUCAUUAACUUCACUUUCAUUUGGUUAUCUUUGGUUUUUGAAAAGUAUUAAGGAAUUAAUUAACAAAAUAAUGUUAAGAAAAAUAAUUUUCUCUCUUUUGAUUUUGAUUUUGUAGUAGAAAAAUAUAAUUAAAAUUAUUUAAAAAGUAUGUAAUUUUAAAUUAUUUAAUAUUUAGAUAAAAAAAAUAAGUCUAAUGAGUUUAAAAUAACAUAUAAAAAUAAUUUAUUUAUUUUAAAUUUAUUUUUUAUUUUCCAUUAUGUUCUCUUUCUCUUUUACUUUUUCAUAUUUUUUCUUACGAAGAAUCAAACACAACCUCAUAUUAUAUGUCAAGUGUUUGUCUAUAUUUGAGCAAUGUUAGAUACGGCCAUGGAUUCAUCAAACUAAACUGAUUUUAAUAGAUACUUCACAAAUUGAUUUAUACACUAAAUCAUUGGAUAGCAAUGAUGCAUUGGAAUUAAACGUAGGAUGAAGCUCGAAGAACACUGUUUGUGUAACAACAUAUUUAUGAAAUUAUGCAAAGGAUGAGCUUCGGGGUAGUAGUACAAGGUCAUUAAUGGAGAGCCGUGUUAAACCUUGAUUGUGAUUGGAUUCCGUUAUCAGCAACAGCAACCUUGUUUGUAACCUUGAAAGUCAUUCUGUCCACAUCGAAACUCCAAUUUGACGUUUGUAAUUACCAUUCCUGGAGUGUUCCUUGAUUGAAAUUUAAAUAAUAAUUGCGGCCCACAAGGAAUAUUUUCGAUUCUGUGGGAAUUUGACAAGGUUUGUUAGAGAAGACUGGUGACAUGUUGACUUCAAUGGUUCAAAUAGGAGACGUAUGUGGAUUUGGGGGGUUUAAUUGAAACUGAGUCCCUAUGGCUUUUUAAUAUUUGCAUUGAGCAGUCUCCAUGUGACUUCCUAAUUCCCACCAACCCUCCUGUCCAUGCUGUGAAACUAAAUUGUAAUUUAUCAGCCUUUGUCAAUGGUUUCUAAAUUAAAGAUAUAGACCAUGCAUGUACUUUAAUAAAAGCAAAUCUAAAGUGUAGAUAGCAGCAAUGGUGACACCCAAUAUUCUCCAUAAAAUAGAAUUAGAAUAAGCAGUGUUACAUUGUUCAUGAUCACCUACAAGCAUACAAGAACUUCCAUGAAUAACUCAUAGCAAUUGCCAACAGGGCGUCGUAGAGACUCAUACAUAGAACACUAUCCACCCAGAGGAAAGGACAAGACCAGUGCGCUGCAGCUCUUAUUUUUCACAUGUAUACCACCACUCGUAAUAACCAAAUUCACUCAGUUGGGAUAGGUGGGAGAUGGUGGUUUGUGGGGUGGCUUGUGGGGAGGAGUUGGAGGAGGCUUUAUUUUCUGAGGCGGCUUGUAUGAGUGUGCAGGAGGAUGCCCGGGAGUGUGACCAUAAUGUGGUGGCUUCUCUCCCGUAGGUGGUUUGCCAAAUGGGCUUGGUGGCUUCUCUCCCUUAGGAGGUUUACCAAUUGGGGUUGGUGGCUUGUGUUCUGGGAGUGGUUUCUCUCCCUUGGUAGGUUUGCCAAUUGGGGUUGGCGGCUUAUGUUCUGGGAGUGGCUUCUCUCCCUUGGGAGGUUUGCUAAUUGGGGUUGGCGGCUUAUGUUCUGGGGGCGGCUUCUCUCCCUUGGGAGGUUUGCCAAUUGGAGUUGGCGGCUUAUGUUCUGGGAGUGGCUUUUCUCCCUUGGGAGGCUUGCCAAUUGGGGUUGGCGGCUUAUGUUCUGGGGGUGGCUUCUCUCCUUUAGGAGGUUUGCCAAUUGGAGUCGGCGGCUUAUGUUCUGGAAGUGGCUUUUUUCCCUUGGGAGGUUUGCCAAUUGGGGUUGGCGGCUUAUGUUCUGGGGGUGGCUUCUCUCCCUUGGGAGGUUUGCCAAUUGGAGUCGGCGGCUUAUGUUCUGGGAGUGGCUUCUCUCCCUUGGGAGGUUUUGUUGGUGGCUUGUGUUCUGGAGAUGGCUUCUCCCCUGGAGGCUUGUGCUCCGGAGGUGGCUUCUGAAAUGGCGGGGGCUUGGGGUAAUGAGCAAGAGAUGGAGUACUGGUGAGAACCACCAUUCCAAGCAACAAUACUAGCAAGCAUGUGGGAGAC